rnacentral:lncRNA from 1 species
AAAUUUUAAAAAGUGGUAAAUCUUAAAUACUAUUGAAUAAGGAGUAGCAGGAAUUAUGAUUAUUAUUAUUUUUUAAUUAUAGACUUAGUAUUUCUCGUGUGGCUAUGAUGCAUCAUUAGACUGAUGGCCCACCUCCACAAGGGGAUCUUUUGAAGUGGAGACAUGAUCACAUUUGGCCUCCUCUUUUAGACAGAAGCUCCCAAGGAGCCAUCCUUCUCUUUCUCUCUCUCCUCUCCUUUCCUCUUCUCUUCUCUCUCUCUCUCUCUCUCUCUCUCUCUCUCUCUCUCUCCUCCAAAAAGCCACACACACACACCUUUCUCCUCCUCUUAAUUUCCUCCUCCUCAUCCCACAACCUCAACCAAAGAGAAAUCACUUUAGCCUUUUCCUUCUCAUCACACACCAAUCCAUCUUUUGAUUCAGCAAAGACGAAGAUUCAGAAGCAACCUCAGAAGAACUUCAGAAAGAGAGAAAAAAAAAAAGCACAAAAGAAAGAGAAAGUGAGCUCCGAAUAAACUCUCUCUCUCUCUCUCUCUCUCUCUCUCUCUCUCUCCUACCUUUCAUUUCCUCUUUAUAUACUACGUACACAUGGGCACAUGGCCCUUUCACCAUCUUGAUCAUAUCAUCUACUAUUAUGGGUUCUACACAACACCCUCUUGAUCUAGUAAAAACACCACCAAGGUCGAUUCGAUCUCCUUUUUCCUAUUUCCUUUUUUUUUUUUUUUUUCUUGUUUCAAACUUCAUCUUUUUGUUUGUGAUCGUCCACGUACGUAAACGGACUCUGAAUCAUCCUAUGUUUUACAGUCAGAAAGUUUAAAUAUACACAACAAUCAUGGAUUCUACUACAAGUGGUAGCGUGCAAUCGUCGAGUGGCGGCGGCGGAGGCGGCGGCAGCAGAGGCGGCGGUGGCGGCGACGAAGAGUACACCUCGCAACCCGACUUCCUCUCUUCUUUCUUAACCCUCCCACCACCACCACCACCAUCCUCCUCCACAUCACACCUCCUCCACCACCACCACCACCACCACCACCCUUCUCCCUCCUUCGACUCCUUCUCCACCUUCCUCGACCCCCUCCCACACUCUCUCCCUCAAAACCCUAGCCCACCAUCCACCAAUCCCUUCCCCCAUUCCCCCUCACUGUUGCCCAACCCGAGUUGCACCACCACCGCGGCCUCCUCGGGCCAACACCCCGACCAACCGGACCGGCCGGCCGCCCCCGGCCCGGCCCGAGCUUCCAAGAAGCGGCCGAGAGCGUCGCGUCGGCCGCCCACCACCGUGCUCACCACCGACACGUCCAACUUCCGCGCCAUGGUGCAAGAAUUCACCGGCUUCCCCGCGCCGCCUUUCUCCUCCUCCUUCGCCCGCCCGCGUCUCGACCUCUUCCAGUCGCCGUAUCUUCUCCGGCCCUUUGCCCAAAAAAAUCACGCUUCCACAUUUGCUCCCAUUAAUAGCAGCAGCAGCGGCAGCACUGCUUCCACUAUGGUCGACGCUAUUGCUUCUAUUGCGAGGAACAGUUUGGUUAAUUUGAACACACUUUUAGCUUCAACCAGUGCAACUUCCGCGAGCGUGCCUAUCGAUCUCCAACACCCAAAUCUCCCGUCGUUCGCUUUACAGUCUCAACCGACCAUUCCCAAAGAGUUCGCGGUCGGAGAUCUCGGAAGCUUCGUCGGAUCGGAGAGUCUCAUCAAACCGGCCCAUCGGACGUCGAACAGUUUGUCAAUCUGGGCUGAUGGUUUAGGAUUAGACGGUGGCGAUCGUGAUCCAUUGAUCGGAUCAGAAUCGGCAGCUGCAAAGAGAUCAAACGACGUCGACAAAGGGCGACGGUAACGCCGCAGCGCAGAUUUUUCUUCGCAGUAUCAAGAGAUAAGUAUGUUGAUAGUAACAGGUGGUGAAAUGAAAGAAAGGGAAAGGGUUUAGUGGGUGGAGGAGAAUUUGAUCUUUGCUUCUACAACACAACCACCACGAAUAGUCCGUAUAAAAAUACAUGGCUUUAAUUUGCUCCUCUUUUUGUGUAUGCUAAGUAUAUCGUUUCUUUUACUGGAUGAGAAGUUCAUCUUAAAAUGCAUCUUCUUAGUAAAAGGACACGCUUUUCCAUUCAAAAAAAAGGACAGCUUUUGACAAUUUUGUUUGAUUAUUACACGUCUUUAUCAAACUAUACUAAUCCAUUUUCUCUUUUUAUUUCCUGUGAGAGGCCUAACUAAUGUAUGUUACAUUGUAAUAAUCACAGUGUACUUUACGUAUCUAUAUUUCAAUUUGAGACCUCUCUUCAUCUUUCAUUUUCCAUUACAGUUCUUAUGUAUAAUUAAUUCAAGUUAACUAGUCGCGUUUAUUCUAAUUAAUUGAUGCUUUUUUGUUUUUGUUUUCUUUUGCAUUACUUGGAUAUUUUUUUAAUUUUUUUUUAGACCGAUUGCUAUUAGGGGAUUGGAUCAAUUGAUGAACAGUCACCUAUAUAUGAACUAUUUUUGAAGCUAAGCGUCUAGGAUGAGCCCAAGUCCUUUGAAUUAAUGUUUCGCUAGCUCUAGAUAACUGAUCUAUACUAGGUUAUUUUACCAUGAUGUACCUUAUUUUACUACAAUUUUUUUUUAAGAAAAAGUGUAAUCAAUUAGUUAUUUUUAUCCAAAAUAGUACAAUCAGUUUACGCUUUAGUCAUAAGAAAUGCACCUGUAAUUAGCAGAAUAUUUAGCUAUAUAUGUUCUAAUGUGUAGUAUUCAUUUUUUGUUGCAGUACAAAGUCUUUCUAGCAGGAAAAGUAUUAAUGUAUUGAAUUCUUUGCUGUAGUUUCUUAUCUCUGUAGUGGAAUCAUGAGCUCAAAAUCUCAUUCUUGUUUACAGCUACAGUAGGAUCAACAAAACCUUUCGUUCACCGAAUGCUCUAACAGAGAUGACCGUGAUAGUAGUUGGAAGCAUAAAUUAAGCCAAACGAAUAUUUGAAGUUUUGUGUAGAGAUAUUUUUGCUUCUGCUUUAAGCAACAGUAGUGUUCAAUAAAAUAUUUGUUAAAGAAAAGAAAAAUGUGAAGCUUCCACUAUCGCAAAAUGUAUCAGAUUUCAAAGUUUCAAAUGGAAGUUCUAAUGUUGUGCUUCUAUUAAUUUUACUGUCAAAAGAAAUUCUUUUGUUUCUAUACCGUCAAGGGGUUUCAAACCUAACCCAACUUAAUUUACAUGGCUCUUCUCUAACAAAUAUCCUUGAAGCCUUUUAUGAAUCAUUCAACUUUGCCUAACUCGCACCUAACUUAUCCAAAAUCCCUUGGCCUAGUUCUUCUAAGUACACUUAAGAUGUCACAUUACCAUAACUCUUCUUGUACGAGCCCGUCUUGUUCAUAAAAGUCAUCAAAUUGGUUGAAGCAUACUGGUUAGAUAAAUUAAUUAAAAAGGAAAAAUUUUCCACUCAAGGCUAAAUUAAGCCUAUAAACUUCAAUCUAAUAGUAUAUAUCAGCUUUACUCUUAUCAAUCAUUUUGUAUGAAACUAUUUAUACAUGAAUUUGUAACAAAUAUUUUGUUAAGUAGGUAAAACAUGCGCUUGUUGGAUUGUUGGCGCUAAUCAUUAAUUCUAAAAACUCGAGCCGUUAGAAAUAUAGAACCAACUCACUUGAAGCUUACAGACACAACGACCACAGAUCUCGAUUAUGAUCCAACUCAACCAGCCUCAUGCUACUUCGAACAUAAUUUGACUCAAAUCUCACACAAUUUCGAACGUGACUCGACACAAAUUGGCCUUUCGCUACAAGACAGGAUGCUGGAACGGCAAUUAAUGGAUCCUUUACAACUAACAUAAAAGGACAGAGACUAGCUUAGGAGAGUAAUUCAUUAAUGACAUUGUGAAUCUUGUGUGAGCUUGGGCUUGUAUUGGAUCCAUUACUAGUUUGAAGAUUUUGCAUGUUAAUGCAAAAACUACUUUAAUGAUCUGCUAUUUAUGCUGAAGUUCAUGAGUCUAAAGGGUUUUUAUUUUUCUAAAUAGAGAAGGUAGAAAAUAAAAAAUAAUUCACCGCGAUCAUGUUAAGUAGCUAGAAGAGAAAUAGAACCCCAGUGAUUUCGACACCAAACACUUCAAUAGAACUUUGAAACCAAAGUAGAUAGAAAAGGUCCACCCAACAUAUGAAAAAGCAAGAUGCCUUUCCACAAAGAGUUAAACAAACUAAGGACAAGUGGCCAAACAAAAAUAAUCUCGAAAACUAUUAAUUUUAGAGCAACACUAUCUGUACAUCGAAAAAAUAUUUAAAUUUUACAGUCUAUCAUUCCAUAACCUUCUUUUUUUUGUCCCUUCUUUUAUAAUUUUAAAAAUUUUUUAAAAACUUUUUCAUUUUAGAGUGAAGCUCUAAAGGAAAUGAAAGGAAAAAAAGAAAAAAAUAAGUUACAAAUAACUACGAUUUACAUAUAUAUUUUUUAAAAAUAUACAAAUAAUAUAUAUUUUUUAAUAUCUAUUGCAAAAAAGGUACUCCAUGCUUUUCCUCAUGAUAACCUCUUCUGAAACCCACUAUCUCUCUUCCAUAGGGCUAUGAUGGCUAUUUUCCUGACAACAAUGCCAACAAAAUUUGUGCAAUCAUAGUAGGAGCUACUCAUUGGUCCCAAUAUGUGAUAGUACGAACCUAGCACAUUUUUACAAUCAUAUCUGGAAAUAUAAAAUAUAAAUAUUUCAUGAACAUCCUCUAAGACAACUUAAUUAAGGGUCUAAUAAUUUGGUAUUCACCGCUAAUUAUCGCUAUUAAUUAGGCAAAAAAGGGUGGAAACAAAAAAUAUAUAGUGACAAUUCUCCAUUUUGUAGUAAAAUUAUAAAUUAAUAUUAUAUCUUAAUCAAAUCAUUAUAAUUUACGGAAUGUGUUAUUCCUAAGAAAUAUAAUAUAAAUUUUUGCACUCUUUUAUCGUACUUAAAUGUAUUUUUGCUGUGAUCCACAGGAGAGGCUGCGAACAACAAUGGAGCUGAUUUUUAAUGGAUAAAUGAUCAAUUAUAUCCACUUUAAGGACACCUUUUCCAAUCAUGAAACAGGCAAAAAUAAAAUGUUUGCAGGUGUUCGGAGUGAGUUUGAAAUAAGUGAGAACGUAAACUUUUAAAAAGAAUCUAGCUCACCUAACUUUGCCCAAAAGCCAGAGCUUUAAGUAGACCUUGAAGAAACGAACAAGGAAGCGAAAUGGUUGCAAAAUCUGGAUCAGUUUGGCUGCGGUUGGACUCGCAUCGCACCGCAUUAUGGCGACAGAAAAAUCUAAUCUUGUGUUACCGCAAGCUAUGAGUUUGCUUUAGUAUAUGCGUGCGAUAUUGUUAAUAAACUGUAAAAAUUAUUGGACAACAAAUGAAGUCACAACUACGAUACUUUAAAUUUGCAAUGACUGCGAGAUACAAAAUGUGUAACUGCUUCUGAAUUGUGAGUUACGACUAACCAACUCUCGAGGGAAAUAGACCCAACCCAACUAAGUUAAUCAGGGAGAGAGAAUCCAAUUCAAAGCGGGUCGAAUCGGAUCUGGUCUUCAAAUUUGGUGGGAAAUUCUCACCUAAGAUGAUGUCGACUGUGCUGAACUAAAAUACACACAUUCAUCGGCGCCAUGCGAACCAUGUUUGUCCGGACCAUACUUGACAAGGUCCGGCCCAAUACUGAAUGGAUCGCAUCUGUGUUCUAUCCACACCGGUUUGACCCGAGGUGCCAUGUCGGUUUUGGGCUAUCCAGUGUUUUAUUUUUUUUAGCUUAUAUUUUUUUUUAUAUUUUUUAGAAUUAAUUUUAUAAAAUUGUAUAUAAUUAUUAUGUGCACACGGUAUAAGUUUUAGAUAGUAUUUUAAAAAAAUUAUUCAAAAAAAUUGAAUAAAUAAUAAAGUGAAAGAAUUAUAAGGCCCACGGGCUUCAGGCCGGUCACCGUGUGGCCCAGUUUUAGGGCCCGCAGCAUGGAUGAUGUGGCCCAGUAACCCAAGAUCCCACCCUUUUUAUAUGAGGACGCAAACCGCCUCCGCUCGCGCACCUUCGUUAUUAGGGUUAGGGUUUUUGGAUCUUCGUUCCCCGCGAGAGGAAGAGGAAGAGGAAGAAGAGGGGGGAGAGGCGGGAGAGAUGAGGCCGAUACUGAUGAAGGGGCAUGAGCGGCCCCUGACGUUUCUGAGGUACAACAGGGAGGGGGAUCUCCUCUUCUCCUGCGCCAAAGACCACACGCCCACCGUGUGGUUCGCCGAUAAUGGCGAGCGACUCGGCACCUACCGCGGCCACAAUGGCGCCGUUUGGUGCUGCGACGUCUCCCGUAAGAUCUCUUCUUCCUCCUCUUCUUCUUUUCGGUGUUUCUCUCUUCUCCUCUUCGAUGCAUUAGUUUUGGCUUACCUUUCCUUUUGAUUCUUCAUAUUCGCUUCUCCGUGGGCGUUGGGCCGAUCUAUGUAUCCUAAAGAGGAAGAUGCCAUUUUUCCGUUUCUCGAUUUGUUGCUUUUUACGCAAUUUACGCUGCUUUAAAGUGAUCGUAAUAUGUUUUGCUCGAUUUAUGUAGUGGGUUCAGAGUGUUAUCUGUUAUUUCCUUUUGUUGUAUUUAGUAGUACAGUAAAGUAGUCUAACUCGAAGUAUAAUUAUUUUAAGCUUAGUAAUAUCUUACAUGUAAACUCUAUUUAACAUAUCCGGAGGCUGGGGUUUUCAGUAAAGAUAACAAUGAUUGUUUUUUUUUUUUUGCUUUUUGCAUCUUAAAAAUUCCGUUUUUAGUGUUUGAUAUAUCCUAAAUCAUCAAAAACUAUUUUUUUGUUAUGUGUAGGCGAUUCAACUCGCCUAAUUACGGGCAGUGCUGAUCAGACAGUAAAGCUGUGGGAUGUUCAGACCGGAGCCCAACUGUAUUCGUUUAAUUUUGAUUCCCCGGCCAGGGCUGUGGAAUUUUCUGUCGGCGAUAAGCUUGCCGUUAUCACCACAGAUCCGUUCAUGGGGAAUCCGUCCACCAUCCAAGUCAAACAAAUUGCCAAAGAUUCUAGUCAACGUAUGCAGUUAUCAUUUUGUUCAUAUACUAAACUAGUGCAAAUUAUUGAUCUCCCCUCUGAUCAUGUACUGAUUGUAGUAAAGCAAUAUACUUGUAAUUUUUUUGCAGAGACUAGUGAAUCUGUUCUUACAAUUAAGGGACCUCAGGGAAGAAUCAAUAGAGCUGUUUGGGGGCCGCUCAAUAAGACCAUAAUAAGCGGUGGUGAAGAUGCAGUGUUACGUAUUUGGGACUCUGAGGUGUGUAGAUUCGUUCCUUCAUUAGUUGUGUCUUUUCGUAUUUUCGAUUUCAGUUGCGUACCGCAUUUGUGGACGUCAUAGAGCUAUCCUUAUUAGUAGCUGUUUUCUCCACAAUUUUCUGUCAAUUGCCUUUUCACUCUUAUCUCGUUCUGACGUGCAGACCGGAAAGCUUUUGAAGGAAGCAGAUCAGGAGUCCGGCCAUCAGAAAACAAUAACUUCACUAUCAAAAUCUGCAGAUGGUUCUCAUUUCCUCACAGGCUCCCUGGAUAAAACCGCUAAGGUGAUAAACUUUUUUUUUUUUUUUUUUUUUUUUUUUUUUUUUUUUUUUGAGUAGCUGUCUUUGGAGUGUCUUACCACCAACUUAAAGUCUCUUUUGUUUGAUUCUUAUUUGUUUCUUAUUUAUUCUGGUUAGCUGUGGGAUGCAAGGACGCUGACUCUUCUGAAGACGUAUGCGAGUGAACGCCCUGUCAAUGCUGUAGCAAUAUCUCCCCUCCUUGAUCAUGUACGCACCUAAACAUUUUAAUCUUGAUUGUCACUUCAAGCUUCUGUAAGAUCAUUGUCGACAAUUUAAGAAUUACAUGAGAAUCAAACCGAAUGAAAAUGAAAAAAAAAAUCUGUUCUGUUUAACCAAUUGGUUGAAGCAUUCACUCGGAGAUAGGCUUCAUCAGUAUUCAGUAAAUGAAUCAUAAAAAUUCAUUCGUCUGGUUAAAGAAGGUUACGAUUUAUCUUGAUAACAUAGCCUAUUGACUGUGUGGAGUGAACUCUUGCAUCUAUAUUCUGAUUUAUUUGGUUGCUUUCCGGAGCAAACAAAAGAUGAAAAACUUGUGGCUCUGUUGGGAGACCACGUGGCAAUUUUCAAAUGUCAUUCAAUUCUGCAUGUUGCAAAUGUACUCCUUUAUGGCCAUGCAAGCCUGCUGUAUUACAGUUUUAAAUCUGCUUAUUGCUCAUGUGCACUGCAAACUAGUAUGUCAUUUUGUUCAGCUGACUUCUGUUGUACGCAUUGUUACUACUUUUUCAUGUGAACCAAGUUCUCUAUUAUUUAGCUUGGCUUCUUUUAUAAUUUUCUCCUAGGUUGUGAUUGGUGGUGGUCAAGAAGCCUCACAUGUCACGACGACUGAUCGUCGUGCAGGUAAAUUUGAGGCCAAGUUUUUUCACAAGGUGAGCCUUUUCUUUCUUUUUCUCUUUUUUCAUUCUGUAGGAUUUCCUUCAAUCUUCAUGGUAUUGAGUGUCAAGUUUCCUGCAUUUGAGAAAACAUUGGAAAAUAACAAUUUUUUUUAAUACACAAACAGAUUCUGCAAGAAGAAAUUGGGGGUGUGAAGGGCCAUUUUGGACCAAUAAAUUCUUUGGCGUUCAAUCCUGAUGGAAGAAGGUUCUUUCUCUCAUUCUUUUCUUUGCUUAUAUUAGAUAAACUAUAAAUUUCUUCAUCAACCAAAAGAAAUAAUUUUUUCAAUGCAUUAUAACAAUGUAUUUUUUUGUGUCAAUCUCUUUUGGGUACCAAUGGAUUAUGGUUUUGCAUUAGUGGCUCAAUGAUUAUAGCCAAUUAUAUUGGCAAUAUACGCUAUUCUGAGAAAGUUGAAAUACUUAUGCGGACAAUUGAGAAUAUGAGAGCUACUUGUCAACUUUUUUGUCGAAAUUUCUUGUUUUGAGAUGAUUUAUUGGCGUUGUUACAUUGUUCAGUUUUAGUGAUCUUCCAAGGCGUCAUUGAUGUGGAUUUUGGAGAUAUUUUAAAUUGGAUCUUCCUCGCUUCUAUAUGUAUUGUCGUGCAGCUGUGCCUUUUGACUGUUUUACUACAGUGGGCUUCUUGUAACAAUUUGAUAUUAUCAUUCUGCGAACUUUUUAGCUAUCAUUUCUUGUGAAACUUAAGCUAACCAGUUUUAUUACCAAUUUUGCUAUUCUGAGAAAGUAUCCUAAACUGGAUUUUGAUAGCACUGAUAUUUUGUUUACUUGCCUUGUAAUGCUAUAUAUAUAUAUAUAUAUAUAUAUAUAUAUAUAUAUAUAUAUAAUGUUUCUCUUUUUCUUAUUUUCUGCACCACAAAGUUUUGUUGUUUAGAGCUUGUUUUAAUCUUAUCUUUAUGGCAUCUUUUUCUGUCUCUAACAUUUCAAUUCCUUUCAAUAGCUUUUCGAGCGGCGGUGAAGAUGGUUAUGUUAGGCUGCAUCAUUUUGACCCUGACUAUUUCAACAUAAAGAUGUAAGUCUUGCCUGGCAUUUUCAGGAGUGUACCUUUGUUUCCUUUCGACUUUCUAUUAAAGCAUUUAAUCAAAUAUGUUUCUCUCGAUAUUGAAUUGUUCCCUUUCUUUCAGGUGAGUGAGUGAGUGAAAAUGCAAAUUACAUUCUUGAUAGCGAACAGACAAGUGAAGAACCGUCAUUUGCCGUGUGGUAGUUUGAAGUAUCGAACUUUUUGUCUUUAUACUUAUGUAAUAAGCCCUGUUCUUUGGACUUUGUUGAAUUUUGUACAUGUAAAGAAUUUCUAGUGAGCUUCUACUUCAUGUUUUGGUCAUGUUGCUUCUUGAAAUUCUUCAGAAUAUUACCUGCUGCGAGUUUGCACCGUUAAAGAAAUUCCACUUAUUGGAACAUGCAGCAUGGGUAGGUUUAUUUUAACUUAAUUAGUCUUUAGAUGAUCUAUAAUCUUUGCUGACCGUUUGAAGUAAUUUGCCCCCAGGAGAUGUGGAUGCUUCUUUAUAUAAACUUACUGGUUUUUCUAUUUCUUUUGUCGUUUGCUGCCUCUGCUUGCGUGCCGCUUGAACGCUCUGCGGAAGUAUCUUGCAGAAAAUCAAUUUCGCGAAUGGAUUCAAUGGAAAACGGAUUAUGUUGUAUGGUAUUUUGGUGCUGUGUACUAGCGUAAAAGCUCUCGAGAUGACCCCUUUUUUUAUAUAAAAAGAAAAAAGGAAAAGAGUCCUUGAUAUUUGAUUACCAUAUUCUCAUUUUUCUUUGUGUGAUUCCACAAGCGAGAAGAACACUCUUUCACGUACCACCAUUUCCUUAGAUUUAAACUGUGUAUAACAUUUAAAAAUUUUGUAUAAAAGAAAAGAUGUUAUGGUCCACAUCACAAGCAGCGCCGCGGCACCGGUGCCGAAUGAAUUCAAAAAUUCAAACUCCCUAAAAAUGUACGUUAACAACCUCUCCCAGUCUCCCCUUUACCUGCCCUCAUUAGUGCUAGCUGUUCCCCGUGUGAUACGCCCACCACCUAAACCUCACCGCCCGCUCAUUUUCACAAAUCCGCAGCAAAAAAAAUUAUUUUUAGUAGAAAUCAUGGAUCAUGGAUCCUCUUACCGCUCACCUACGGUGAACAGAUCCGGAGAGAGAAAAGAUGGAAUAGUAACCCUCCCCGUAAAUCGAGCGCUCACACUUCGCCUAGUUUUCCCCUACUUUAGAGAGAGAAACAUAGAGGGGAGGGAGCCACACUCCGCCAUUUUCCCACUCAAGCUAAGCUCACAUAGAGAGAGAGAGAGAGAGAGAGAGAGAGAGAGAGGGCGAGGAAGAUGGAGAGGAGCGCUCCGGUGCGGAACCCACACACCUCGACGGCGGAUCUGCUGACGUGGAAGGAGGCGCCGCCCGAGUCGGAGGCGGCGGCGGCGGGGGGGUCGCAGCGGCCGCAUCAGGUGAGCUUCGUGAUCCCCGUCAAUGUCGAUUCUCGACCUCUUUCCUCUCUUCUCUAAUCGCUAAUGGCGGCUUUCGUGUUCCUUUCAUGUGGAUUCUGAAGCCCUCGGAGGCGAUAAGGAAGGUGGUGUUCGGGGGCCAGGUGAGCGAGGAGGAGGCCGAGAGCUUGAACAAGAGGUGAGAGAUUUGGUGCUCGAUAUUCUAGGGUUUGCUGUUCUGACUCCGCCCUAUGCCUAAUUUUACUCAUGGAAUGUGAUCGCCCCUUCUUUUUCAUAACAAUUCAUGCACUUAUAACCUGAUUCAUGGCAUUGACGUUUGUGAUGCGAAAUUUGUGCUAUUCUAACCUGUUAUGGUUGUUUAUGUUGGACUAUACAGUAUACUGAACAUGGGCUGCUUAAGCACCCUUCAUAGUGUGUCGAUAGUGUGUCGAGUAGCUAUAUGAAGAAAAUAUAGUUUUGGUGAAGCUUAAACAAAGAGGUGAGGUGAGAUAUCGAGUCGAGCUUGAGUGUUGGUUCUAGGGUUAGUGUUACAUCUUUUGUCGGAUGAAUCGUCUUGUUUUGUCAAAUUUUACACCUUUUUAGUUGUUUGAUAAUUUGUGCUGAUACUUCCAAUGGCAUCUUGUCGAUGGGUCGGAUUACCUAUUCUUUUCGUAACAAUGCAUGCACUUGAUAAGAUCAUGAAAUUGCAAGUUUAUGAUGCUUCAUUUGUGCCCUUCUAACUGCUACAAUUGUAUUAUCUGCUAGUAUGAAUGUUUUACUCUCAAUACUGGAGAAUACGGGACAUUGACUGCUUAUGUACUGUUUUAAGUUUACUGAAGAUAAAUGUCGGCUUAGGGCAUCAAAAAAAUCUUACUCGUUAAUUAUGAAGCACGGACUUUAAUAAAUGAUCUAAGAGCGCUGUUACAAUUCUUCUGUUUUGUGCAGGAAACCUUGUUCAGGUCACAAGUGGAAAGAAAUGACUGGUAGCGGCAUAUUUGCAGCAGGGAGUGCGGAUGGUACAGCAGAUUCUGAAAGUGCUUUCUCAACUCCUAAUAGCAGGAUGAGUUCACCAACUUAUCAGGUGCGGCUUUCAAAUCAACUAGAACAGUAGGUUUUGUUGUAUAUCUGUUAUUUAAUGCAGCGGAGGAGAAAUUUCAUUUGAGAAAAGGUAAAAUAGGAAAUGCAUGUGUUAAUGAUAAUUAGGCAUGACAGCUUUUGAAGACGAGAUACAAGAAAAUUGGUUAUGAUGAUUUGAAGGUUUCUAACAGUUGCCAUCUAUAUGCUGGUAGGAGAGUAAAAGUGCUGAAGGCCAAAGAGUGAACUGUUCUGUAAGCUGGUCAUUUUGUUAUGUACAAAUUCACCAUUUUUUUUUUUUUAAUAACCUUCUUGAUGGAUUUGGAACUUUACAACUUAGCAACAGUUACUACAGCCGAUUUCUUUUUAACUUUUUUUUUCUAAAAAAAAAUUGCAUCACCUUUGCCAUUUUGUUUAGUGCAUCUAAGCUCCUUAUGUUCGCUCACAAUUUUCCUUGCACUGAUGACGGAAAUCUCCAAUCUAACUACAAAUGCAUCCGUUCAUUUAACACAGCAAACAAUUAGUGGUAUCAGCCAAAUCUCGUUCAGCACCGACGGGAGCAUUACCCCGAAGAAGCCAACCUCGGUGGCAGAGAUGGCAAAGCAGCGGGAACUAAGUGGAACUCUGCAAGUCGAGUCUGAGAGCUCGAUGAAAAGACAAAUAUCUGAUGCAAAGUGCAAGGAACUUGGUGGGCACGGCAUAUUUGGGCCCCCUACUGAAGAUUCUCCCCGGCAAUCAGCAGCAAGGGAUUUCAAGACGAAGGACGAGGGCGUUAGAGAACCUGCUCCUCGCAGUUUGCAUACAUCCGUGAAAGUUUCUAACGUGAGUAAGAUAAUGCCAAUUCGUUUGUACUAGUAUGUAUAAUAUAGGAACCGUUAUCAUCGUUCUAUAAUCAUGCAUCCUUUUCCUCUUUUAAAGCAAAAAGGAUGGUCUGUUUUGCCUCUGAAGCAUACUGAUUAUAAUCAUGCAUCCGAUCGCCACAGAGGCAGGUCAUGAUAGGUGGUGCCUUGUUUUUUAUCUUGGUUUUUAUUCACUUAUUUAUCUUGGAUUUUAUUCACUCUGCAGCCGGCAGGAGGCCCGAGCAACUUCUUGAUUGGUGAGACCGAGGAGCCUGUGAUUAACAAAACCGCCAAGAAGAUCUACACUCAGAAGUUUUCGGAUCUCACCGGAAACAAUGUCUUCAAGGGAGACGCACCUCCCGGAUCAACGGAAAAGCCGCUGAGCGUGGCGAAGCUGAAGGAAAUGAGCGGCAGCGACAUCUUUGGUGAUGAAAAGUCUGCUUCCCGGGACUAUUUUGGCGGUGUACGGAAGCCUCCCGGUGGCGAAAGCAGCAUCACGCUAGUUUGAAUUGACAUUCUAAUUUCUGUGGCAGAGAUAUAACGUGAGGACCAUGAUCGGUGGUUUCAUCUUAUGUGAACUUUUUCUACACGAGUGAUUGGUCAUAUAUCUAGUUUUACAGCUGAAUGGAGUGUUAGUUAUCUACUCUGUUAUCAAACUUGAUUUGUUUUUCUUGGCUAUAGAUUGACAUUGCCACUCUCAACUCUCUCUCUCUCUCUCUGGCUUUAUUCUUUUUGUUUCUGAUAAAUUGAUAUAAAAAUUAUUUAAACUAUCUUGUCUUUGAAAAUUAAUUUUACUAUUUAAUUUUUUAAUUUGUUUGAUUUUAGUCUGUUAACAGUAUUUAGAUUUUAAAAUUUAAAUUAAUUAUUUAUUUUAAUAAAUUUAUAGUUAUAAAAAUUACAUUUGGAAAGAUAAACGAUAUAUUUAAAUUUAAAAAUUAAAAUAUCAUUGAUCGAUUCAAAUUAAAAAAAUAAAAUAGUACAACUAAAGGUUUAGUAACUGAUUCUAAAUAGUCCGCGUUGAAUCAUAGUCCACAUUAGGUCAGUUCUAUAUGUUUUUAUUUUAUUCUACAAUUGAGAAAGAAGCUUAUAUUCUGCUACUUGCUAGUAAACGGUCUCUUGAUCUUUGUUUUUAACUCUUCAUUUCUACUCGUUAAGAAGCAUAAAAUUUGUUUACACAGUUAUACCAUGGAAAAUUGGUCUGGUACACUGAUCCCUUUCUCCCUAGGAAAAGAAGCGAUCAUGAAAGCACCCAUCAACACGGAUCAGAAAAGAUCAUCUAAGCACAUCAACUGCCGUUUCUCUUACCAACAGGUUUAUUUUUUAUGCACAUUAUAUUCAAACCCACUUACGUGAGACUCUUUCGUGGUCAACCCGCCCAUCAAAAGGGUGUGUGUUGGUUUCUUUUUUUUUUUUAAUCAUCAUCUAAUUUUCACAGCUAUUCUGCAAAAGAGAGAGAAAGGAAAGAGAAGCGAAGGAGAUUACGACGAGAAAUGGACGGUCGUGAAUCGUGGCCGAAUCCGGUGGGGAUCAUCUCAACGGCUGUGAACGAAGACGACCUCGCGGGUGACGCCGCACCCGCAGCUAACGCUCACUCGCACCGCCGCUCCCGUUGCGGCGCCAUCCACUUGCUCCUGCGAACCACAGGACAUGUAGCGAAAUGACCGAAUUACCCUUUUUAUCCUAUAGACGAUAUACAGUGGCAAAUUGGUGAUAAAGAGCAGAUAGCGUGGCAAUUGCUUUUCCAUGUUACCGAAUCAAGAAUUUUAUUACUAAAGGAAUAGAAGAAAGAGAGGGGAAAAAAAAACAGGAUAUACCAUCUGAUGGGGGUCGGAUGGAGGAUCGGGAAUGAUCAGUUGAUUAAAUUUCGAGUGAAAUUAAAAAGGAAAAGAUGUUUGAAGAUUAGGAGAAACGUGCCUUCUUAUUCUUCUCCGCGGAGGAGAUCACCGCGUGAUCCGCCGCGCACGAGGCCGAGCGAUGGAGCGGAGUGGCUGGUGCUGCGGCGGGGGGCGAUAUCGGAGGGAUCGGAGUGCAGCACGGGUGGUGAGGCGUUGCGUUCGGAUCCGGCGAGAUCGCGGCGGCGGCGGGGUUGGCGAUGGGGGGAUCGACGACGCAGGACGACGUGCUCGGAGACGCCGCGGGGGGGAAGGACUUGGAUCGGAGGUAGGGGGAGCCAGGGCACGGGCGAAGAGGGCUCAGCGAGGGGCUUAGCCCUGCGUCGGCGGCGGAGGUGGCGGAGGAGGAGGGUGAGGGGGGUGAUUCGAGGACGAGGAGCUUCUUGCGGGCGGUGGUGGCGGGGUGAAGGCAUCGGCGUUUGCGGCUGCCGCAGUAGGAGCAGGGCUCGGAGAAGGCCACGGCGGAGGGGGAGCUCUCGAUGCGGAGCUCCGCCAUGUACGGGGGAGGGGUGGAGAAGCGGGGGUCGGAGGAGGGGGAAGGUUUCUUGAGGAACUCCAUCUCUCUCUCUCUCUCUCUCUCUCUCUCUCUGGAUUGGUGUUUUGAAAUGUUUGAGGGUGGAGGGAAAAAGAGUGGGAAGGGGGAGAUAUAUAGAGAGGAUGGAUUGUGCGGAGCAAUCGAACGGAUCAGAUUUAUCGUGAGAGGUCGUGAUCCAACGGUGCUGGCUGGGGUUUAUUGCUCUAAUUGGUAGCUGUGUUGAGGCGAUUCAACCGCUGAGAUUGCUCGAAUCAGCGUAUGCGUAACUCCUUUCGAGACUUGAGUCAAAUCCGACUAUUAAACAAAGUAAAAAAGUUAUUGAUUAGUACUUGGUUUCCAUUUCGAGAACAGAGGUAGGAGGGUUGGAGCAAUCUCUAAUAAGGCCCUGUUUGGCUUCCGGUGAAAUCGCUCCGAAAAAAAAUUUCAGUGAAAAAGUAUAAUUCCGAAUGCUUGUUUGUCCGUAAAAAAAUUUUUCGUGAAAAUUUUUUUUACGAAUCUGAGAAAACGAAAUUUUUUUUUAAUUUUCCGCUCAAAACGAGCUAUUCGAGCAAAAACGAAAAUCAUUUUUCGCGGCCUUGGGAGGGGCGGGUUUAUCGGGCGCGCGGUCAACAAGACGCACCCCACCUCGUGGACCGCGAGAGAGAGGUCGUGCGGUGGACCUCUCUCCCCCAUUUUUUUUUUAUAUAUAAUAAUAAUAAUAAUAAUAUAUAAAUAUAUAUAUAUAUAUAUAUUUGUAUAUAUAUUUUAAAAACAAUAUUUUAUUUAUAAAUAUAUUUAUUAUAUAAUAUUUUAUAUCUAGUAAUUUAUUUUAUAAUAUUAAAUAUAUACUAUUAUAUAUUAUAUUAUAUAUUUAAUUAUUGCAUAAUAUAUUUUAAAUAUAUUUUAUUUAUAAAUAUAAACUAUAAUACUAAUAUAUGUAAUAUGAUAAUAAUUAUAUAUUAAUAAUAUAAAAUAUGUAAAAUAAAAAAAAAAAUAUAUAAUAAUUUUUAUUUAUAAAUUUUUUUUUUCUUUCAACUAAAGAAUUGUAAACUACUUUUCUUUUCCUACAAAUCAAAUAUAAAUGACGUAAAAUAUUUUUUCCACCGAAAAUUUUUUUUCACCGAAAUUUUUUCCCACAUAUUUACGUGGAACCAAAUACAUCCUAAGCAAAAAAGAAUUAAUGAACAUUCUAGUAGGCAACCUGAAUCAAUGAAUUAAAUGGAAUACCAAAUAAUCUAUCAAUCUGCACAAGCAUAUAAACCAAAAAGCAGUUCAUAUCCCCUACUCCAAAAGAAAAUAUAAAUACAGUAAAAACCGAUACAGAAAUAUAAUACUGUAUCCAAAAAGAAAAAAGAUCAGUUUUUAGGAAAGGAGCAACAAAAAUUGGCAUGAAUGAAGACCUUCACUACACGGACAAAACACUGAAAAAAGAGAACAAAGGCUUUGGUUCCAAACCAAAAAAGAAUAGGAGAUUGAUUAGGAUCCUAUAGUAUAAAUUUAGAUAUUUAAUGUGAGGUAGUAUGAUAUUGCUAUGUUGAAUCUUAUAAUAGCAUAUGCAUAACUCCUUUUGGGACAACAAAACCGUUUUUUUUUUUUUUUUGUCUUUCUAUGUAUGACAUUAUAAUCCGAGCUUGAUGAGUCUAGCAUGCACAUCCCCCUGACUGCUGCACAGUUUGCGAUGAACUGACUGUGGGCUUCAAGUUCACGUCCACCAUGUCUUCCUGCUUGGCUGAUGAGAGAGUCUCCAUCCCAGGCAAGGCUGCAGCAAUUUUGCGGAACAGUGGCUGCAAAGGUUUUAAUUGUAAUCACUUGAUAAGAACUUGGUUAAGAAUUUAGUUAACAUUACAAAACAAUGAUAAUAGCAUGUAUUAACCUUGAUGUUCAAUCCUGCUUUUGCACUGGUUUCAAUAAACAUGACACCGAAUUCUCGGGCCUUGGCUUCUCCUUCUUCAGUUGAAACUUGCCUUUUAACAUGAAGCAAUGAGGAAAAUCCAUUAAUCUUGUGAAGGAUUAAGUUCAAAAUUUAUAAUAAUCCAAAUGGACACAUGCAGGCACAGGACAGCACAAAUAUAAAACAAAGCCAUGUAGAAUGCUUCUUUAAAUCAAUGAAGGGUUAAUUGCACCAGAGUGUUAAUCACUUUGCUAAAUCGCUACAUAAAGAGAACUUUAACAAGCCAAAAGACCUUUUAUUUUAAUUGCUAAGAUGCUAUUUAGGGCUUGUUUGGUUCAAAGGUGGAAUUGGAAUGGAUAAUGAAAUGGGAAUGAAUUGGAAUGGUAAUUGGAAUGGCCCACUCCCCCAAGACGUUUGGUUUAUUUGUAGAUUGGGAAUUGGAAUGAGUUAUUCACAUUUCAUUGUUUGGUUCGUAUAAACUAAAAAAAUUAUAGGAUACUAUAAUACUAAUUUUACUCUCAAAUUUAAAUUUAUAUUAUUUAAAAUUUAUGAAAAAUAUAAUACUAUUCUCUAAUAAGUUUUCCAAAAAAANAAAAUAUAAUACUAUUCUCUAAUAAGUUUUCCAAAAAAAUAUCAAAUUUAUUUUUAAAAACUUUUAUUGAUGUGGGUUAGGGAUAGGGUUUUGAGAGAGGAUAGGUUUUUUUUUUUUUUGAUGAGAAAGGGGUGAAGAAAAGGAGGGUGGGAUGAUCACAUGGGCUUCGAGAACUUAGUGGGCUUUCGGAAUGAAAUCUCAAUCCGGGCUAGAAAAUUGGAAUCAAGUUGAAGGCUAAUGGGUCAUUCCCAUUCCAGUCCGGAAUAGGAAUCCCAAACCGAUUCAUGCGAACCAAACAAAAUUAACCGGAUUUGAUAAAACCGAUUUCCAUUCCAUACCCAAAAUGGAUGAACCAAACAAGCCCUUAGUGUAAUCACCUUUUAUCAACAAGAUCUGUCUUGUUUCCAACUAGGACUAUGAUAACAUCACCACCCCGUUCUGUGCGAACUUCCUCGAUCCAGUUUGUGGUGUUCAGAAAUGAUUGCCUAUCUGCAGGGAAAAGGCACAUGAGAACAAGUAUUAAGACACGAAGUAUACAAAUUGAGAUAAAACAAAACUCAGGGAAAAGGGCAGCAAUGAAAAAUGAGGCCUAAGAAUUUCACUAAGAAAACCUCAAGAAAGGAAAAAAGAAGACCUACUAGAUACAUCAUAGACAAUUACUGCAACAGAAGAAUCUCUGAUGUAGCUUGGAAUGAGGCUCCUAAAUCUCUCUUGUCCGGCAGUGUCCCUGUAGAAUAUGAAAUCCAAAUGCUAAGCACUACCAACAUGUAUCUUCCAUUUAGUCCUAUGUGAAGAUAUCGCUAGUCAUUUUUCCUGCUAAUAAAUACUCUGAAACUGCUAGAAGUAAAAAAUUUUGUUCUUCUCUCUCUCUCGGAGAAGAAAAAAAAACAGACAGCUGACAAGAGAAAGCAACAGCAACAGUACCAGAGCUGCAGGCGAACUGUUCGAUCUUCGAGAUACAUUGUCUUCGAGAGAAAAUCAAUGCCAAUAGUAGCCUGAAAAUUAAUAGAGCCAUAAAUUGAUUAGUAAAUUAAAAAGUAAAGAAAAGAGGGCAAGUGUGUAAUGCUUUCACAGUUUCUUCAACAGUUACCUCAUUUUGUUCUAAUUACAGGUGCUUGACUCUAAUGUCAGGCCCCAAAUUCCUCUAAUUAAACACAUCCUAACUAGGAAAGAAAAGAGGAGGAGACAGAGAGAGAAGAAACUGUUCACAACAGAAAUUCUAAUAUAAAAUUUUCUGAGGCUUGUACAGGGGCAGCUGUAGGUGGUCAACUUAGUUAGCAUUCAAUGGAGCAAAGGUCCCCACAUCAACAAUUACAUUAUGGUUCUAAAGUUAUUUUGAUGCAAAGAACAUUGUAUCUAUGAGGGCCUCUGCGUUAGUCGAAGCGAAGUUUAUCAAAAUAAGGAACUCAUCUUUGAAUUUCAUGACUAUAUCAUUGUGGUUCUAAGGUAGAAAAGGUUCCGGGUUUUGCCGUCUUCUUAUGACUUAAACUGCAAUAGAUAUUGACUCCAUAUAAAAUUUGAGUUUCCAAAGCCUGUUCUUUACCUGGUUCUCAGUGCAUUUUCUAAUAUCUGGAUAAUCAGCAUCACAAUAUCAUGUAUGAAGCACCCAAUUUGCACAACAUGAAAUCUAGUACGGGCAUGUUAGAUUUCUUACGAAAAGUUACCAGAUGCACAAGGAAUUGUUCUAAAAAUGGCUACCGGAGGACACUGGUCAUUGAAUUCUUCUUGUACCAAAUUUCAAUAAUUUUUUGAGAUCAUGGAAUAAUUGACAUUCGGCACAGCUGUUAAGCCGGAAACAAACAGAUAUAGUUUACUCUCUAAAAGUAAUACGGCGAACAUCAUUAUCAUGAUCUCCUUGUGUAUCAUAAUUUGCAUUUAUAAAAGGCCAUUUGUCAACCAAGAGAUCAUACGAAAAGUUUCUUACAAUAAUUCUUGUGACUUUCAGCAAUGUGAUACAUAACUAUAAAUACAACAUUUCACAGCUAAAUUUCCAUCUAGGUCGUAGCAUGGAACAGGUCAAUAUCAUAGAACAUGAAAUCAGAAUCGCCGCUCCACCGCCAUGAUCUACGUGAAUCAACCCAACAAAUGCGCACAUUAGUAUGAGAUACCAACAGAUCAGUAGAUCCAUGUCGCUUGAACGCACAAAUCUCGAACAAUCCUAGAUCUAUCCCACAAUACCCAAUCCCGCCCUAAAAGCACACGAUUCUCGCUAAAUUAACAUAGAAAUUAAUACAGCAACCGCAAACUCGCGUCACAAUUGGCAUACCGAACAUGAAAUCGAAAUCAAAUGCAAGGGAGAAGGGGACGAAUCACCUGAUAUGUGGUGUCGAAUUUGUCGUACAUGAAUCGGGUGAUGAUGCUGGUUUUCCCCACCGAUUGAUCCCCGAGGAACACCAACUUAUACUUCGCUAGGGCCGAUACGACCGCCAUUAGGGUUCGGGUUUCGCUCUUUCUCUCCUCUCCUCUCCUCUUCUCUCUGUCGAUCUAAAAUGGCGAGGAAGAAGAGGAAGAAGAAAAAGAGAUCGAUCACGUCGUGGUUAAGCGUCAAAAGAGAGAGAAAUUUUGGUGGGUUUUGGGUAUUUAUAGGAAAGGGGAGGAGGAAGAAGCCCGUGGACAAACGAGUGCCCGCCAAGAGCGGAGGUGCAUUUGCUAUUAAUAAAAAACACCAAUGAAGAGAUUAAACCAAUAAAAUACUGCCACGUCAUCUAACGACCGAUUUUUAUAUGACGUCUCUCGUUAUUAUUGGAAAUGUUUCAUGUUUGGGUGAAGCCGUGAAGGGGCGUGAUAACGUCAUCGCUAUGCUGAGGUGGCAUACGUGGUCAAGCAAAACGCGUGCGUUAGCUGGGUUGAAAUUCUUAAUGGAUCGGUUUAAGGCCCAAUGGGUAUGUAAUCCGGCCCUAUUUUUGGUGGGUCAAGUUCAAUUCGGUUCACAAAUGCGUAUGUUGGCCCAACUACACAUUUCCCAUAUGGUUGUGUUUAAAAAAAAAAAAAAAUCCUUUUUAUAGGCCAUUCAUUAGAAAAUGAUUGUACUAUUAGUCCCUAGCCUUUAUAUGGUUUUCUAUUUUGGUUCUAAUUUUUUUCUUUUUUGCAAUUAAAUUUUUAACCUUUAUUAUCUAUUUUAAUUAGAUUUAACUAGCACAUUAAUUAAUAAAAACUAGCGCAUUAUACUAGUAUUUUAACACGAGGAGAAUUAUAUAGUAGGCUCAUUAUACUAGUAAUAAUAUAUAUAAUACAAUUCAGUAUGGAAGUAUACCCCAUAUUCCUAAAUCAUAAUUAGACUCACUAGUCACGCCAUUAUUUCCACGAACAAAGUUUUUAUAGAUUUUAUAUACAUGAAGAAAAUUAUGAAUAAAUAUGUAAAAUGGUCGCCGACUGCAAACAAAAUUGAAGAGAAUCUUGACACAGCUUCGCGAUCGAACAACCCUAUAUAGACUUCUAUGCCUCUUGAAAGAAUGUAAGAGAGGUAAAAGGUAGGCUCAAGCUCAACUUAGUCAUCUUGGUUCGUUUGGCUAGAGUUUUUGUAGAUUCAACCAUGUUGGGCCAGACUAAAAAAAUAAAUGCAUGAGAAAUUUCCUGUCAAGAUCAAAUAUUUAAUUUCUUCUCCUACAGCAGCCUGCCUCGAAUUUUUCUUUUUUUUUUUUCUUUUUUUUCGAAAAAUGUCUCAUUAAAGAUCGCUGAUGUUUUAAUAGUUACAUAUAGUAAACGUUAAUUUAAUUAUUUUAACUGUGCGUCGCAAUGUGCCAUCAGCGUAUCAAAUAGUUUUGCGGGAGCAACGUGCACGAGUUGCCCGAAGCUAGCUUGAAAGUAAGAUUAUUGUAUUCCACCACUCCUAGCAAUGAAGAAAAGCCACUGUAUAUACAAUGGAUAUUCUACAGAAUAUGUCUUAUCCCACCAGUUUUAUUGAGCCAUGUGGAAUUGUAGAUUUCUAAUUAAGAAUAAUAAUAUGAUAAUUUUUAAUUUAAAAAUGUUAAUUAAGGAAAAAUUGUUCACAUGCUUUGCAGCAUUACGAUGAUUUUGUUUAGGUUAAAUUUGACUUUCAGAUAGUUUAAAUGAUUUAAAUUGUGCUUAACAGUGCCGAUCGUUAAUUUGAAAGUUCUAUCAUUGAAAACAAAUCGGUAGUAAACUAAGCCGUUUACUACUGAUAAUAUUCUAGUAAACCUCUAUAAAAUAUCUAUUAUAUAGAAAAUUUUUCUUAAUAAUAUAAAUAAGAGGUGGUUCAUAAUGUAAGUGGUAAAAGGUUUAAUAUAUUUUUUUUUUUUGAGAGAUAGGUAGCACGCUACCCGUUUCGUUUAUUUUAUUUAGAAAUAAACUUAGCUAGAAAUGUGAAUCAACUAGGAUUCGAACUUGGGUCUCGGGUACCAACCACCAAAGUUUAAUAAUUAAUACUGAGGUUUCAAGUUCAGAAUCUAGCUAGUUAUUUCAUAUUAUCAGCUAAUAAUUUAUUUCAAAAAAGAAAAACUUUUCUCUUAAAAAAAACAGUAUAAUUAAACAAGAGGGCAAAACCAAGGACUCUUCAUCAAUAACUGAAAACGCCAUAAAUGUCUCGACGGAUCUAGUUGAAGUUACCAACUGUCGAUAUAAUCAUACAAACUUGUGCAUAUUGACAUCCAACUUCCAACAUUAAUUCCUCUAAGUACACCAAAGAGAAGCAACUCAAACAAAAAAAAGAAAAAGAAAAAAAAAGCAAAUCUUUAUAAAAUUCAAAAGUAAGUUCCCUACUAUAUAUUUUCGGAAAAAAAUUAGAGUAAAAUCCAACUCUUAUAGUUUUAAAAGAAAAUAUAUAUACUAAUAUACCAUGAAAAAUCCACAUCCUCAUUUCUUACCAAUUUAAUUAAUUUCUUAAAUGUGCAUGGUUAAUUUCUUUGGACGAAGAAUACGAGCGCCUUAUUUACAUUUUGUAGUAACUUGGGCACCUUGUGUGGAUCAUUAACCUAUAACCUAACGUGACUCGACCUUACUGGAAUUGCACAAUUAAAUUAGAUUGUUGGUGGGUCCUUUUCUAGUCACUAGAGUAGCUUAGAGAAUUUAUUCUAAAGUGUCGUGCAAUGCCUAAUGUUUUCUAAAAGGCAAGAGAGAGAGAGGCCCGAAUACUUCUGGAAUUAAUUGAAGCUGUUUAUUUUUACAUUAUUUUCGCCGAUAGAACAUCAGGAUCAAUAAUCAGCUUUGUUAAAUAUAAUCUAGACUAUUUAAUUUUUUUAAAAAAAAUUAAAUUUCAUAAAUUUAUUAUAUCAUUGACCAAGUGGUGAAGCAGUAUCAAAUUCAUCUUAUAAUACUAGUCAUUAAAAAUCGUCAAUUUUUCAACCCAUUUAAAGACUUAAGCAGAUUAUAGAAAAAAUAAAAUAAAAUUUAGAACUUAAAAAUUUAAAUAUCUUAGAUCAUGUUCAACUGUUGUUGUUCGUCGAUUUUGAUAUCUGAUCGUCAUGUUUACUUUUAGAAUCAUUCGAGCCUAAUUCUCUGUAUAUAGAUAUGGGUUAGGUUUAACAUAAAAAGAGGGGAUGACGAGGAGUGAUGGCAUUUUGGUGGGGAAAGGAGAGCCUAUCUUUUGGAGCUGAGCAUUUAAAGUGGGAUUCAAGAGGAGUUAAUGGUGGCAGGUGGAGUUGAACCAAAUGACCUAUGACCUCCUCCUUCAUGCUUUAAAUAAAUGUUGAGCCUCUCUCUCUCUCUCUCUCUCUCUCUCUCUCUCUCACACACACACACACACACACAUAUAUUAGGAUAAAACUUCCCUACUGGCUCCAAAGGUGUUCAAUUCCAAGAAUGCCCCUCCUUUUGAAGGAGACUAAAUUUGCGACUAAACUAUUUGGCUCGACAUCGUCUACCACGUCAGUUAUGGACUGCAUAAUGAUCUCAGUAGUACAUAGUGAUUUGUCACUAAACUGUUGGAGCAUCUCGUUGACAUUCGUUGUGAGAAUCCAAACGGUCCCAAGGUUCGAAUUUGAAAUCAUCAUGCUUUUUAAAUUUAGGAUUAUCAAGGGCUUUUCCGUAGGUCUGAUACUUAUAUAUAUUGAAAAACAUGCUUUGUUCUUAUUCUACUAUUAUGCACAUCAUCUAAUAAAUUAUAGUCCUUUUUUGCCGUUUAAUUCUUAAAAUCUAGUGAAAAUUCAAAUUGAAGUUGUAAUAAUAGAUGGCUGAUUGACAUAUGGUUCGUGACAACUAUGGUGGAAACUAAAAUACUGUGUCCUAAUUCUAUUUUUAUAUUCACCAUAAGAUAAAUUGCAAAUGCACCUAAAAUUAGAACUAAAGAUGAUAUGGAUGGCUGAUCAACGGAUGGUUCAUGACUGAUGUGGUGAACUAGGUCCAAGCAAAUAUAUCUCCAAAAUAGUAAUAUUUGGAUUAAAGUCUCAUUUGCUCAAAUAAGCACUCCUAUGCCAUCAUCUUUGACACCACCACAGCUUUACCAACCUCCCAUGCUCCUAUCUAAAGGUGCUAAAGGAUUCUUCCUACUUAAAUGCACCUACUACUUCUAGUUAGUUUGAAACACUAUCUUGGUCAUGUUAUGGAGUUUGUAUUGAGUUUCCCAUUGAGCUUUUUGACAACUCCAUUUAGCUUAACCUAACACCCAUGCUCUCAUUUAGAGAUGCUUGGGGGUCCUCCCAACUUUUGUGCACCAUCUAAUUCUAGUUAGGAGAGUUUCUAACUUGGUAGUGUUUGAGUUUAUCUUGAGUUUGUCAUUGAAGUACCAAAGAGGAGAAUGAAGGAUCUAUUCUAUUUGUUCAUGAAUCUAUCGUUUACUAGAUAUGGAGCUUAUGAUCUACCUCAUCUGUAGGAUUAUGAUUUGUAACCUUCUUUUAUUUAGAAUAUACACAAUAACUUAGUGGACUAUUUGUGCAAUUCAAUAGUGUUAUUAAAAUUAGAUUACCAGAACAUACUAUCAUUAAAGAGACCUUACAUCAUGACUUGCCCUUUUUUCUUUUUUUUUCUUUACCAUCAUUAAAUGAUGGCCCGUUCAUUUGCUAGGUUUUUGAGCAAGUCAAAGUACUAUAACCAAACGUGCGUGGUUGAGUUUAGUUGUUUAGGUCAUCAGUGCAAAGUACCAGUUUGAAAUACAUAAACCGAGAUUUGCGACGACAAUUAAGUUGUCUGAAUUAGGUAUUACUGAACCGCGAACCGCGACUUUUCCUACAGCGGAAGAAUUUUAUUUGGUAAUGUGUGAAUCCAAAUUACAUGGCUGAGCUUGUUGAAGUCGAUGCUUAAUUAAUGUGAUUUACUAAACCAUGGUCCAUCAAACUUCACCACAAAUUUUUGUUUGCUUGCACUUUGUUUGGAUAUUUGGCGUUAUAAAGCAAAUUGAAUUUUCACGAUUGUUAGCACAGUCGAUAAGAAUAUAUAUUUCUUUUAUUUUGUUGUAUAAAAAAAAAUUUGUGAAACAAAAACUAGGUAGAGGUUUAUAGCCAACACUUUUGCUUUCCUUGGGCGAUCUAAUGAUCAUGUUAUACUUGGACAUGCAAAUUAAGUGGUCAAACAACAUGGUUUUAAACUUAUCAAAUUGAAAAUUUCGAACAACCGACAACUCAUUGAAUAAGUAGAAACUGGACAACGCUUUGGCAUCGGAACACCCUUUUUGCGCUUAUAAUUUGUUUACGAAAAUCCUAUUUCAGUCAAAUUUGUUCCGUUGCUCACGAAUCAAAUAAUCGAUGGGACCAACGUAUAUAGCAAUACAAGUGCAAACUAAACAUAAGGCUAUGUAUACAAAGUAGAAAUGUAAGUGGGUUUGACUUGUCUAAUUAGGGUUGGUUUUAAUUAGCAACAAGAAAAUGUUUCACAUGAGAAUCCAUAAAUUGUUGAAGAUUCUUGUUAAUAAAGAAUGCGAAACAAUCGUUUCCUCCAAAAGUUUAAGCUAUCAGAAAAAUGCGAAUUUGAAUAUAAAUGGACGAAGAUAAUAUAAUGCUAGGAGCUUGAUGACACUCGAAUUCAGAAUCUCUUUCUCUGAUAUUAUGUUAAGAAACACAAAAUAAUUGUUUUUCUUUAAAAGUUUAAACUGCCAAAAUAUGUUGUUCUUAAUUUGGGAAUUAAUAUUUUCAAUACUAAAUUCGAUAUUGCCAGAAACAGGUAAAUUGUAUCUAGUUAUGAUUUAGACCUUUUUUGCUCUGUCAAUAUUGAAAUUAGCUCUGAAAAUAUCAAAAUUUCUUUUAAUUUGUUUAUAUUUAACAAAUCUGACCUCCUCUUAAUCAUCCAUAACUAAAUUACCAAGUGUGGUGAUUAAUCAAGGGCAUGGCAAUGAAUGGCAUGUGCAUUAAUUUCAAGAGAAAUAAAUGGGUAAUUUGGAGAUCUGACACCAAGAAUUCAAUAAGGGGUUAUUGAGAAGAGAGAGAGGGGAGGGGGGUGUGGUGUGCAUAUUUAUUUCAUGAGGUGUUUUUGCUUUAAAUUAGGGUUUAAAGUGGGUGUUGGAGUGCUUUAAUUUGCAGCUCUUUGGGCGACCCAAAAGUGGAAGUUGGAGUUAUGAAAGAAGCUAAGGCAUUCAAUCCAUCCUCAACUGUAUACACUUCCCCUUUGGUUACUCUCACCUCCCUUAUCCUGCACCCCUCUCUCUCACCCUCUCUUAUGCUCAAAUCACCACCAAAACUGACCCGUAAACCAUCCGAUCGCAUCGACGCAUCCGAAGUAAAAUAAACGGUCGAUCGGACGGUCGGAUUCCGACCGGUCAAUGUCUAAUAAGAAGCUUGGGAUGGAUAUAUAGCUUUCAUUUAUCUGUUUUAGCUAGUUUCUAAUUUGUGCAGUGUGAUAUGAUGGGAAACUGCAAAGCCCACAAGACACUGAGAAACAUGUGAGGGAAAGGGAUUGGUAGGGAGGUGACCUGAUCCCAAUUGGUGAGAAUUCUAAUGCAUGUCAAAGAGCGUGGGGAUGUGUGUGUGUGUGUGUGUGUGUGUGUGUGUGUGUGGACACCUCCCAAUGUACCCUUUAAAGGCUCUUCAAUUAGAUCCUUCCUUGUAGUUCUCUACUCUUAAAUGGGCCUCCUAAUCCAGCCCUAUAAAAGCAACCCAAAAUCCGCUACUCUUAUGCACAGCAAAUAGAGAUAGAGAGAAGGGAGAGAGAGAGAGAUAAGGAGAGCAAAACUUAAUUUAAGGCACACACAUAGAGGGGUUCUUUGUUUGAUCGCAAUCCAUGGUGUCGUUGCAAACAACCCUCUCCUCGGAGGAGAAGAGAUCGUGUUGCAGCUUCGACAAGCCGGUGCCGAAGAAAAGGAAGUGGGAGGACGAGGAGGAGAGCGAUAGCGACUUCUUCGCGAAUGAGUUCGCGAAUGAGCCCAGGAUCAAGCAAGCGAAAGCCGAGGAGACCACGAAAGUUGAUAUCGAGCUGCACCUCGACUCUCCCUUACCGUUGGAGUGGCAGCGAUGUCUCGAUAUCAAGGUACAUAUACAUAUACACAUGUAGUUUCAGUUCUCGCAAUUAUAUUACGUGAUCCAAUUUUAUGCGCGUCUUGGAGUCUGUUUAGCUCAGCUUUCGAUUGAAAGUAGUUUAAUAAUAAGAAAAAGAGCUUGGAUACGCAGAAUUAAGCUCUUUAUUAAUUGCAUGUGCAAAUUCUAUUACGAUUAUUUGAUUAUAAAUUAGAAUUGUAAUGACUAAGAGAUCAUUCAUUAAUUUUCUUAAUCGCAGUCGGGCCGGAUGUACUUCUACAACACUAGAACCCACAAGAGGACCUCAAAGGACCCCAGAGAGAGCCCGGAGGAGGCCGCACCGUCGGGCCCGAGCUUGGACCUCGAGCUCAAUCUCGCCUGCGAGCCCGCGAAACCGACCCGAACCGACAAAAACCCGAAGGCGGCGCAAAACCAACCCAAAUUGCUGGCUCCGCCGCCGCCGUGGGCCGACGGAGACCACCGCGAGAUGGUGGCCGCGGUGUGCAUGCGCUGCCACAUGCUGGUUAUGAUGUGCAAGUCCACUCUCUCCUGUCCAAAUUGCAAGUUUGUGCACCCACCUAGCCAUAAUUCCCAGGGCUCACUUAACAAGCCCGGGUUUAAACUUUUAUGUUUGUGAGGAUAUUAAGAGCUAAUUUAUUUUGGUAUUAUGAAUUCGGUAGAGGUUAAUUAAUUAUAUAGGACUACAAAAAGUAAAAUUGGAAGUGAGAAAGAUAGAAAGAAUGAGAGACAUGUUGUGAUGUAAAUAUAUAUAAAAAAGGUAUAGGUCUUAAGUCCAUCUGGGAUGUUCGUAGGUUACAUAUCAGUGUGUAAUAGAUUCACCAUCUUCUAUUAAUAAGACUUAUAGUUGGUGAUUGUGGAAAAGCAAAAAAAAAAAUUUAAUUUGUUACUUUUGUAUUUAUCCUAUUUGCACAAAUGGAAAUAUCGCAAAGUUUAUAGUUGAGAGAUCUAGUAAUUAGUAAUCAAGUAAAUUACACUGUUGGUCACGAAGAACACUGCAAAGUUGAUCUUUGAUUGUACAAGUAACUUUAAUUUAUUGUAAUUAAGUCGCAUUAAUUCAUAUUUUGACUAGGUUAUCUUAGCAAACUCUAAACUCCAUUUGAUUUUUCUAAUUAAGGGACGGUGCAAUUGCAGUGUCAACUACAUCCAAUCGAUGGUACGACGAAUAAAGUGGUAGCUAAUUUAGCUGUUAAAUCAUCUUCAUACUAUCUACCGCAUCAUCCAUUAAAGAUUACCGUAAUUAAAUUAGCAAUCACAUCAUUGCUAAUUAUAGAAAUUGAAAAGUUUUAAUGGCUGGCCAAACAAAAAUAUAAAGUAAAAUUCAAUAACUUAUUUAAAAUAAACAAAUAUAUAUCAUCUAAAUAAUUUUUAUGAAAGUUUGACAUGCAAGUGAGUGACAUAACUAUUCAAUUAUUAAUGUUUCUCAUAUCAAAAUUCACUUGAUGAUGUAUAUAUUUUUUUUGAAAGGAUGGCGGCGUGCUACCAUUUCUUUGUUUUUAGAAAAAUGAAUUUAGCUGAAAAAAUAAAAAACUAGGUUUCGAACUUAUAAUCUCAAAUACCAAUUAUUAAAUCCUUUGACACUUGUGCUAGGGACGAUCGAUACUUGAUGAUACAGUCGAAUGGACAAAAUACGUACAUUCAAGUCCCCAGAAUAUUUCUUUUAUACCACCUGAUUUUAUUUAAUUCUUUUUCUUGAGAAAACGGGAGAACUCUCUAAUUUCUAUAAAAGCCAAUGGGAUAAAAUAUAAAAAAAGCCACACAGAAUGAAGAGGUUGGGGGGGUGAUUUCACGUUCAUUUAUUAAAGCCUCUACAGUGGCAUGCAGGGCACUUCAUUGUAAUUAAAAUCCACCAAAUUAAAAGAUAUAAGAAACAAGAUAUGAUACUUGAUUGUUUAAUCUCAAAUUUCAGCUAAAAUUAAUAAUAGCUAGUUAAACAAAAAAAGAGAAAAGAGAUCAAAUUGAAAUUAAUGCUGUACCAUAUGCACGAAGCAUCAAAACUAACAUAUAUAAAAUUAAGAGUUAAUUUAACUUUAAAUGGUUAUUGCAGAUCAUGUACGCAUGAGAAACAAGUUGCAUAUAUUAAUUUAUGGGGUGUAGUGAUCAAUUUAUACACACAGUUUAAACGUACUGUUAGUAGUUUUUUAAUUAAAAAUCAGAUUAAUAUAUAGUCAGUUGAAUUUUAUUGUCGAGUAAUGAGUCGUCUCUUUUUAGGUGGAGUAGAACGUACAUUUAAUGCAUGCUAAUUAAUUUCGAUAGUAGCAGGAGCGUAUUAAUUCUGAUGUCUUUAAAUCUAUAUAUCAUAGUUCAUGCAUGUGCCGGUAAUAUUUCGUCUAGUAGAGUUAUACAUCAUUUAAUUAGUCAACAUCAUAUUAAAGCACCUUUUACCCGCAAUAGUGAACUGAAAAUUGCUAUGUAAGUUGUAAGCCCCGUUUCGUUGGCGGUAUAAACGGGGAUAACGAAAGUUAUCCUCACUAUUCUGCCAAACGAAAUAAUUUUUGACCGGAAUAUUUUAUUUCGGUCAAAUUUUGCUAUUUUCGACUAUCCCGGAAUAGAAAGAAAUUUACCAUUCUACUAUCUUGAUGGAAUAGUGCUAUUCUAAUAUUUAAUUUCAAACUUUAUUAAAAUUAUAAAUUAAAUUAAAACUAAAUUAUAUAAAUAUAAUAGGUUAUAUAUUAUAAUAUAUUAUUUUUAUUAUAAAAUUAUUAAUUGCAUUAUAUUAAUACAUAUUAUUUAUAUUUAAAUAUUAAAUAUUAUAAUAAAUUUUAUAGUAAAUUAUAUUUAAAUAUUAUAANNNNNNNNNNNNNNNNAUAUAUAUAUAUAAAUAUAUAUAAAAUUUAAAUUUUAGAGUUUAAAAUUUAAAAUUUAAAAUUUAAAACUUAAAAUUUAAAGUUUGAAAUUUAAAUUCUAGUUUAAAUUUAAAUUUUUUAUAUUUUAUAGUUUAAAAUUUAAAGUUUUUAAAUUUUAUAGUUUUAAAUUUUAAAUUUAAAUUUUAAAACUUUUAUUCUUUUCCCCACCUUUUUUAAUUAUUUUUAUUAUAUAAUAUUAUUUAAAUAUUUAAACUAUUAUUAUUUAAAUAUUUAAAAAUAAUAAUUAUUUAAUUAUUAAAAAUUUUUAAGAUGAAUUUGAAUUUAAAUUAUUUUUAUUAUAAAAUAUUAUAAAUUUAUAUUAAAUGAUAUUUUAAAAUUUAAAAUUUUAAAUUCAAAUAUAAUAAGAAGGAUAAUAUCAUUAUUUUUUAUUUAUAACUACCCAUUUUAAUUCUUAUUCCAUCUUACUUAACCAAACGCCAUUUUUUUUUUAUUUUCAGGAAUAAUCCAAUUUUCAUCGAAACGUAAAAUAAUUUAAUCUCCGCUUAUACCUCAAUUUAUACAUAUUUUUGGAAUAGCCACUUUUUGCUUAUCCCCGAACCAAACGAUACCUAAGAGAAUGACGUAAAAAUAUAUAUAUGUUGUAGGAAGGAAAGAAAAGAAAAGAAAAAAAAAGCUCUCCUCUUUGGUUUUCUCCAGUUGAAUAGAUCAGCAUUGUAACUCAAUCACCCUAAGCUAAUAGCGCUCUUGCAGGAACAAUUGUUUUUGGCGAACUGAUGCAUUCGUAUAUCUCGUGUAAUAUUGGAACUCGCCAUUCGUCAAUUUCAUAUUCCAUAGUUAUUACCAUCAACUAAUUGGUGGUUUCACGAGUUUGUGGUGCAAGGUUAAUGGCGGGGAUUGAAACCUAAGAUGUAAUAGAUGAUAUUGCAGUACUGUAUAAGGUGUACGAGUGCGCACACGGGGUAGGCAAUAACUUCUCCUCUCAUAUCAUAUGAAGUCUCCGUCAAGUAGGGAAGCGUGAGCAUCACAUUAAAGGCACCAUUACUACGCACCACUGCGCACUUACGCAUGGUUUGGUUGGAGAAGUAAUUUUGCUCAAAAUAGCAGAGAUUCAUCACUGGAUAUGGUGAUGGAAGACAAAGUUGCUUAUCUAAUUAAGAUUGGAACCACCCAAGUUGACGUUCGUAUGGUUCUUGCAAGUUUUGAUGAUAUGCUGAAUAAUAUUGAAUCUAACUUGGCAUGGCCAUCACAGCACCUUAGGGCUUUGUUAGAGAUUACAGAUAAAGUGCGUAGCACGGGAUCAGAAAUCUACUAUAGAAAAUUUGUUCUGAGCACUUAUCAAAUAUGAGGACUACUAUAUAUUUAAGAACUAAGCGGCGUCAACUGAAUUAAGAUACAUGUAAAAUUAUGCUCGUGAAAUUAAACCUGGAGCAAAAAUUUAAUAGGAAUCGUUUCAGUAGUGAAUCGAUCAUAUUCGUUAUUCAUAUGGCUCUAAAAUUUGUGUGCUUGUGCGAUGGACGAUAGAUUUAAUGAUCUCAGUCUUUAUUCUCAAAGUCCCAUCAUGUAACUAGUAUGACUUGAAACCCACCCCGGUCCAAUCAACUCCAGUGCGACUCACCGAUUGUCCCUAAAGCAAGUGGCAAAAGAUUUGGUGGUUGAUAUCCGAGACCUAAGUUCGAAUUCUAAUUGAUUCACAUUUCUAACUAAGUUUAUUUCUAAAUGAAAUAAACGAAGCGGAUAGCGUGCUAAUUAUCUCUCAAAAAAAAAGAAAAAAGAGAAAAAACUCCAGUGCAACUCAGAUCGCACCGCGUAGGUUAUAGGUCUCGGAUCAGAGCCUCUGCGGAUUAAACGCAAAUCAGAACCUUCCAAACCCAUCCUUUAUAACCUGAAUCAAAACCCACUCUAACAUUUCAAAAUCAACACCCGCCACAUUUUCGAAUUAGAGAGAGAGAGAGAGAGAGAGAGAGAGAGAGAAGCGCGAUGGAGAAGAAGGGCGAUUCUGAUCACCCCUCCUCUUCCUUCUCCAAGACCCACAUCGCGAUCCGCUGCGCGAGAGCAGCGCUCGUCCUCGCCGAGCUCCAAUCGCCUCCCCUUCGCCGCCGAUCCGCUGCCGUGGCCGAGAAGGAGGAGGUGAAUCCCCGUUCCCCAAUGUCCUCACCAUCUUCUUCUUAUUCUACUUCUCGAUCAAACCCUAAUAGAGAGCCAUUGAUGUUUCCAUCAGGAGACGGAGAGGAUGAGGGUUUCCGUGUCGGAUCUGACGGCGCAGAUGGCCGCGGAGAGGAGGCAACUGCUGCGAUUCGGAGAGGACGAGGUAAUCCUCCACCUCGUUCUCCUCUCGCUGAUCCUGUUGUUGCUUGUCCUCGAAUUGAUGUUGAUGAACUAGAGAUCUCCAUUAGAGUUGGAAAUGAAUCAAGGGAAUUUGUGGUUUCAUCUUCUUCGGUAUCGUCGGUUUUAGGUUUGAUAAUGGUUUGGGAAUUUGCUCUGUUUGAAUAAAUUUCGUUUUGAUUUGCAAAAUCGGGCUCAGAAUAUCUAGAAGGCUCUGUGCUCAUGGAAUUACUGCUUUCUUUUUUUUGGUCAAUCACAGUUAUUAUUACUGUAGCGCAACAACAUGUAUGUACUCACCAUAUACUCUUCACUCUUCGGUUCUGAUCUAAAUAGUUUCAUGUAUCUUUAGAAUGAUUCUAAAAUGUUGAAUACAAAUUUAAUCCUACAAUUUUUUUUUUUUUUUUUUUUUUUUUUUGCUUCAAAUUGCAUCCUGCAAGUUUUUUUAAAGUCAAAAAAUGGAACCCAAAUUUUGUUAGUCUAAUAGUUAUUUCCUUUUGCACGAUUAUAUGAAAAAAUGAUCAUUUGUGAAAAUUUGUAUUCAUUUGUCAGUUGGGUUGAGGUACUGUAAAAAAAAGGAAAAAGUCCUCUAGACAACAAUCCAAUUUUUGAAUAGCUAAUAUUUCUAUUUUUUUAUCAUUAAAAAAAAUAGUAUUUUUGUUCUUACAAUAUUAUUCACCGAAGCACUAGAUGCGUAGUUCCUGAAUCCCCCAAGUGGUAGAAAUUAAAUAAUAUCUUAUUUUUGAAGAUUAACUCAGCAUUAAUUGGCCAGCAUAUUAUUCUAACGAUUGAUUGAAGUUAAAUUAUCCUCACUCUCUCUCAUAAAGGGGUGAAAAGCUGUUACUCUCACAGAGUGAAAUUAUAGAAUAUAUCAUGAGGAAAGGUUAAUAUGCCUAGCUUUUACUUUAAGUUCUAACCAUUCAACAAAAUUUUUAAAAUAAAUUUAAGAAACAAAAUUGACAGUAUAAUUUUUUUUUGAGCAAUAUUAUUCGUGCACAGAGAGAGGAUAGGCAUAAAUUAUUAUUUUUUAAGCUAUUAAUAAAAAAAUAUAUAGUUUUGUAUAACAAAUAUAUUUUUUUUUGAAAAAACUUCAAAUAUCCUGCAUGUGGUUUCGCAGUUUCUUACUUUAAUAUCAUGUGGUUUAAAGUGUAUCAAGGCAGUACCCGGUGGUUUCGCAUUUUCUCACUUUAGUACCCUGUGGUUUAAAGUGUAUCAAGUUAGUACUCUGUGGUUUCAUUUUUGUAUCAAGUUAGUUCCUCGUGAUUUCAUUUUUCUCUUUUUAUUAUCUAUUUCGGGAUUUUUUUUCGUUAAAUCAAUGACAAAGUUAAAACUAAAGGGUACUAAAAUGAAUAUUCGAUAAAUCUAGAUAGGGUAUUUGAAGUUUGUUUGUAUAUAAUUUAACGAAACAUUAAACCACAUGGUACUAAAGUGAGAAAGUGCGAAACCAUAUGGCACUAACUUGAUAUACUUUAAAUCACAGAAUACUAAAGUGAGAAACUGAGAAACUACAAGAUACUAAUUUAAUACACUUUAAACCAUAUGAUACUAAAUUGAGAAAGUGCGAAACCACGAAGGGCUUGUGGGUAUUUAAAGUUUUUUCUUUUUUUUUUUCACCCUCUCUAAAAGCAGCUGGUCCCUGAGUACUGGUGCAUGGGGAGUUUCUAUAAAUGGCUCCGCGUAGGGCUUAUAUUUGCUCUUUUUCGUGUCGCAGCUUCCCAUUGCCGCAGAAUCUCCAAAGUACCGCGAAUGCGACGACCGAACCCGAUCCGCGCCCUGUUUCGCUCUGCCUAGUUGGGCGACGAAAUCCACGAACAAGAACAACAACAACCAUUACAACAACAACAACAACAACAACAACAACAACAACGUGUCUCCCAAUAAAAAAAAGGGGAAAAAAAAAAAAAGAAAGGCGAAAACAACAAACAACGAUUCCCCAACUCCCCUCCCCUCUCCCCUUCCCCACUCGAUGGAACCGAUGCCCCGGUCCCCUCGUCCUCCACUAUCCCCACCAUCACUUACUCCGCAUCUAUUCCAUUCCUAAUUCCGCCCCCCGCCCCCCCUCCCCUCCUCCCCCACUCCUCUUUAUUCUUAAUUUCUUAUUCCACUCCCCCCUCCCUCCUAUGCCUCCAACCCUAACCCUAGAAAUCGCACUUAGCUUCCCCUCUCUUCUUCGCCUUCCUCCUCCCCUGCCGUCGCCGCCGCAAUGCCGUCGUUGGAGCUCUGGUUCCCCGCCUCCUCCCCCUUCCCCGAGGAACCCGCCUUCUUCGGCGCCGGAGGCCUCUUCCUCGACCCCUCCGUUCCCAACUCCCUCCUCUGCUCCGUCUCCUCCUCCACCGCCUCCGAUUCCUCUGCUUCUUUCGUUAGAUUGGGCUCUCCGUCGUGUUCCCGGCGCACGCCCUUCGUUUUGGGGCGGCGCGGAUCGAAGGGCGGCAGCGCGUUCUUGUCUGUGAGCUUGUCGGUUAAGGGCCGCGAGGGUUUCGUGCGGGAGUCGGUGGAGUUUUUGGGGCAGAGCGGGGAGAAGAGCUCCGAGGAGGCGGCAUUGGAGGGGAAGGAGGAGAGUGAACUUAGCGUGGAGGAGGAUGAGAAGAAGAAGAAGAAAAAGUUGACGGUUAGAGCUCGAGGAGGUGCCGUGAACACCACGAAGCAUUUGUGGGCAGGAGCGGUGGCUGCGAUGGUUUCGAGGUAGUGAGCUACUUAUUACUUUGAAAUUUUGAGCUAUGUUCUUUUUGGCACUAUAUAGCAUGAAUUGGAAAUGCAAUCACAUGAAGAAGAUGAAACUAUGCUUUUCCAAAGAAAAACGAAAAAAAAAAUAGGAUGUGGCUUUAAAUAAAGGCCAUUGUUGCUAGUUAGAGGACUUCCCGCUCAUUAGUUGCUUAUAGAUUCAUUCGAGAUUUAUAAAUUGCUUGCAUAGAUAUUUUCGUGGAGCUUACUGUUCCUUCUGUUUCUAGUUUAUAUUGUUCUAUCGAACAUAACUAUGGGAUGAUACCUGGGUUUUGUUUUAGUGUACAUAAACUACAUGCUCAUUAUUACAUUCUUUUCGUGGGUCAAAUACUCAAAUUGUGGGUUAAACAGUUUAAUUAUGGACUUUGAAGUGGAGACGUUUUUAUUUAUAGAACAAUCUUGAUCUAUAGAAACUGAAGUAAUAGAAAUUAUUUAGCCAUUGUAAUGUUUAGUGAGUGCUGAGAAAAUUGAUUAAAAGGCCGUUGGUGAAACUUGUAUGAAUUUGGGAGGUAGCUUUAUAUGAUAUUGUCGAGAAAUGUUAAGUAUGAGGUCACACAUGCCUAGAGAUAAUUCUGUGGGAACUAUUUCAUGUGUUUGCUAUAUUUGGAGAAGAAAAAUCUAAUGUUUAGGCAUCAGUUGCAUUCUGGAUCUUGAUAAUUACCAUUUCAUUAAUAUUUCUCGGUUUAGCUUUGUGAAUUAAAAGAAUGAUACUGCUAGUUGUAAUUAACGUGUUUUAACUUUUUAUUUCGAGACUAAUCAAAAACUUUAUGGUGUAAUAUUUGGUACUUGGUUGCAAGCCUGGAAUAAAGGUGGUAGGUUGGGACAACAUAAUCAGAGUCAUUUGUCAUCGCCACGAAUAUGAGAAACAACUGUAAUAUGGAUCUGGAGUUGACCUGGUGCUAUGGAGUAGACAAAUGGGAGAAUUGGACAGUAGAAUUGAAAGCAAUUAUUAGAGACAUUGAGGGAAAGAAGUCUGGGUAAGUGAAGUCCCACACCAACUAAUCCACUUCAACUAAUGCCUUCUUGUCUAGACUGUUCAUCAAUUUUUUGUUUUUUCCACUUGGAAAUCGAUUUAGUCUCAUGAUGUUAUCAUUUAGCGAACCAUCUGGUACAAAAUGGUCAGUUUAAGGCAGUAUCUCUCUUGUUGGGAGUAACCUAGGAUUUUGCUACGAAGUAGAUAGAGAUUGAAGCAGCUAUGUCUCAUCUGGCUGAAAAGGCAAGUGUCAUUUCUAUCAAGCCUAUAUUCUGGAUGAUUGUUGCACACAUAUUUCAACUUCUUGUUGCAUAGAUAAUUUUUUUGCCCUGGGUUUCUGCUCUUUAGGCGUUGUGAACAAUGUAAUCAAUGUCACAGCAAAGACUUCAGAAUUUUCUAUGAUUUGGUUUCUUCCACUGCUUCUAAUUUAAGAACUAUUACCAACAGAAUAAUUUAUUUAUCUUAUUUUCCUUCAUGUAUUUUCUUUCUUGCUGAGUUACACAUUUUGGUCUAUCAGAACAUUUGUGGCUCCUCUUGAGAGGCUAAAGUUGGAAUACGUAGUUCGAGGUGAGCAGAGAAAUCUUUUCGAACUUAUCCAUAAAAUUGCAACCACAGAAAGGUUGAAAGGUUUCUGGAAGGGGAAUUUCGUCAACAUUCUUCGCACUGCUCCAUUCAAGGCAGUGAACUUCUAUGCGUAUGAUACUUACAGAAAACAGCUGCUUAAACUGUCUGGUAAUGAAGAAACAACGAACUUUGAGAGGUUCCUUGCAGGUGCUGCCGCUGGCAUAACUGCCACCAUAAUAUGUAUACCAAUGGACACGGUAUGUUCUGCUUGUAGAUCAUUUUUUUUUCUGAUGAUUUAUCAUAGGAUUUAUCUUGUGAGACCACUAGUUAAAUAGUUGGCUUUCACAUUUUUUUUCUUUGUUUACGUUUGCAACUUUGGCCCAACUUUUGGCUUUUGGGACCAAAUUCCCUCUCCACUAUUGUGCGGUGAUGUAUGAUUUUAAAUGUUUGAUGCAUAAAUUGGUCAUGUAGGGGGGGGCAGUUUGGUUCUAGAAGUUGGAAAGUGGGCAAGUUGCAAUAAUGAAAAAAAAUGCAACAUUGAAAUCUUAACAAAAUUGUCUCUUUCGAAGAACAAUGGUAACUAUCAGGUUUAGACUUUGUUCGUUGCAAUUCCCUUUCAUAUUGCUUCCUGAUUUCCAUGCUUUUUACUUAAGCUCCCAUAAUUUCAGAUUCGGACAAAAAUGGUAGCUCCUGGUGGUGAAGCUUUAGGCGGUGUUAUUGGUGUUUUCCGCCACAUGGUCCAAACCGAAGGGUUCUUCUCUCUUUACAAGGGACUAGUGCCUUCUCUUAUUAGCAUGGCUCCAUCUGGUGCCGUUUUCUACGGUGUAUAUGAUAUAUUAAAAGCAGCUUAUCUGCAUUCUCCAGAAGGAAGGAAACGAUUGGCUUUGAUGAAGCAACAACAACGUGAAGAAGUGAGCGCACUAGACCAACUAGAGUUGGGUCCUAUGAGGACUUUACUAUAUGGAGCCAUUGCCGGGUGUUGUGCAGAGGCUGCCACAUAUCCUUUCGAAGUGGUGAGAAGGCGGUUACAAAUGCAAGUCAAAGCAACCAAAAUGAAUGCAUUUGCGACGGCUCUUAAGAUUGUGGAGCAAGGUGGAGUUCCUGCGCUAUACGCUGGCUUGAUUCCCAGCUUGUUGCAGGUAACUUUUGCAGAUUGUUUAUUGGAUUUCUUAUUUUGGAGGGGGCUUUUUAAAAGAUUUUAAUACACAAAAUUUUCUGGCUCAUUAGAGAUGGCCACCCUGUAUUCUGUUACGGAAGAUAAAAUGUGUGAACAGUCGGAUAUCACACAUACACAAUAAUUUCAUAUUUUUCCAGAGAUGGCCGUCAAUUACCUGAUCGGCUGAUUGCCAUGUGAUCUAUUAAGAAUGUCAAUCAUCUGUAGGGCCUGAUUGGUCUAGCUGGGCCUUUUGCAAAAGUUUUUUUUUGAGAAACUAGGUGAUUUUGUUUGUUCACACAUUUUACUUUCAUAACAAAGAGAUGGGACUUCUUUUAAUCAUCUAGAAGUUCAGGGGUUUAUCAGCAUUACUGAACCUUUGUAAAAACAAGUCUUGUUUUGUGUGGUCUGACAUCAAUCUACUCCCUGUGUUUUCCAGGUUUUGCCGUCUGCCUCCAUUAGCUACUUUGUAUACGAGUUAAUGAAGAUAGUUCUAAAGGUCGAAUGAAAUAAAACACAGAUUUGUUGCCCUAUUGCUAUUUGGAAAGGGCUCUUACUCCUGUUACAUGAGCAACUAAUUAUUCUUUUCUUUUAAAAAAAAACUUGCUUCUUUAUGGAGAUUCUUCUCAAUGGACUGCAGUCAAAGGUAGUUAAAAAUGCCGUUGAAUUUGCAUCUGAGAUUGGUUUGAUUCACAGAAUUCUAACUGUAUAAAUUUAUUAUUCAGUUUCUUAAAAAAAUGCCCUGUGAAGAAUGAGCUAGAUUUUAAUGAUUUGGUGAUGCUACAUCAGAGUAAUUUGAUUUGUGCCACUCAAUUAGUUUCCGAGGACUUUGAUGUCUAUGGGCUAUGACUAUGGCGUUGACAGCUUGUGAGGGAGUGUUAAUUGAGAUCAUGGGUUUGCCCCCUUCUACACUGCAAGGUACCAGUCUAGUAUUUAUUUCUUUUAAUGUCUUUUUGGCUUUCCUUUUUCUUUCUUUUUUAGGAGUUAUGUAGCUUUGAAAUUCGUGUCAGUGGGGUGAUCGAUGGUGGUAUUGUAAGCCCCGUUUCACUGUGGUUAGCCUCUCUGUGUAGAAUCUGUGUUUCGAGGUAAAAUUAUUUGAGGAUUUUUUUUGAGAGAAAAAUAGCAUGCUAGUCGUUUUAUUUAUUUUUUAAAAAAUAAAUUUAGUUGUAAAUGUGAAAUAACUAGUUUUCCAACUUGUGACCUCGAAUAUUAAUUAUUAAGGUUUUUGUAUUUUGUGCUUAGAACAAACGGUAAAUUUAGAGAAACUACUGAAGCUAUUGGAAGGUGCUUGAUAACCUCUACUUCGACUAGUGCUUUCAAUUCCAUCCCUCAUAAACCUUUACUUUGACUAGCGCUUUCAAUUCCAUCCAACGUAUAUUUGGUUCUGUUAUUUCUCAAUUAACUUUUUUGAAAAUAAGCUAGUAUUAUCGCUUCAAUUGAAACCGCAGGCCCUAGUUUGAUCAUUAAACCCUUCAUAUUCUUGUAGCCUUUGAGCUGCUAUGGAAUUUUUUUUUCUUAUAACAAGACCAUCCAACGCAAAAGAUUUUUGGAUUAAAAAAUCUAGCUUGUUUGAUUUUUGAGCUCUUAAAUUCGAAACUUUUAUUUCAUAUUUUUAACUAAAUGUAUCUUUAAAAAAAAUAGAAAUGAACGGAUCCAGUAACACAAACGGAGAGAAUGUAAUUGGCUAGUUACGUGUUGGAAUAAAUUUGUGAGCUUGGGCUCCUGCAAAUGUGAGAUCGCUUAUCUAGACGAGUAGCCCUCGCACCUACUCCAACUAAUUACAACGCCCACCAUUUAAUCGCCAAAGCUGUAAACUUUGAAAAUGCAGGAAAGCGGUGCAAGAAGACGGCUUGACCAUAUGAGCUUUUCCCAUCAGUGUUGGCUUGCAGGUUAUUUUUCAUGUUUUAAUUAUCAAACUCAACACCGACUGUCUCUAGAGCAAAUGGCAAAGAGCUUGAUGGUUAGUAGCAGAGAUCUAAGUUCAAAUCCUAGUUGAUUCAUAUUUUCAGUUAAGUUUAUUUUUAAAUAAAAUAAACAAAGUGAGUAGCGUGCUACCUAUCUCUCAAAAAAAAAAAAAAAUUAAUAAUAUCCUACUCCAUAUGCUACGCCCUUCCUACUAAGCAGUGACAUCUUAAUUUAUGUCCAGGCAUUAAUUGGGAACCACUUUAGAUUAGAGUUAUAUUAUGGGUCCCCGUUGGAUUACAGAAAAAAUUGACAAGUAUAUAUUUUUUUAUAUGUUUUUAUUUUAACUUUGAUCGUGGCAAUUAUGGUACUGCUUACAGUAAUUAAGUAAUUGGUAUUCUCUUAUUUAAAAUUUUAUAUGAAAUAUUAGAUUGGCCAGCUGUACAAAAAAAGUCGGCGAGGAUAUGGCCUAAUUUUAUAAAAGAGGCUUCAAUGCUAUCGUCAUUAAUUUUUCACUAAAAAAUAUAAUUUGAUGUGAAAUUAAAAAUCAUCUAUACUUCUCUACCCUACAAGCAAAAAUCUAAAUCAAAAAUUUAUAUUUUACAGACCAAGUUAAAAUUUUGAUGAUAGAAAUUAAAACGGAAACCAAAUUUUACGUGCUUUGGUGAAGGGUGGGCCAAAUUACUAAUUAAGAUUCCAUUAUUAUCCCUCUUUAAUUCAAUCCAACGACGCCACCCGUUUCACCCGCCCCUUCCCCCACCCCCCCCCCCCUCUCUGUCUCUCUCUCGCUCAUUUAAUUGAUCGCGGUGUCCUCGUCCCCGUCCCCUCCCCUUCCAUGUCGCCGCCCCCGGAGGAACCCAUCCGCGGUGGCGGCGCUGCCCCGUCCUCGCCGGAGAACGGCGCCGCCAAUGGCCACGCCGCGCCGCCCUCGCCGGAGAACGCCACCGUCAACGGCGGCGCCUUGGAGGACUCCGCCGACGCGCGCCGCCGGAAACCCGACCCUUCCGCGCCGUCGCCGCCCCAGACCUCGUCGUCCUCCGCAUUCCCCUCGUGCUUCCUCCAUCUGAGAUCCGAGGGGGGCCACGGCGACGAGUGGAGGUGGCUCCGGCGGUGCGCCGAGGCCUCAGCCAAGGGAUUCGCGAUCGGCGCCGGACUCAAGGGCGGCCUCGCCCUAUUCUCCAUCCUCACGCGGUUGAGGAGCCGCAGAUCUCUGAGAUCGUCUUCGAGGUUCGAUCUAGCUUAUUUUGCGCAUAUCUCGUUCUCUUUCCCUUCUAUUCUCCGCAUGAUUCUGAUUGUGUGGUGCUGUUUUAGGAAGUUGGGGACUUUCACCAAUGAAGAGGCAGUGAUCAUGGCGAUCAAAGAGACGAUGCGAUAUGGAAUGUUUCUGGGGGCAUUUGCAGGGACAUUUGUUUCCGUUGAUGAGUGUAUAGCUGCUAUCUGGGGCCAUAAAAGGUUAAUGUUUUAAUAUAUUUCUUGUUUCAAUUUUCAUCUUCGCUAUGUCUAUAAAAGGAUAAGUUUGUUGUUUGCCUUAUAAUGGAGUAUCUGUUGAAUUAUAGGAGGAGAUAUGGCUUAGCUUAGAAAAGUUGACCAAUUAGACCAAUGUUAUUCUAAAGUGUGCAUUUUGGUUUUGCCGAAGCGUCGACUUUACUGACUUUACUUGAGCCACAACAUUUUAAAUGAACUUUAAAAUUUUAAUUUUACUACCUAACCUUAGAUUGCUUUUGAAUUCGGAAAGUUAUCUGAUUUCCCAUCAAAUAACAUAUAUUCUGUCCGAUUAGGGGAUAUCUCGCAAAAAAUGUUACAAGUAUGUAAAGUUGGAUAGUAAAAUCAAAACUAUGAAAGCCAAUACCUAUUUUCAAAAAUUGUAAGGUUGGCGAGUAAAAUUAAAACUUUAAUGUUGAGGUAGUGACUUCCAAAUCGCAAUAGUUUAGGUAAGAACUACAUUUUCAUGUUUGUUUUUUCAAAUACAGCGAUUGACUUUGUGGUUAGCUUAGGAUUCUGCUAUAAGUUUGGAAAGUUUGUGGCUUAUGCUAUUCAGGACCAAUUCCAUAUAAAUCAUUGAAUUGAUGGUUGUGAUCCAACUAACAUGAAUAUAUUAUGGAUGCGCACUAUGUACGAUGUAGUAUUGACCAAUGAAAGGAGAAAUGUUCUAUUUGUAGUUCUAACAUGUUUUGGUUUGUUUUCCUCUUUCCAAAUGCUAAUGAAUAGAGUUUUUCUGGUCGGUUCAGAACAGCAGGAUGGAGGGCACUAUUAGCAGGGGCACUUGCUGGUCCAUCGAUGAUUCUGACGGGGCCAAAUACACAGCACACUAGCUUAGCUAUAUACAUUCUCAUGCGUGCUGCUGUUCUGGCAUCACGUUGUGGGAUAAAGAGCAAAAAAUUUGGACAUCUUUGUAAACCUUUAACCUGGUCGCAUGGUGACAUUUUCCUUAUGUGCCUUUCCUCUUCACAGAUUUUGUAUGUUUUUCUCUUCUACCUCUCAUUUCAUUUACACCGUGAGGUUUCGGGUUAAUAUUGUUUUUUUUUAAUUCCUGAAUUAAUUUCUGUUAGUUGUAAGUGUAUCUAGUUAUUGCAUUUGUGAUUUGUAGCAGUUUAGAAAAGUAUCGGUCAUUGUUAACUGUCAUAUCAUGUUAAUGUCCAUCAUUGCGUAUCGAUGCUUUUGUUGUUGUAUACAAACAUUCCCUAGUUAAACUUUUAAAUUGAGGAAAUCAAACAUGAAUGACAUUUUAGCAGCUUGUUUGCUUUCCCUUAAGAACUUCCUAGUUAUAGUUUUGCUUAAUGAUAAAACUUGGGAAGAAUUGAACCUACUGUGAAAAUUCAUAUUCAUUUAAAUGGGCGCUGGAAACCCAAAUUUCGCUUAUAGAUUCAAAGAACCUUCUUUUGGCUAGCAAUUUAAUGUGUCUCACUCCAUACUUGUAGUUCAUCUUAAAUUUUUUCUUUGGCUGAUCUCAGAAUCCUUAUGGAAAGCUUGCUUAUUUAUAUCGAAAGAUGUUUAACUGAUUGAAAAAUGUAUUGGCAUUAAAAAUUGUGGCACUAGACGGUUCUCAGUCGGCAACUUGAGGCAGCUAAUAAUUUAGAUACCAAUUAACAUGAUGCCACAUGAAGGGUGCAUGAGUUACACAGGUUCUAAAUUUUGAGAGUAGAUAAAUGCAUGAGUUACACAGGUUCCAAAUUUUGAGAGUAGAUAAUGGAGAGAGCUGUGUAAACUAAAGUAAUAAAGUUGAACAAAUCAUGCCUUUGAAUGAUUUUUCUGUAAGAGAGAUGUCCUUAAACUGCAAUUACUUCCAGUUAAGCCACACUAUUUCCGCCCAUUACAAUAAGUUUUAGAGUAACAAUGCUCAUUUUUAAAUCUUCUGCAAUGCUCAUUUUAAAUCUUCUGCAGAUCUGCUUACAUUCUGAAGCAAGACAGCUUGCCACUAUCAUACAAAUCAUUUCUAAAUAAGCAUGGUGGAAAAGAUCCUCUUAUUCUCCAGGGUGUGAAAGAAAUCGCCUGUAAUAUCCCUUUCACUAACUUGGAGGGCAUUGAGAGGUAUUACAAGUCUACAGGUGUUGACAUAAAACUAGACCCCAGCAUGAAAGUGCCAUGCUCAGUAUGUACUGUGUCUUGUUCCUUUCUUCUUUCUUAUUUUUAAGAAGAACAUUUAUAUACAGCUUCAUGUCAUAUAUUCUUAUAAGACCAUUUAAUUUCAACUAUUUAUUCAGAUUGUGCAUGGCAAUAAAUCUUGCACUGGGCAUUUCAUAUCAUUCCUGUUACAAGCAUAUGGAAGAGCUCUACCUGUUUAUGUUCCAGUUUACUUGAUUCCUGCACUAAUAGUUCACCGUCAGGACCUCUUGAAAAGGUAUACACGAUCACUUAAUUUUUGCUUUAUAUGCUGUCAAAUAGUAUUAAAUAGGCAUCUGCUGAUGCAGACUUUAACAUGAUAUUUUGUAGUAACCUUAAUACUCAAUAUGUGGACACUUAUUUGCUCAGAACUUUUUCCUUUUUUUUUUUUUUUUUCUUUUCAAUCUGAGUUAAUAGCUUUGAGCAAAUCAAUGAGUAAAUUUUCCCGUGACAGCCCCUUAUAAUCAUUAGUUGAACUUUGGAGCAUUCAGAAAUCAAAAUCUCGCAAGAAUCCGAAAUUUUUGCUUCUGCUUAUUUUCCAUUCUAAUUAGAACAAUCAGCAUAAACACGAUACCUGUGGAUUCUUGCGUUAUAUAAUGUUAUGCUCUCUUGUUCUAUUCGUUCAUGUUCUAGUGAAACCACUUGUAAUGUUGCCUUCAAUUGACAUCAUUUUUCUACAUUGUGCUACAGACCUUACACAAUUCUGGGGAAGAGUUUGGUGGGUACCGCAAGAUCUAGCCUAUUCCUCUCUGUAUACUGUGCAUCUGCCUGGUUAGUAUGAUGUUUAACCCUGCUUUUAUGUUUUCUUUGCGUCUCCUUAUCAUAGACUUGUCAUUUGAGUGAUCUUAUUGGGUAGCAAGUAAAAUUUUGAGAUGAUGGUAGCUCGCGACUUGAAAUCUUCCUCUCCCCCUUUCAAGGUUGUAACUUAUGUCAAGCCCUCAUCUGCUUGUAGCAUUAAUCCCCAUAAUAAAUCCCCUUGAUCGUAACAUAAACUCUUACAAGUCUCUCUUCUAAUUUUUGUCUUUCCUACUGAAAGACUUCACAUCUCAUUUUCAGGGCUUGGACUUGCCUUCUUUUUAGAAUUCUCAAGAGGUGUAACGUUCCAAUGGUCGCAAUGGGGACGGUAGGUAUUUCCCAUUAUUAUACUAUACUAAUGUAAAGAAAUUUAAGAAAUAUCUAGUACUAAGUGAUUUCCCAAUAACAGUUUCCUGCCGGCCUAGCAUUGCUAAUCGAGAAGAAGAGCAGGAGAAUUGAGAUAUCUCUUUACUGCUUCGCCCGUGCCAUCGAGAGCUUCUUCACUUGUAUUGCCGACGCGGGCCUCUGCCCUCCAGCCUCGAAACUUAAGCGGGCUGACGUGGUUGUAUUUAGUAUUUCGACGGCCAUCAUCAUGCACUGUUAUGCACAGGAAAGGGAGGUUUUCCGAUCAAAGUACCUGAACGUGCUCGAUUGGGUUUUCGGAGUGCCCCCUGAACUAGAUGAUGAACAUGAGAAAGAAGUGGAGAGAAAGACAAGUUAGAUUGUUCAGAGAUAUAUGCCCAGAAAUUUUGGGAUGUUUAAUAGGAUUAUUAAGCUAUUGAUAUCUAGAAUAGCCCCAUUGGUGGGAUUUAGAAGGAAAUUUAGGUUUUUUUUCCUUAGAGCAAGAUAUUGUAGAUUAGUGGUAAAUACGAUUGUGAAAUUUGCUGCAAUUCAUUUGAACCGUUUUAGCAAUUUUAUCAUGUAAACUAGCGUGUAUUGCCGUUCUGGAGCUUAAUUAUUUUUUUUCGAAUUUUGAACAUUAUUAAAAAAAUAAGACUAGUAUGAAUUUUUUUUUUUUUUAAGAUUAGGGAGUGUAAGAUUUAUUGGGAGCGUAUAGAUAAUAUUGCCCAGGUAUCAAAGUACAACUAACGUUUCUUCUAAAUAGCAAUUAGAGGGAUCACCACUAAAAAUGGUUGUAUUUGUAGGGCUGUAGCUAUAACUUUUUUGGUUAUAAGCAACGGUUGCUAUUCGCAACAAAUAUAUUUUAAGCUAAUUUACAACAAAUAUAUUUCUUUCAACCUUAUAAAAAACAGUUCCAAGUAAUAAAUUUUACGGUCCUACAAAAAAAAUAUACAAAACUAUUUUACAUACUUUUGUGAUAACUCUUCGAGCGGGUUUUGAUAAUAAUAAUUUAUUUAAUUUAAUAUUAUUAGACAAAAUAAAUUUAGUUCGAGUCUAUAGAGUUGUGCGCUAUGGCCACUGGCCUACCGAAAAAUAGGAAAAUUUGUAUUUUAAAUGGCAAGGUCGAUUUGGGGGGAGUUAUUGGGGAAAGUAAAGAGUUUCCAUAAUAUGGCGUGCCCAGCGUAUAUUUUGACUACGAGCGAUCGUUUGUUCGCUCUGUGUUUAUCCCUAUCGAUUUUCCCCAUCAACAACAAAACGACCCAAAUCUGAGGGGACGAAUAUUCCAAUAAAAACCCUAGAAAUAUCCGGCUCCUUUCUAACUAAACCCUAACAGGACGAUCGAAUCCGCAUCCAUCGUCAUCAACGGGGAUCGCUCCUGCUACGAGGAGGAGCGCCGCGAAGCACCCGAGCAACGGGGGCGCAAGGAAGGGGAUUUAGGGCUCGAUUUAGGGUUUCGAUUCCGAUCUCCUCGAGGCCGCGGCGUUCGCGGUAGCGUAUGGUGAUGGGAGCCGCGGGUUCGAAGCUCGAGAAGGCUCUCGGCGACCAGUUCCCGGAGGGCGAGCGAUACUUCGGCCUCGAGAACUUCGGGAACACUUGUUACUGCAACAGCGUAUUGCAGGUCGCCUCAUACUUCUUAUUCUCGGCAUAAAUAGACGAAGUCCAACCUUUUGUUCUAUACUUUUAUGUUUCCUGAACUUUUUGUAAUAGAAAUUGCCUUCAUCAUGCGUUUGUGGGCAAAUGUAUGUGGAUUCUUAGUGAAAAUUUCAUUUUUUUUUGGGUUAGAUUGUAACGUGGAACAUAGUUAUGAUCUUAUGAUCCUGGCAAUUAUGUUUGGAAUAGUGAUGCAGGAGCCUUGUUUAGUAAGGUCCAUACUGAUUAUCAUGUGUAGCAUGUUCUUUUAAACUCCCACCUUUUUCACCCUUUAGUUUCCUUUGCAUUGCAUGUUUAUUUAUCAUUUGAUUAAGCAGGCUUUUUUUUUUUCCUUGUUGUAAAUUUGAGUUUAUCUACUGUUUGCGUGCUAAUUAGUUUUUUUUGCAAGUUCGUUGUUUUGUAUUCUAUACUGUCGAUCGAAUGAUGGAAGUAGUAAAAAUUAGCUUAUAUUGCUUUUCUAGUAAUUUCCCAUAUCGAGAGAUCCUUUGACGAAAGGUUCAAAUUGAAAAAAUUAUUUUGAAGAAGAAAGAGAACUUCUCUUUUGAGUAUGAACUUGUAGUUAAAUGAACUUCCAUAUGGUUUGAUUUCAUGGGUCGAAACACAUGGUCGCCCUGUUUGCUUUUUUCAGAAGUCGAGUGCUUGGAACUUGUCAAUUUGGAAAUUCAUGUUCAGAUUUAAUUUGAUUGUUUAUCUUUUUCAUCGGACGGUAUAACCGACAGCUAUAUUGUUUUAAUACUUAUGUUUAGGCACUUUAUUUUUGUGUUCCUUUCCGAGAGCAAUUACUGGAGUACUACGAAGGCCGUAAGAAUGUUGGAGAUGUAGAAGAGAAUAUUUUAACAUGCUUGGCUGACCUGUUCACCCAGGUAAUUUCUUCUAGGUAUUCAUUCUCAUUAAAUGUUCCUCCUUUUCUGUAUAAGACUCUCUCUUGCAUAUUUAGAGGCUCAUAUGUUAAAUCUCUCUCUCUCUCUCUCUCUCUCUCUCUCUACAUUUACAUACACAAAUAGUAUAUGUUAUUGAGGGUGCAUUCACUCUUAAUUAUGCAAGAUGUGUUCAGGUACAUGCUGUGGCAAUGACAUAUGACUUUGUUCUACACUCAUCCUCUGCAGAUUAGCUCCCAAAAGAAGAAAACUGGCGUUAUUGCUCCGAAGCGUUUUGUUCAAAGAGUGAGGAAAGAAAAUGAGCUUUUCAACAGCCAUAUGCAUCAGGUAAUUCAAUUUGGAUUGUGUUGUUAUUGAUGCUGACAUACAUUAACUUGAUGAUCUUUGGGAAUGUUGUUGCGGUGUACACAUCUUUGGCAAGCACUGUUUUGUCUACAGUUAUGGUAAUAAUCAUGAUUUAACUAUUAGUAGUGUGUCGAUCUACAUGUUUUAUCAGCGCCUUAAUCAUGUAUGGAUCUAUGAAACACAUUGCAGGAUAUUCCCUCUUUUAAUUCAUUCGCUCACAUUGUGCUGUUAGAAGUCGGAAUGGCAAUGAUUUAUUGUUAGCGAUCAUUAUAUAUUGUUUACGUCAUUAUAAAAAGUAACGGGAUGGAGGGGUUCCCUUUAAAUUAGAUAGUUUAUGAUUCUUUUUUAUUAUUAGCCAUUCGUACGUGGGUCUCAUGUGCCAUCUCUUAUUGAGAUGUCUAGAAAGAAUGUCCUACAUCAUGUUGUUUCUUUUUAUCCUGUGUUGUGUUGACUGUUGCUGACAUACUGUACAAAUAAUCUUUUUGUUGUGCAUUAAGAUAUCAUCAGAUAAUCUUAAAUGUCUGUGUAUGUGCGCUUUAUUUUUUUGUAGGAUGCUCACGAAUUCUUGAAUUUCUUGCUGAAUGAGCUUGUUGACAUUCUUGAGAAAGAGUCUAAUGUGGCAAAAACAUCCCCUGAAACGCCAUCUUUGUCGCAAAAAGUUGUGAAUGGUACAAACCAUAUUCAAGACAAUGGAAUCAAGAAAGAGCCCUUUGUUACAUGGGUGCACAAAAGUUUUCAGGUGAAUUUUUAUUUCUCAUUCUAGCUUCACCAUAAUAAUUUUAGUUUGACAACACCUUUAUUCUAGCUUGUAAUUUUUCUUCGUACCUGUCCUCUCUUCCUCACGGCCAUCUUCCUUUUCAAUGUGUAGGGCAUAUUAACUAAUGAAACAAGGUGUCUACGGUGUGAAACUGUCACCGCAAGGGAUGAAACUUUUCUCGACCUGAGCCUUGACAUUGAGCAAAAUAGCUCAAUCACCAGCUGCUUGAAAAACUUUAGUUCAACAGAGACAUUAAAUGCCGAGGAUAAGUUCUUCUGUGAUAAAUGCUGCAGGUGACCUAUAAGUUCUUUCUCAUUUAUUUUUUUCAAGCUCUGCUUUAAGUUUACUUUCAAUGAUUUGAUACCGCCAAUGGCUUAAAUUAUCAAGUCAAAAGUACCAAAAUGGAUAUGCAGUAAAUUGUUUCAUGCGACCACACUUGUUAAGGUUUGGCAAAUCACAGAGGACUAACAGAUACCAGGGAAAAAAAAAAAAUCAAUUUGUGACCUUCCUAAAUAACAGAAUUUUUACUAGCCGUUUCUCUGUGAUAGUGUUGUAGCUGUUAGAUUAAACAAUUGUUCCUUGCCUCAGUUUGCAGGAAGCUCAAAAGAGGAUGAAGAUUAAGAAGACACCAAACGUCCUUGUAAUUCAUCUCAAACGUUUCAAAUACAUGGAGCAGCUCGGCCGGAACAAGAAGCUACUCUACCGCGUGGUGUUUCCCUUGGAGCUUAAGCUUAGCAACACUAUCAACAAUUCAGAUGCGGAGUAUUCUCUCUUUGCCGUCGUAGUCCAUGUGGGAGGCGGGUCCAACCAUGGCCACUAUGUCAGCCUUAUCAAAAGCCACAACCGCUGGCUGUACUUCGACGACGAUAAUGUUGACAUGAUUGAUGAAUCAGCCGUGCAGACAUACUUUGGGUCCACACAAGAAUUUUCCAACAAUACAGAUUAUGGUUACAUUCUCUUCUAUGAGGGCCUUGGUUGAAAAGAGUUAGAAGCCCAGUUUUCACUCACCCUUUUCUCUUUCGAUAUGAGGUAGAAUUUUACCAUAUGGUUGUCUUAGUGUAUAGUAGGUAGUGAAACCACAAUAAGCAGGACGAAGAAAGGGUCUUAAGGGUUCUACAAGUGCUAGGAAUAUUUCCCCCCACAGAUAGAGAAAUGCUGAGUGCUUCCGGAGUUAUGCGGGACAUUCCUGCUACUAUAUAUGGGUGCAUGAGUUGCUUUAGACUUUCUCCCUCGCUUUGGUCCUCCAAUAAUGUCCUCGAAGGAGAAAGAUGUGAAAAAAGUGCUUUAUCUUGCAUUUGGGUAUAAAAUUACAAUUUUGUUCUCAAGCUUUAGAACGUUUUACCGCAGCUCGUGCAUGUGUUUGUUGUUCUAGAUUUAUCAGCAAUAACUUCUUAUAUACCCCCAAAAUCUGUCGGCAUUUUAUUUGUAGGAUUAUUUGCCGGCGACUCCGAUUCAUUCCCAUUACACCAAUGUGCAGAAAUUAGCAACCAUACCAUAGGUUAUAAUAAUCUUUCGUUGCAUUGCAGCGAACUUCAAACCAUUGUUUUUCUUUGGUGAUUAAGAGAAGCAUUAUCGUUUGUGGUGGUUAUAAAGAUUUGAAAUAUGGUUUAUAGUAGUUAGUGCCUUAUUGAGGAAGUUUUCGUUCCACCUGCUCCUUAAGCGGAAAAAGAAAAAUAUAUAUAUUUUGAGUUGUACUACAGGGUGCCGUGAAAUGCAUUUAUCAAAUCAAAUUUGUAUAUGUGAUGUCUUUUAGAUUUGAUAUUCAACUCGGCAAUCAUAUAUGGUAGUUUAAAAGAAUGAUGUUGCUAACAAAGCUUCUUUUAAAUUUGGCGUAAAUUUAUUGAAUCGGUUUUUUUUUUUUUCACUGAUCGAAUUUGAUCAAAUUUAAUAAAUGUUAUCUGUCCCUACUAUUCAGUUGCCCAAACUAGACUAUUACUAUAUAUCACGUCUGAAAAGGCUUAGCAGCAAUUUUUCUUAACCUUGAAUUGAAUAUGGAAGUCCACCAAAGUUUCCAUCAAGAGACAUAAGUUUCUAAACAUCGCUGUAUUGGCUGAAUGGUAUUAUCUAAUUGAGUGUUGGGGUUGUCGAUUUUGACGGCUCUUGAAACUAAAAUUUGUGGGGCCUUUUUCAUCAUUAGUUGUGAAUUAUGCACCACUGGUGAAGUGACAACUUAGGUCAACUCUCUAACUGCCUCAGAUGAUUCUUCAUCAGUAAUAACUAGUAAUAAAACCAUAUCAACUCUCUAACUGCCUCAAAUGAUUCUUCAUCAGUAAUAACUAGUAAUAACUCAUUAGAGAAAAUGAACCAUAUGUGCAUAAGUUGAUACAUCGAAAAUCAUCCACUGAAUAGUAAAAUUAACAUACAAACACGUUCAUAAACCAACAUUGUCUUUGUACAUACAAGGUGAGCACUAACAACACUACAAUAGAAGUGUGGACUUCUUUUGUAUCCCUUACAAGAGUGUUCAAUCAAAUGACAUGGAUAAAAGAGAGCAUCGUAAUACUAAGCAAACUCCGCAAUAAAAGGGUCCUCAACCAACAUCUCAGGCCAGAAGGAGGAGCCCACAUUCUUCUCAUAGCUAGAAGAGCUACAAGCAUCUAUAUUGCUAGUCGAAGUGCUGAUAAGAGGAGAUACCGUUUCCAAUCCGGCGCUAUUAUUCUCAUUACUUAGCGUAAGAAAGCUCGUAUCAUGUUUAUUAUUAUUAUAUGUUCCGAGCGGUUGAUCUAGGCUGCAUGAUAUCUCUGGUAAAUGAUGAAACUGCGUAUCAGCAUUAGCGACAGGAAAAGCACACGGAGGUGGAAUACUAGUAAUUGUAGGGACUGCUGAGCUAAAUAAGCUCAUCAUAGGCUCCAUGUUGGUGAUUGAACUAGUAUUUAUUGCAGGUGAAGAUUGGAGAAGGUAAUUGAAGCACUGGAGCUUUGCCAAUUGAGCCACAUCCGAUCGUAAUCGCGCAGUGUAGUCGUCCAAAGUUUGGUGGUCCAUAAGAUCUUUAAGGCUUGCAAGCGCCAUGAGUUGGGGUAGGGUAGCGAAAAGGUCGGUCCGAGGCCGGUGCGUCACUGGGUCGAUGCCCAUAUGGAUCAAUUUCUUCUUUAGAUGAGUGUUCCAGAAGUUCUUUAUCUCGUUAUCAGUGCGACCUGGAAGAUGCGUUGCGAUUGCCGACCAUCUGAGGAACAUAUAUAGGAAGCGAUUAUUAGCAUCUCAUUUUGAUAUAGAUGGAAGAAGAUGGAGGAGGAGGCUGACAUUAGCAAAGUAAGUACAUCGAAUCUAUUCAAUGUUGCAGCAUAAAGAUUGAUUAGGUUUCGUAAAAUUGCACUGCGCUAUCGAUAAUAAUUUCUGCUAUACUAAUAUCACCACCGAUGGAGAAAGAUUUACUUGUUUCCGAGGAUCGAGUGAAGAUGCAGAAUGGUCUGCUCUUCCUCGGAUGAGAACUUCCCUCUCUUGAUGUCCGGCCUUAGGUAGUUCGUCCAUCUGAGCCUGCAACUCUUGCCACAUCUAUUGAGUCCUGCAACUUAUUGAAGUAGCAGUUUUAACACUUUGCCUACCAGUUGCUUUUACUUUUAGCUACAACUAUCUAUAAAAGAGCACGCAAGACAGAAGAAAAGUUUGGGACUUCUACUAUGAUGACAAAAUGAAUUGAGCUUGUGAUCGAGCUUCAAAAACAAGAAGCUUCAAUUUAGAGCUUCUGCUUUCUUGUGAAUAGAAAGUUAUUGAAAGAGAAUUUCAAUAGCAAAAUUGAUAGUACUUUUCUUGACAACACUUCAUCGAAUAAGACUACACGCCACAGUCGGGCAAAAAAAGUACAUAGUAAGUGAUGAACAUGAGAGAGAGAGAGAGAGAGGAGGGACCAGCAAGCUUAGGGAGGGCUCUCCAGCUGCCAUGUCCAUGCUUUUGGAUGUAUUGGAUGAGUUUCUGGUCUUCUUCAGGGGUCCAGGGCCCCUUCUUCAGGCCAUUCUCAUCACAACAUGGGGAUCUCCCCAUCUUUAUUUUCCUGCUUUAAGGGAGUAGGAUAUGUUCAAGUCACAAGUGAUUGGUCUCCCAGCACACGCUCAAUUUAUACAUGCACUCCCUUGCUUGUGGAUCCCACAAAUUGUUUGUUAAGAAAAUGUCCUAUUGGCCCUUCAUUACUACAUUAAAGAAAAAAACAAUGAUACAUUCUUUUCAAAUAGAUUUGGAUACCUUUUUUUUUUUGGUAGUUGUAGUAGUUGCAAUUUCAUUUCGCAACGAACAUUAUAUAUUGCAAGAUGAAAUGAAUAUUGGUAGUGUGGACUAAAAGAGCCUAUUUGAAUGCUAGAAAUACUGUAUAUCCAGCUCCUCUUGUUUGCUAUAGGAUCAGGAGGAAUAGAUAAUAAUACUUCAGCUGUACUUGUACAAGGUAUUCAUCUGUUUACAUGAAUCCACCCUGGAAAUAAUGGUGAGGUAUCAUCUUGACACGGAGCUAUGUAAUUCCGGUUCAACCUUAAUUGUGCCAAAACAAAAGGAAAAGAAAUAAGCCAAAAAAAUAAAUGGAUAUAUGAAAUAAGAUAAAAGGGACUUGAAGAACAGUAUGGUGGGGCAUGAAUCUCCUACAUAAGAAGCAGCAGAUUUUAUCUUUAUUCAAAGAGGGGACACACACCACUGCAGGUGACAGUUCUCCCACUUCUAACCAACCCCAUUUUCCUGUUUGCUCUGAAAACAUAAUCAACUCUGCUUACACCAGCUAGGUCUAUAGAAGGUUAGGCUCCAAAAUUAGCUCUUAACAAACUAAGCAAAUAAGGAAACAAUAUUAUAAUUGUGAAUUAAGAUUCAGGGAUUUAACCAUGAUCCAUGAUCUAUGCAUUUGGAGUCUUCUGAUCUGCAAAAAAGUUAGGGCCUUAGUUGAGAACUCAAAGAGUGUUAGUUCCUGGUUUUCUUGCUACCAAAUUUUGACCCUACUUUUAUGUCAAAAAUAAAUCAUUGAUUGGAUAUAGAAUUGGUGUUGGCCAAACAAUGGAGCUAUGAACCUCCCGAUUGGAUGGAGGACUUUUUCUUCAAAGAAAUGGGAAAAGUGGGUUUGAGGGAGCGCAGGACAUGACAUAAAGAGAAAUACGACUUGCACACCCAACAGCGGAGUGUAUAUCUCACACCCACUCGCCCAGCAAAUUGAGAAGUUCCUUUUAAAAUAUUUAAUAUUAAAUAAGGAAAUUGAUAAGAAUAUCGAUCUUUAAAUUGAUAGAGUAUAAGAUUUAUACCUAUUUUUGGGAUGUAUAAAUAGCAUUGCUCAACAUGAAAAAAAAAAAAGAGAAAAGAAUAUGAGGCGAGAAGCUUAUGUUGGCAGCACAGUGACAGAGAUUAGUUGGACAAAUAAUGUACGGAGGCUUCACAUGAGUUAGAGGAGAAAAUAGGGCACGAGUGAGAUCAACUUCUUUCACAUACCUACUACAUUAAACAAGGAAGAAACUACGAUGCAGAACCUUUUUUUCCCCAUCCUUUCUCUUUUAAUCACAAGCAAAUAUGAUAUAAUUGGAAGAGGUAAAUUCAAGUAGCAUGAAUUGAAAAUAGAUGCCAUCAGAGAGACAUAAAAGAAUAGGGUAGAAUUCAAUACUUUAAUAAAUUGGAAAGGGUUUAAUCACACCACAAGUUAGCAUUGGAGAGGGUAUUGAAGUUUGAAGUGAUAAGAAGUGACAUUUCCAAAAAAGGAAAAGAAAAAGAAGUGUGGAGAUAUAGUUGCAAAGUAGGCACAUCAGAAGAUUAGAACAUUUUCCAUUGCUGAUCAUAACAUGUUCACUGCACAAAUUUGAUCUAAACAGAAGAUUAGAAAUUUUCGUUUCACAAGCACUCGAUGAUUAUGCGAAAUCCGUGUUUCCUCUCCCUCCCCCAGCUUUUCCUCGUAAUCCUGCAACAGGAGCAACUGAAUGAAACAGAGAUGAUAGAUGUGAAAGAAUAAUCAAACAUAAACAUAAAAGAAGCCUUAUUUAACUUGUGCUAUUUAAAUAUUAUCAAGUUGAUCACGAAAGGUGCGCAAUUUUUUAGCAAAAUGCCCUAUUACUUUCUCUUUCUUACUAGGUCACACGACCUGGUGUUGUCAAAAAGUUUGAUGGCGAGAUAAACAAUGUUCAAAAGCCCAACCAGCAAGCAUCUCAACCAGGCUAUGUUAUAUUAAUAGAUCUUUUCUCAUGCUAAUGGCUACAGUCAACCUACGGUGUCCAAAUAGCUGGAUAUCAUAUGUCAAUCUUCAAUUAAAAUAUAAAUUGUGAUUAAUUCAACAAACGAAAUGAUUUCCUCGUAGAAUAAUGCCUAAACCCAUAUCAUAUUAUCAUCCAUUGCAUAUACUUGCAUAAACAAAGCCUGAACUGAUCAACAAGAAGGAUGUAUAUCCUAAGCGAUCACCAACAGUGACAUGAGAAAUAAUUAAAUGGACAAUAUUUAUGUCCAUAAAUUCUACAUUAAAUUAACUAUUUCCAUAGGUUCUACAUUAAAUUAAUUAUUUCUGCUUAAUAAUCAGAGGACAGCUAAUAGUUUAAUAAUGUGCCAAUUUUGUCCUUUAUCAGUCCCACAUACUAGUUGACUCAAGUAUCGUUCGUGAACAAUUUUCCUACAUAACUAACACCAGUGAGAUACGUACUACAGACAUUCAUCUUUGUACAGUACACCUAGAACUAAAAGCCAGUAAAAUGGAUUUCAUAUACUGCACAUGUAUUUUGGAACCAUAGGAAUCUGGCUAAUAGAAUACAUGGUAGUCAUGGUUUAGUUAUUAUGCCUACAAAUUUUCUAAGAUGACAUGAUGAAGGCAUUGAAGCUAAACAAAUACAAUUUGAGCAUGCGAUAAUCGUAGCCAAUUAUCAGAGGAGCACGAGAUUUAUUACUACCUGAAAAAAACGUCUUAAUAUCCAAUGUAUGUGAAUCACAUUCAAGCCAUCCUAUUAAAUCUCCACAUGUAAUUAAGUCCGACAACUCAAAUGAGUUCUAUAUGUGCUACAGGGUUUUGAAAACGUAAUUACCGAUUGUGUCAGACAUAUACAAUUUUUUAUGAUACUCAGGACAAGAUGUUAGCUCUUAUUAGGUUAGUAGUUAUGACUUUAGUUUGAAGUGUCUGGUUCAUGUGACAUAUUCUAGUCCAUCAUAGUCAGACUAGGAUGAUGAUGAUGAUGACGAUGUUGUUAAAUUCAUUCCUAAGGUAAAUGUAAGUAUUAUUAUGGUUAAAACAGUAAGAAACUGUCUUGGUCUAUCUUGAUAAUUCUGAUUGAAACAACAAGAACAACAUUCAACAAGAAUAAGGCAAAUUCAGUAUCUUCGCAAGCAAAUUAACAGUGAGAAUGCUAAUACUUCCCAGUCUCCUUUGCCUGACAAAUUCAAGCGUAUUACAAUUGGUUAUAACAAAUAAAACAGAAAAAAGUUAGAAAGCAAGCCCUCAUAUGAGGUGGUCUCAUUAUCAUGGUGGUCCUGCAAGGUAAGGUUUAUUAACAAUAGGAAGGAUACAAAGUGUUUGCACUAGAUUUCAGUCAUUUAGCCUCAGGACUUUCUAUAUGUUAUCAUGUGUUUGUUUGCAUUCAAAAUCUUAGGUUGUUAAUGAAUAAAUAGAAUGACUAGAAACAAUCAUAUUGCAGCUGUACUAGAAACAAUAAGAAAAGGAAAAAUCAGAAAAAGAAGUACACUUUAGAUUUAUGGUUAAGAACUUUCCACUAUUGCCAGUCUUCUCAACCAGCACACCAAACAGGACAGGACAUCUUAUUUCUAUUACAUGCAAUGUUGUUUAUACGGUAGUUAAUAACAGAAUAUACUGCUGAUAGAAGAUCCUGUAAAAUUGAUUAUUUACACAAUUAAUAUUAAUUCUUUCUCUUUCAUUCGCUUUUCAAAUAUAGAGAGUAACACUCUCUCAUACAUGACUUACCUUGUAUUACCUAAUAGAGACUAGUUAAAGUGAGCAGAAAAGCUUUCUGUUUAUGCACCAUCAACAAGAGUCCAUUCUAAAAUGCACUUUCGCUAAAAGUUCAUAUAGAAUCAUUUCCACAAACUUCAGAAGUAAAUUGACAGUAACUGAUGACUAAUAUGUUGUGAUUUUACUAAGCUUCCAAGUUUUCAUAACUCUACAUCGACAACUGUUAAAACAGUUUUGCACUUAAAACAUAGACUAUAGCUAGGCUCAAGCUACAUAUCUCAGGAGGUAAAGUAGCUUUAGUAUCUGAAAGAAAAUACGCAGAUACAAUUGAUGUGACCCCAAGUGAUGUAACCUCAAUUGAUUGGUCCCAAAUUAUAUGCUUACUUUCUUCAGAUGCUCUUCUAAAUUAUUCUAGGGUAGAUAAUAGGAAAAUUGAUUAGUCAUUAUACUCUGUUAGUUGAGGCUUUCAAACAAAAAUCUACUUGUUUAUCACCAACUUGUUCAUAAGCUUAAAAUAUUACGGUAUCACACAUUGAUAGGGCCUUGCAAACGGUCAGUGGACGUAUUACUACAUUUAGUAUUAGCCAAUGAAUGAGUUCGUUGGAUAUAAGUUCAUUGUACAUCCACCACAUAACAAAGAAUUAAUAUCUAGUUUAUUCGCCAGAUGAACCACGCUUAAAAUAUUACUGUCUCACACAUUGAUGGGGCAUUGCAAAUGGUCAGUGGAUGUAUUACUAAAUUUAGUAUUUGCCCAUGAAUGAGUUCGUUGGAUAAAGUUCACUGUACAUCCACCACAUAACAAAGAUUUAAGGGGCAAUUUCAUCACUACCCCUCUCAAAUAUGUAAAUAUCAUAGAUACCCCUGCAAAGUUGAAAAUAUCAUAUAUACCCCUUCAAAUGCAAAAAAUUUUCACAAUUACCCUUUCUUCUAACUGCUGUUACUAUAACCAUGGUUAAAGUUUGGUUAAAUAAAGGUUGAGUUACAAAAUGACUAAUUUAGCCCUAAAAAGGUUAGGUGAUAUUUUGAUAGCAAAUAAUUAAGGGGCAAUUUCAUUAAGUACCCUUCUAAAUUUUAAAAAUAACAUCUCUAGCACUAAUUAUUAGUGCGUAAAAAAUAAAAAAACCCCUCACCUAUAGAUCAUUUGAGAUUCCUCACAUGAAUUUGAUAAAAUUUUUAAUUUUGUUGGUGCGGGGGUCUAUUUGAGUUUUAUUUCUUUUUGACUAUCAAAUUCAANAAAAAAACCCCUCACCUAUAGAUCAUUUUGAACUAGACCCCUUUAAGUUUUAUUUUUUAACAUUAAGAGACCUUGAACUAUUAGUUUUUCUUUAUUUUGACUUUACUUAGUUAAAAGUUUUUUAAUUGAGAUUCCUCACAUGAAUUUGAUAAAAUUUUUAAUUUUGUUGGGAAAAACACUCAAUUGCUAAAAUUUUUAAAAAAACACUUAGGUUGAGAGGGUAUAUAUAUAGAGAGUUUUGUUAUAAUACUAUCGGUAGUACAACUUGAUUUACUACGAUUUGUUUUCAAUGAUAGAAUUUCCAAAUUGACAAUCGGCACCGUUAAACAUGAUAUAAACCAUUUAAACUAUCUGAAAGUUAAAUCUCAUGCUUUUUCGAGUUAGGAUUAUGUCGAAGUGGACUAUAGAUGAGAGGGUUUUCAUAAAAUUUUACUUUAUUGUUAACAAUAAAUUUUCAAUUAAAAAUUUUUUGUUUGAGCAGAUCAUAUAAGUAAUACUCUAAUAUCGAGAAUUUUGAUAUCAAAAUAUUUUUAGCAUGAGAUAUGUGAGUUAUUUAAAUAAAAUUUUUAAAAUUAAAUCUUUAAAUAGUUAAUGUUGAAUUCUACUAUGGACAAAUUGCAUUAUAAUUAUGUAUAAUUUAAAAGCGAAAAAUCAUAAUGAGAUUUAACUAUUACACUUAAUAGACUAUAGAUCUUUAAUUGAAAUAUUUUAAAAAUAAUGUUAAAUUAUUAUGUGAUUCAAAUGUUAAAAAUUGAUCAGAUAAUUAAUCUUAAAUAUUACAUAUUUAAAAUGUUGCUAGGGGUAAAAUUGGUAUUUAUAAAAUAUUGGAUGACCACUUGACGGAAAGUGAACCUAAAAGGUAUCUGUGAACAUUUUUGGUUUUAAGAGGGGUAUUGAUGAUAUUUUCUAGUUUAGAGGGUUAUUCAUGAAAUUAUAAUUUUUCAAAGGGGUAUUGAUGAAAUUAUCCCAAGAUUUAAUAUCUAGUUUAUUUGCCAGAUGAACCACGCUUACAGAAGUUAUGAACAAUGAAGAGGAAACCAACGACUUAAUUUGUGGAAAGAGGUUUCUGAUUCACAAGGUCCUUUGAAAACUAUGCCAUUCCCACCGACUGUUGUAAUACACAAUAACAAAUUCAGCUGUCAUACAAGCACGAGAUUUUGCUUGAACUGGACAAAAUUGCUAUUUCGAAAAGUCUAUACUUGCAGUUCUUAUAAAAACUUGAUAAUUGAUUGUUAUAGAACAUGCAAUUCUCAGAUGUUGUAUUUGUUAGAUGAAAAUUGUAUGUUUUGAGAAAAAGAUGAAAAUUGUAUUUUGAUGGCCAAGAAUGAAGGGCAAAGUUAUAGUGCGAAUUCGGAUAAGAUUAACUGCAUGGCAAUGGAUCAAUGCAGCUGUGAAAUUGUUGCAUCUCUUCUGUUUUCAUUAUCCUCUAAACAAUUGAUUCACAAUACUCUGCAAUUGCCAUAUAAGUUUGUCUUCAGGUUUUUUAAGUUUGUUAUGGCAGGCAAGCACAGAGUUCUGGAAGAAGUAGGAAUAUUAGCCCUGUAAAACAUAUUUUAAGAAGUGGAGAUAUAGUGUAUAUCUUAUGAGAUCAUCCUAGUCGGAUACUCGAAUGAAAUUACUCAACCAAAAGAUGGUGAAAGAGAGCAACCACGUAAACAAGCUCCUAACUGUAUGAUCAAACUUCUAAAUAGACUAAAGAUUUGACACCACUUAUUAGCCAAAAUAAAGCAAUAGAAUUCUAUUAAGUAUACAAGCCACGUGCGACUUUCAGCUUUACACUAGUAAUAAAUUGCAAGUAUUGUUAUUUUUUAGCCGUUAAUUUAUCUGCAAAUCAAGGUCCAAACUAUGUAAACUUAGUUCAGGGACCAAAAAUCACUCCAAAUAGCAACCACUUAUGUGCAUUAUAAUACUUCCAUCAAAAGCAUUGGCAUUUCCAAUCAGCUUCCUGAUUGAAAUUAAAAUGAGUUAUGCUUCCAAGCAGUUUAUUCCAUCAUUUCACAUAUUAAAGCAAUUCACAAUAAAAUACAAGGGACCAUACGAUGCAAUCCGGUGUUUGUUAGAGCAUAGGCUUUCUGUAUUUGUAAGCCAUGGGCCACAUAUCAUCACUUAAUAUUCAAUUUCGCUGACUGAAUGAUACUUAUGUAGCAAUUAAAUUGAAUAUAAAGUGCUGAGUGUUCCACAGACCAUGAAAGAGCUAGACUCUGCCGAGCUCUCAACAUCAUGUUCUGGUUGAUAUUUUUAAAUAUUUAUCAAUUUGAAGUCUGGUCGACAUAUCACUGAACGGCGAAUCAGACAGAGUCCUGCAAUCGAUUAGUUACUAGCUAAGUAAAGUCUCCUCUAGAGUAUCCAAGCUUAGGAAAAACAUUUCAAUCCCAACAUUUUAAAACCGUGAUGAAUCUCAGGAGGGCAACUGCGGCAGUAUAUUGUCUCCAUUGAAAUUGAAUUGUUCAGGGCUGAUGAGGCAACACACGAUGGUUUGACAGAACAAAUCAUUCUGCCGAAUGGCAGCCAACAAAGUGAGUCCAUCUUGAAACUAGGGUAACACAUAUAGAUAGUCCCUAUACUAUCCCAGUACUGCAACUGGGCUCCUGCAGUUUCCACCUAAACAAUUUAGUCAAUAAACUUUCAACUCUAUUGCGCUCGGGUCCUUGAUCAGUUGAUCGCUAAAAAUAUUUGAAAAAAUUUUAGUGUAUGGAAUGAACUCAAGUGUGCAUUCAAUUCCCAAGGAGGAUCAUGAAUAGGUCAACAACAAGCAUGGAAUAACAAAUAAAAACCAGGGUUUAUAUAAAAUAAGAUUAAUCUGAAAGAAUAGUGAAGUGCCCAAAUAAAACAAACUGAUACCUGGUUAAUCAAACAUGCAACAAGGCAGAAAAUUCAGAGUAAAAAAGAACUAAUUAUCAUUGUCCUGCUCCGUAACUUCUGAAAUGUUUACACUGCCUAAUCGUUCGUCCUCCGGUAUAAGACACCAAUUUGGCGACUGCACCGCCCGCAACCACUUGAAAUCAUCCACAUUUGCCCAAUUUUCUGUUUCCACUCCGAGUCCAGAAACUCUGAGCUCUUCAUCAAUCCCUUCAUAAAACAACCGAUACGGCGCAAAUCUCACCCCACUGCAGUCCUCUAUGAUCGGCCUGCUUCGAACACGGAGAUAGAAAUCAGCCACCGUGGCUUGGUGAAUCCUGAUCUGAUGGGAGGCCAACAUGAACACACAAUUGCUUGCCUCCUCUAUGAGGAUAGAUCCAAGAACAGGCCCAGCAAAAACGUUGCAAUCUUUAAGCCGAUGCACAAAGAGUGCCCGAAACCGGCCUUUGAGGUAAACUUUGCAAGAUUCGAGAUUGGCUAGGGUGAAAUCCCCUUCGUCUUCUUCGGAAGCCCUGAAUUUCUUCACCAAAACUGCACCUUUCUCGUUCCUGAACCCCGGCGUGUCGCGAACGACCGCAAGAUUUGAUUUUUCCUCAUCUGGGACUUUUCUCUCGUCGAUUUCUUUCACCAAAGUGGCGGAUUCCUUCUUUGGGGCUUUGUUCCUGAAGGAGAACUUCUUCCUCGGAAGAAGCUCCGAAUUGGCGACCUCCAACGCCUCCUUGAGAUCGGAGAUCGCCUUAAGGGAGGAUCGAACCUCGUAGGACGGGAGGAAGUAGGAGUUCUCGGCGAGGAGGCGCUCGAGAUCGGAGAUGGAGGCGGAGACCUUCUCGAGCUCGGGCUUAAUGGCGGGGGCCGAGCAGAUAUCGGCGGCGGCGGCGGGGGCGGCGCCGCGGCACCGGGCGAGGUCGCUCUCUAUCGAUCGCCUCAACUCGGAGAAGCGAUCGAGGAACGCGGCGACGGAGUCGAAGGAAGGGGACGCGGCGGAGGCGGAGCGGCGCGCGGCGGAUGCGUGGAGACGGGAUUGGUGGUGGUUGGAGAUGCGCUCGAGCAUUGCGGCGUGCUUCCGCUGCGCGAUCGGAUCUAGGGUUUGGGUCGAAGGAGGCGGUCCCUCUUCCGCCAUUGUCGAUGCGCAGUGAAGGGCGGCAGAGAGAGAGAGAGAGAGAGAGAGAGAGAGAGGUGAGGAUGGUCGGUGGAAGAAGAAAGGCUGUAAUGGGUCGGAUCUGUCCGGUUUUUUCCGUUGACCACAAUCGGAUUGAUCGAACCCGACCCGUUUGAUGAAAUUUGGUCGGACCCAAAAAUUGUCGCUAAGUUUCGAAUUUGAUCACGAUUUGGAAACUGAAUCCGAUCACAAUUAGGAUGAUUCCGAUUUGUUUCCUAUGCCAAGGAUUUUUUUAGUGAGACAGUACAGUAUGCUCCAAAGUUUCAUUAUAGAUCUGACACAUUUUAAUAAAAUUAUUGAAUAGACUAGAUAUUAAUCAUCAAAUUUUUUAUUAUUUAUUAUGUUAAAAACUACCGAUAAGUGUUAUAGAUACUCUGAAUAACUUUGGCAAUGAAUAUUCAGAUAAAUUCCUCAAAAAAAAAUUCAAAAAAAUUGUUAGAUAGAUUUGUACAUCCAAGUAAAGUAAACCGUGGAAGUCAAAUGACAUAAUAGAAUCAAACAAACAACAAAAUCAAACCGCACAAAUCACAGCAAAUUCACAAUCUGAAGGCUCUCUAUGCACGACACGUGGAAGUAGAUCCCAUCACUGCCGUUGGUAAACCAUCCGCAGGACUGAGCCAGGGAUACUUUUCAAUUCGUACGUUAUCAGACGCUAAUAAAGAAAGGAUAACACAACAUCAACAUGGUCUUUACGUCAAACGGUACACAACUGCCAAUAAAUUCCCGUCCCAACGAGCAAUCGUCGCAUGGACCCCGCCCUCUGUAGACCGGAUCUUCUCAGUUCAUAUGACAACUUCUCAAAGUAAUUAUGUUACAUUUUGAUUUAUCGAGCUUGACCGGGCUACUAUCAAUCGAUUUACUUUCCAUGAUGAUAGGGCUUUCAAAUCAACGACCGAUACUAUUGAACAUAAUCUUAAUCAUUUAAAUUAUCUAAAAAUUAAAUUUUAUAACGUUUUGACAUCAAUAAUCGAACGGUCAAAGAGUUACAAAAUCUAUAAUAUUUUUUAAAAAAAGAUAGCAUACUACUGCUUCAUUCAUUUUGAAGAUGAACUAGGCUAUAUGGUGAGGCAACUGGGUCUUAAGGAAAAAAAAAUUUAUAAUUUUAAUAGCCGAUACGGUACGUUUGCUCAUUUAACGGUAUAGAAAAAUCCAAAUCAAAUAAAUUUUUGUUAGAAAAUUUUUUAACUACUUAAAAUAAAAUCUAGACUGUAGAUCUUAAAUACAAAAAUUGUAUUAUCACUUUUUGAAGAAUAUUUAUUUUCAGUUAUUUAUUUUUUAUUCACUUGAUGAAUAAGAGAACAAUAUCUAAAUGCUUAGAUCAUGCUCGAUGGUGUCUAUCGUCAAUAUGAAAACUAUAGCAUUGAAAAUAAAUUGGUAGCAAAUCGAGUCGUUUACUACUUAUAAUAUUUUAGCAAAACUCUUGAUCUAUCUAUCCAUAUAUAUAUAUAUAGAUAGAGAGAGAGAGAGAGAGAGAGAGAGAGAGAGAGUCCGGCUACUAUACUAUCAAUAGCACAAAAUAGUUGGUGCUACUAUGUUUUCUACCAUUAACCGACCGUCCCAAAUUCGAAAUCCAGUUGCUUCACAUUUCUAACUAAAUUUAUUUAUAAAAGAAAUAAACGAAAUAGAUAGUAUGCUACCUUUCUCUCAAAGAAAAAAAUUCUACUGUCGGAUAUACCCCUUUAAUUAUUUUCAUCCGUUAAAUCAUACUAUUUAACUAUUCACUCACUCAAUUCUAAGGGACUACUAAAAUGUUGUCUUUAUGUAUGUCGUUGAUUUAUUACAUACACGAUAUUCUAAGUUUGAUGCCUAUGCAUUAAGUUUAAAAUGUUAUAUAAAUUGGGUAAAUUGCAUUGUUACCCUCUAAACUUUUGGCGAAGUUUCACUUACCCCUCGAACUCCUAAAAUGGAUAUCUAACACCCUAAAUUCUAAUAUUUUAUUCAUGUUACCCAUUCCGUCAGUUUUCCGUCAUGCUUCGUUAAUCGGAAACUAACGGAAGGGGUAAAACGAAUGAAAUAUUAGAGUUUAGGGUGUUAGGUGUCUAUUUUAGGAGUUUGGGGGUUAAGUGAAAUUCGUCAAAAGUUCAGGAGGUAGCAGUGCAAUUUACUCUGUAGGACUCUUGAUUAUAAAUUAUUUUAUUAUAAUAUGUUAUUUAUGGAUUGACUACUAAUCCUCAAGUUAGUGAUCAUACUUGAUUUUGAAUUUAUAUAUAUUUUGUAUUCUAAAAUAAAUCAUACCAUAAUUUAUCAUAUAUUUUAUUGUAAUAAAAUAAAAUCGAAAAAAAUGAAUUAGAGUGGCUUAAAUAUAAGAAAAGAGCGAUACUAACUACCUACAAUACUCAAACACUCUACUGUCCUGGUGUACUCGCUAAUAUGGUUGAUUUACAAUAUGGGCAUGUUUGGUUCGCUUCUUUUUCAUCCUGGAAUCAGAAUCGGAAUGGAUAAAUCCGUUUGUGGGUGUUUGGUACGCGAGAGUCUCAUUCCGAUUCCGAUUCCGAUUCCGAUUCUUGAGUGGAAUAAGAAUCCCCCAAUCACCUCUUUUUUCAAUCCGACCUAGGAGGCCGGAUUGAAAGUUGAAUCCGGACGGAAUGAAUAUUUAUUCGGAUUAAAUUUAUUUUUUCAACUUUUUAAAUUAAAAUAUGAGUUAAAAUUUAAAAAUUAAAUAUAUAAUUUUAAAUUUUAAUUUAAACUUAAAUUAAAAAUUAAAAUUUAAUCAAGUAUUUCGAAUCUAAUUUAUGAAUUUGAAUUUAAAUUAAAUUUUAAUUUAUAUAAAGUUUUAUUCAAAUUUUAUUUCAAACUUAAAUUAAAUUUAUGGAUUCAAAUUAAAAUUUAAAUUGUAAUUUUAAGUUUAAAUUUGAAUAAAUUAAAAUUUAGUUUCAUAUUUUGAAUUAUCCACUCAACUUUAAAGUUUAAUUUUUUUUUGAAACAAAUAGAUUUAAAAUUUUGAUAUUAUUUUAAAAUUUUGAUGUAAAUUUUUAAUUUGAAUUUAAAUUAAUAUAUUAUAAAGAUAAUGUUAGUAUAUUAAUUUGAUUAUGUUUUUUAUAUCCAUCUGAACCAAAUAUCGACAAUGGGAAUGAUUUAUUCCGAUUCCGAUUCAGGUGAUGAACCAAACAAAAUUAGGGAAUCAGUCAUUCCGAUUCCGAUUCUAGCUUAUUUUGAUUCCGAUUCCAAUUUCGACUCCGACUUCGAACCAAACACGCCCUAGGUGUCCUCACUUAGAUAUAGAGAUUUUAAUUCUCAGUUAAUUUUCUAUAGUACUUGUUUGUCCCUUUAUCUAUAGAAGUAUUGUUCUAAAAAAUGCACUUAUUUUCUAUGAAACUAUACAAUGUAAUUUUAUUGUAGCCUAAAAUAAAAUUUUUGUACUUUAUUUCAGCGAAUUAAAAAUUUUUAAUAUAAAAAAUAUAAAAUAAUAUUUUAUUAGAAAAUGCACUUAUUUUCUAUGAAACUAUGCAAUAUAAUUUUAUUAUAGUCUAAAAUAAAAUUUUUGUACUUCAUUUCAGCCAAUUAAAUUUUUUUAAUAUAAAAAUAUAAAAUAAUAUUUUAUAAUAAUUUAGAACAAUGCUUAUAAAGAUAAAAGAGAUAAAUUAGUACUAUAGAAAAUUAACUGAGAAUUAAAAUCUCUAUAUCCGAGUGAGGACACCUAUUGUAAAUCAACCAUAUUAGCGAGUAUAUCAGGACAAUAGAGUGUUCGAGUAUCGUAGGUAGUUAGUAUCGCUCUUUUCUUAUCUUUAAGCCACUCUAAUUUAUUUCUUUCGCUUUUAUUUUAUUACAAUAAAAUGUAGAAUAAAUUAUGAUAUGAUUUAUUUUAGGACAAAAAUUUAUAUAAAUUCAAAAUCAAGUAUGAUCACUAACUUGAGGGUUAGUAGUUAAUUUAUAAGUAAUAUAUUAUAAUAAAAUAAUUUAUAGUCAAUAGUGCCUAGGGGGUAAAUUGCAGUGCCUUUAUCUAAUAUUUCAUUCAUGCUACCUCCUGAACUUUUGAGUUUUACUUAACCCUCAAAACUUUUAAAAUAGACAUCUAACACCCUAAACUCUAAUAUUUCAUUUGUUUUACUCUUUCCGUCAGUUUCCGGUUAACGGAACUUGACGGAAAACUGACGGAAGAGGUAACAUGAAUGAAAUAUUAUAGUUUAAGAUGUUAGACAUCCAUUUUAGAAGUUCGAAGGGUAAAGUGAAACUUCGCCAAAAAUUCAGAGAGUAACAAUACAAUUUACCCUAUAUAAAUUUGUCAAUAUUCCGGCAAUGCAUAUAGCUCAAUUAAAUGCACUUAUAUACUAUCCAAAUAUUUUAUAUUCCCCUUAGCUGUUGUAGAAAAGGUUAGGAAGUUAGAGUUGUGCUGGUAUGCUCAUGGAAGCACGGAGGCUUUCGUGCUUCCAAGUUAUUUUCGAUGUUCGGACUUUCGAAUGGACGAUCAGCUCCGUUAGAGUUGAUCUAGAGUAUUUGAAGUAUCUAGAAAAUAAAUUUUGCGAUUUUUCGAUAUCAUUUGCCUAGUGAUCGAAGGGGCUCAAAAUCAAUAAUUUUAACGGCCGUGGUGAGCCGGUUGCAAGUUUAACGGUGUAGAAAUAUCCAAAUCACAUGAAAUUUUGAUAGAAAAUUUUUUAUACCAUAUAAAACAAGACCAAUAACUUUGAUCUAAAAUUUUAAUGUCAUAUCAUCAUAUUUUGUAAGAUUUUUAUUUUCAGCCGUUGAUUUUGAGCCACUUUGAUCACUAGGCAAAUAAUAUCGAAAAAUUGUAAAAUUUAUUUUCUAGAUACUUCAAAUGCUCUAGAUCAAGUCUAACGGAGCCAAUCGUCGAUUCGAAAGUUCGAACAUCGAAAACAAAGUGGAAGCACGGAGCUCUCCGUACUUUCAUAAGCAUCCUAGCCGCACUUAGGAAGUUAAUGAGUCAGUGGGAGAAUUUCUGCAAGUCUUUCUGAAUUUUUGUUUUUGUUUCGAGCCUUUGUCGCCUCAUUUUUAUAGCUAAAGUUUAUUAAAACAAAUAAAAUGGAUAGUAUACUAUAUUUCUACGAAAAAAAAAAAAACUUAAACGAUUUUGUGUAAAAAAAAUGUGUAGAUAUAUUAUUUAUAUAUCAAGUGGUUGUGAAAAAAUGAAUGGUAGGGAGAGAAUUUCUAAUAAUUUUUAAUGUCUAAUAGUUGGAAUUUUCAUGUUAAAACUUCAUGAAUUAGUGAGUUUCAAAAAGCCCCGGUCUAUAGACCGGGUCCAUACAGUAGCUUUCUCGUCAUCACUUUCACUCUUUCGGUCAUUUUACCCCGUGUAUAUCAUGAGCACGCCACAAAAGUCAAACCGAGGAAGAGUCUUUAAUUUGUGGCUAUUUUUCACUUGCUUACUUAUUAUUGCAAUUUUAAAUCCUUUUUCGUUGUUAGCUCUUUUAUCCUUUUAAUUAGAAAUUUCACAUCCACUUAAAACAAAAAUAAAAUAAAAAUAAAAUAAAAAGUUUUUUUAGAGAACGGUAUAAUACUAUAAUUGUAUUUUUAAAAAACAUAAACUUAGCUUAAAAAACAAAAAGAAAUUUGGUGUUAGAUUGUGUUACGGACGGUGGGUGGUAAAUAAAAUAAAAAGUUGAAUUGAAUACUCCGCCGAAAAUCCAACUGUUUCUUCAACUCUCAUCCUAGUUCAAAAUUGUGAUGCUUUGAAUACAAUUAUAUUUUUAGUUUCUUUUCCACACUUUCACACAAUAGUUGAAGAAGAAGAGUAUAAGCGAAUCCUAUCUUUUGCUUUUCAACUUACCUUAUCUCAACUCUGAGGAAUUGGUAAGUUCUUAAAUAACUUAUAUCUAUACGUUUUGUUCUGUUUUGUUCUCUAUAUAUGUAAAGAUAUGCAAUUUUGGUGGUUUGAGGUGCAGGAAGUGGAUUUCCGUGAAGAAAUCGAGGUUUUGAGAAGUGGGUUGUGGUCAAAAUCGCUUCUGUUGGAUUGGGAGGACGUGUAUAUUUUGAGAAUUUAGCAGGUGGAGAGAGGAACACGAGUGUUUCUAUGGCGAAAUUAUGUUGUUUCAAGGGUUCGUCCUUAAAGGUUAGAAAUUGUUUUCUAUGUUAAUUGAACUAUUAUUUUGGUUCUCUUUUGAAUUGGGUUUAUGAUAUAUGGUCUUUAAAUCCAACAAAUAGUAGUAUAUAUAUAUAUAUAUAAUAUAUAUUAUUUGUCCUGUUGUUUGAGAUAAACCAAGCUUUGAUUGGAUUCAAGUUUCCUCUUUUCUAUAUAUUAUAUAUAUAUUAUAUAUAUUUUUUUUUUUUUAAUUCUUCUACUAUUUUAGGUGAAAUUGAAAUUUUUAUUCGAUUUAGUUUUCAACUCAUCCUCUUUGUUAGGAUGAAAUAAUAUAUGAUGACAGUAAUACAGAGAAUAAGAGUCAAUAAUUCGAAGCGGGUAGCGUGCUACCCUUUCCUCAAAAAAAAAAAGAAAAAGAAAAAGAAAAAAAGUUCGAAGCUUGGUUGCUUCAUUUUAUUUCUAGUUGUGUUUAUUUUAAUUUUUUUUUGAGAAAAGUUGUGUUUAUUUUUUUGAAGAAAUGAACGAAAUGGGUAGCUUGUUAAAAAAAUGGUCAAUAAAUAGGAAAAGAUUCUAUAAUAUAUUCUAAUGGUAGAGUUGUUUGACGUGGUUUUGUAAAUGUUGCUGAACAUUUAACUUUUGUUUAAAAUUUUCACUCUUAGUCUAUAUAAUUUUGUGUUAGCCAUCAAUUUUUUUUCCAGAGUAUAAAGUUCUACAUUUUUUUUUUUUUUUAAAUCUCAUGAUGAGUUCUAUCUCAAGUGAUUCCUGAUGCUAUGAAUAUGACAAAUAGUUAAAUUCAGGCUAAUUGGAGUUCCCUACAUGAAUAUCUAGAUGCUGUACAAUUAAAAUUUAGUGCCAUGAAUUCAAUACUCUGCGGCUUUGGAUUUGUAAUAUAUUUGCCCAUCACUCACAGCAGUAUACAGCAUAUUAUCUCGUUACAUUCGACAAUAGACGAUAUAUUCUUCCUUAACUUUUGUAUAGUUGAUUAAUCAUACUUGAUGAACUCCUCAUAAUCCUUUGUUUCUUCAUUUUCUUCGUGCAUUAGCCUCUGGAUGAUUCUUAUUUUCUAAAGUGGAACAAAAAAACAUCAAUUUUGAAUUGCAUAUUUUGGCAGAGCCCAAGAUUGGUGACUAGUUUUUAAAUGUGUACUUGAGAUGAACUGCAUCUAUUGGCAGAGUUCAGAUUUACCAAAAUGCUGUCGUUGUUGCGAUUAAGCCAAAAUGCUGGCUGAUUUUGAUGUUACAUCGGCAAGCUCAGCUCAAUGCAUUGUUAGCUUUGACACAGGUCGACAAAUAAAUGAUAUAUAAGAGCAGAUGCAAUACUCUUUCAUGAGCUGAAGUAAGGUUCUGGCUUUCUAUUUUGUAGUUAAAAGGUCGUUCUUCGACAGAUGGUGGUAAAGGGAAAAGCAUUCAAAGUGAAGUAAAAGUUAAUUAUGGAUACAGCCUUGUAAAAGGAAGGGCAUAUCAUCCCAUGGAAGAUUACCACGUCGCUAAAUUUGUACAUAUGAAGGGAAAUGAGAUUGGUCUCUUUGGUAUCUAUGAUGGCCAUCUGGGAAAUAGAGUAGCAGCCUAUUUACAAAAGCAUCUAUUUGCCAAUAUUCUGAGGGAGGUAUGCUGCUACUACUCUUUUGCUCUUUAUUUAUUUUUUGGUGGUUCUGUGAAAAUGUAUGGGCCCCCCUUCUGGUAUUUGCUAACAUGUGCGACAACUUUGGCGUUUUGGAUAUGAACCUUUCAAUUAACAUGUUCUUUAAUUCCAGAAAUUUCGUCAGGUUCCAUUCAGAACUUGACAGUUUCUGUCAAACAAGUUACUGAUUAUUCCAAUAAUUAAAGUGAUAUUCUGCAAUCAUACACAAUAUUCCAUCAGAAAGUAACAAAGAUUGUCAAGUUCUGGAAUUUUCUGCAAUCGAACUGCACAUUAAGUUGGAAUCCAAAAAAACUAAAGCUCAGCGACGUGUUCCUUUAAUGGUCGGCUGUUUUUUGCCUUUUCUUUUGCGUAGAGAUGAAAACAGAAUUGCUUGGAAGGAAAGGGAAAAGUGAACUUAAUUUAUCAUUUACUUUGCUGUAGGAAGAGUUUUGGACCCAUCCAGAGCAAGCCAUUUUAAAAGCCUAUGAAAAGACCGAUGAGGCGAUACUUUCACAUAGUGUGGAUCUGGGACGAGGUGGAUCUACUGCUGUUACUGCCAUUCUAGUAAAUGGUAGGAAGCUGUGGGUAGCUAAUGUUGGCGAUUCACGAGCCGUUCUUGCAAAAGGUGGAGAGGUGAUACAGUUGACAGUUGAUCAUGAACCAAGCACGGAGCGUAAAACUAUUGAGACAAGAGGGGGCUUUGUUUCAAACUGGCCAGGUUUCUUAAUCCAUUAAACCAGCUCAAAUCUAGUUUUCUUUGCACUUUGAUAAUGCAUUCUUAUUGGAGAAAUGAUGAAGAUGUUACUUCAUUAAAGAGUUAGUAAAAGAGGAAGAAUAAUUUACCACAAUAAUUAUUUGUGCCUCCAUGUUCCUCGAUAUGAAAAUAGUCGUUCACGAAGAAAUUGAGUGUUAAAAUUUUUUCUUUUCUUUCCAGAAUUUGCUAUGAACUUGUUGGUCUUUCUGUCACCUAAUGAAUCUCGACAAUUUUCCAUUUUUGCUGUUUUUUGUCGCUUGAAAGUGGUGCGGAGUCGUUGUCUUUUCGAUUGUUCAACAAACACUGCACCCGAUAACAAGAAAUUCUAUUUUUGUUCUUUAUCAGGAGAUGUCCCAAGAGUUGAUGGCCAGUUAGCCGUUUCUCGUGCAUUCGGAGACAAGAGCCUCAAGUCACACUUGAGGUCGGAUCCGGACAUACAGUUUGAAGAUACAAGUGCUGGUGCCGAGGUACUUAUUCUUGCUAGCGACGGCCUGUGGAAGGUUUGCUUCUUUAAACUUCAUGCCGCAAUAAACCAAUUUAUAUUUGUUAUGAAAUCCUUUCAGCGAGAGAAGAUAGUUAGUUACUCUUGCCAAUUGUACUUCAGGUCAUGAAAAAUGAAGAAGCAGUGGAUAUUGCUCGAAAGAUCAAAGAUCCACAGGCGGCAGCAAGGCAAUUAACCAAGGAAGCAAUAAAUAGAGAAAGCAAGGAUGAUAUAUCGUGCAUUGUUGUUCGACUUGGGGAAUAAUAAAGAGCUUAGCCUCUUUUUUUCCCCUCUUACCUCUUUUGUAAAUGAUUCUUUCGUCUAUUUUAUUGUUGGUGGGUCCUUAUUGUUUGAUUGCUUAAGGGAAACUUUCAUUUGGUUUUACUAAGAUUAAAGGAAUAGGAAAGAUAAUGGUUGGUGGAACUGUUUACCUUUUCUCCUGAUGUAUUGUUGAAAGCUUGUUGACCAUCUUGUUCUCUUCUUCUUUUUUUUUCUUUUUUUGUUAAAUAAAUGCCUCCUUUUUCUUCUUUUUUUUCCUUUUUCCUCAAAAGCCGUUUGCUCUGAUGCUUGAUUUAUCAAAUGAGAAACCUCUUGCAAUAGAAACUAGCCUAUACUGCAAUGUCUGAUGGAAAGGUGGCGGCGGAAUUCGAUAAAUGUUAAAUUUGCGUUACUAAAUUGACAAUUAUAGACAGUAUAAGAUCAGAGCUUAACAGAAAUUGAAUAAAGAUUUCAUUAGGACUUUUGUGAAUCUGAAAUGGCUCAUAUAGCAAUUUAGGAACUAUCCUCUCAGUGAAAAUAGUAUAAUAAGAACCAGAACUACGACAAACUUGUCAAUAUAAUGUGGUUUCUGAGAGUGGCCAAUUUGUUUUUACAUUUUGAUUAUGUAGAAUUUUGUAGGUUUUGUUUAAACUCCCAGGAAAACAUGAUUACAUAGAAUCUUUACAUUGGCAGGUCAUGCAUUAGGGUGCAUAUCACUCACCACUCUUAGUUCGAAGAGAUGAGAAAAUAAUGAUCACAUAACCAAUGUCCAAAACCCCUCAAAAGUAUAAUCCAUGUCGAAUCAUAGUUUGAUUUACUAUGCUCAUUAACUGCACGAAUACCUCUAAGUAGCAUAAUUGACAUAACCUCUGAUGAAGUUAGAUGUGCAAUGACAUAACCUCUGAAAUAUAGUGUCAUCCAAUUUAAUCACAUUACUUUCCAUCCCUCAGAUGAGAAAAAAAGAAAAACACUUUACAGUACAAUUUCCUUGCCUCUAAAAUUUAUUCCUAUCUCCCACCAGACAAUUCAAUAGCUUCCUGGUGAGACAUGGAGUCCUCUCCCCAGUUUACUCUCCACUGCAUUCUAUCAUGAUCCUGCUUGCGAGCAAAUUCAUGUUGCCACUCCUCCCACCGCUCGGCGAGUCCUUCCCCUUCAAGCAUCCGGACAACUUCUGACAUAGUCGGCCGCUGCUCUGGCGAAGCUUGCGUGCAAAGAAGAGCAAUCUGAAUCAUUGUAUUUACGUCCUCGAUUUCAUAGUUGUUGCUCAAAUUGCGAUCGACAAUGGACUCGACCCGUCCUUCCUUCAGCAGCUUCUUCACCUUUGACAUGCACAAGAAUGUACACAAUCAGUAUAUAUUUCACAUACAACCUCGUACAAACAAGAAGGUAAAAUUUAAUCUGGCAGCAAGGGAUGUCUCGAUUCCCUCUAGAGUAAUCUUCUUUCCGCUGAGGCGCUAUAACUGGAAAAGUGUCACUACAUGCACAAGCCAGGCACUUCACAGCAUAAGUGCUUUAGAGCUUGCGAGGCAAGCUUAAACAGGCUUUUGGACCUCACAAGCACAGUUUGGCAUGAAGGUGUUGAGAAAUUUAAAGGUAAAUUGUAUGCGAAGUCCCUGAACCAUCCUGAUAUUGUGAUUCACUCGUUGGCUUUUCACUUAGACGCUCGUCUCCUUACUUUCUUAUAUAUAGCAACUUCAACCCGGUCACAAAAGGGAAAAAAAGAAAAUCGAUUGUGUGCUGAAUUUUCUCAUACAUAUAGCAUUUUCUCACUUUUUCAUAUACUUUUGAAGUAUAUUGAAACACGAGGAAGUUGCUUUGUAGGAGAACAGAACAAAUGGUCACUUUGCAGGAAAAACUGAGACUUUUCUGACAGAAGGAUGGAACAGCAAUAACAUGGGAAACUCGAGAGGGUGAAGCUGCUCGAGCUUCUUCAAAAGCUCUUCUUCGCUCUUCUUCAACAGCACUUAUGUGGAAGUUGUAGCUGGAAUAGGCAGGUUUAGAGGUAAUGACACAUGGUAAAAAGUUUGCUAUCAUAAGCAAAAAGUAGUACAUGUGUUGAAGUCUCUAUAGUUCUGAGGAAAACUAGGCUGUUUAUCUUGAUUUUAGUUUCAGGAGUAGAAUUAUUCUAUAUAGAUCUUACAAGGUCAAGCAGUAGAACAUCAUCCUCCUCAGGUCGAGAAAUAUCAAUGGCGCGCUGCCCUGUGACGAGCUCGAGGAGCAUGAUUCCGUAGCCGAAAACAUCAGUCUUCUCCGAUGACUUGCCGGUGGAUAGAUAUUCAGGAGCUAUGUGGCCCAUAGUACCCCUAACUUUUGUGGUCACAGAUGUCAUCUUUACGUCCACCAAUUUCGCCAGCCCAAAGUCCCCGACAACCGCCUCAAAGUUCUCGUCAAGUAAGACAUUCGCAGCUUUCACAUCACGGUGGAUGAUUUUGGGGUUGCAGUGUUCGUGGAGGUACUCUAAACCGCGAGCCGUUCCCAGAGCCACUAGUUUUCUUGUUGCCCAGUCUAACACUGGCUCGUUUGGUUUAAACUCUGCACUAUUCUAGUAGUUAAGAUGCAUAAAUUUAAAGAAACAAGCAUAUAGUAACUAAACAACCAGCUAAGAUGUGAGAGCUAAUAAAGCAAGACAUAAAGUACUUGAUGAGGCAAUAUAGAACUUUUAAUGAAUAUGGAGGAAAUUACAGUUCUCGUACGAGAAUCAAAUGAGAAUUUCAGGGAUCUUCUAAGAAUGUGCAGAGACCAACUCAAUUUCAGGGAUCUUCUAAGAAUGCACACUCCUAACUUUGAUUGAGUUAUUUCAAUGAGUUAAAUUAGGGAUUCCUUUCGAAGAGGUAUUGUUAAAUUUAACAGCUCGACUCCCAUUAACAGUAAACAGUUGAUGGCUAAUGGAACCGUUAAGUUUGAAUGAAUCCUCAGUUCAACUGAAAAAAGUUGAGCGGGCAUCAGUCAAAAAUUUAAGUUGUGGGGUAUAUAUCGAAUAGCCGAUAGCUGAGGGAGUCUUCAUACACCUGUUCCCUUCUUGUUUGGAAGGUUGAUGAAAGAAUUAGUACCUCGUAAACGGUAGGCGACACUCAGGUUUUCCAUAAAAGGAUAUACUAAAAGUCUCUCUGUGGGCGUUGUACAAAACCCAAUCAAUCUCAAGAGAUUUCUAUGAACCGCAACACUUAUCAACUCAACUUCACGCAGAAAAGUAGUUUCCCUGCCAGAGCUUUCUACGUCAGUGAAUCUUUUCACAGCAACUUUCCUAUUAUCUGCGAGUACUCCUUUAUACACCUUUCCGAAACCUCCAUGCCCAAGAACAUUUCUCUCAUUGAAGUCGUCAGUGGCAAUUUGCAGUUCUCGCCAAGCAAACCUUUUUAGCUGCCCGAAUGCAAUCUUGCGGUCAUCUUCGCCUAAGAAAUUUGACAUGAUAUAUUAGUCAAAUGAAGUUUAAAAAAAAAGAAACAUUCAUGUUUAACAAUCGAGUUUUUGAAUCACAUCAGGAUCUUAAAGCUGAUAAAGUAAGAAAAAAGCUUUCUCCUAUCCGGAAAGAUGAAUAUACAUGAGAAAAACUCGUACUCGUAAAGCUAAUGGUCAUCUGUGAAAAAAAUAUGAUGAUAGAAUUACAAAGAAGGUUGGUAAAUUAAAAAUGGCAAGAAAACAAGAACUAUUAGAUUGAAAGAUAACAAAACCAAAGUUCAGUAAAUGUCAAAAACUACUUUAGCUGGUCAGUGUAGGCGUGUAAAUUAACUCGAAUAUAGUUAAGCUAAACAAAACAUUCCUGUCAUGCAAUCAAAAUAAUGUAUAAAGGUUAGAGAACCUGGAACGUCGACAAAAAUUUCACGCUUAGAAUGCAUUCUGUUUCUCUUCCAUAAAAGAAGCAGAAUCCCCAUUGUAAGAAACCCUAUUACUCCACCGGUACUUCCAAGUACUACCCCAACUUUAGACUUGUGGGUUCCUCCUAUAAGAUUAAAGUGAAUGACCGUACGGUUUGAUAGCGAUAGCAAUCUCCGCAAUGGAGAAAUGCUUCAGAAGAUAAGAAGGAGAAGCAAGACAAAUAUGCAAAAAGCUGAGAUUUGCUUACCGUGAUCGGCUACAUUGGAUUCACAAGAAUUUGAAGAGUUUUCACCACAAUUUAGAUGGUUACCUGAGAAACUGCACCCAAAACAAGCGUUCAGCUCUGACCAUAGAGAAUCCAAUAAUCCAAAAACAUGAACCUCAACCUUGGUAUAGUGAUUAUGCAUAAACCCCUGGAUUUUCUGACAAUUUUAAGAAACCUUGCCCAUCCUGACCCCCAGACCCUUGUAACGGACUGAUUUGGUAGUCAAUGCAGACAUGAGGUUUCUUAAAAUUGUCAAGAUGUUCAAGAAGUUUCCUGAGAAUUCCCCCCACUAUAGUUCUUAUCACGAAAAACUACUUCUUCGAACAUCUUGCAUCGACAUAUGAUAUCAUAGAGGACAUCCAUACUUGUAUUUGACAACUUGAAAGAGCCGAUCGGGUAUCUGGCCAGCAAGAUUGUUGAAUGCUAGGUUACUGCCAAUAGAAUUCAAAUGCUGCAUCAGCUGGCGCGUAAAUAAUAUUAACAAUUGGCAUAACUAUUCACUACUAAGUUGAUUGAUUUGAGUGAAACUUACUUGUCCAUCAGAACCUUUUUAAAAUAAUUCAUAAAAGACAGCACUACAAAUAACAGCUUACAUGUUGUUCAACUUUGAAAGACCUGAAAAAGAAUCAGGAAUGCUUCCACUGAAGUUGUUCUUACUAAGAUCCCUGUUCAACGUUAUCAUCAACAUUAGACCUUUUAAACAACCAUCUUAAAUGCUGAAAGAAGAAAAUUUCAACAGCAUGUAUUUUUCAGACAAUCAGCCCACUAACAGAAUUUGGAGCUUCGGAAGAUCUCCAAGAGAUGUUGGUAUCUGUCCGGUCAAACGGUUGUUUUCCAGGCUUAAUUCUGUCAAGCUUAACAAAUUUCCAAACUCCUUAGGAAUUCCUCCAGUUAUGUUAUUGUUCUGUAACGACCUGAAUUACAAUAUGCAGAUAAAUGUAUUAUUCAAUAGUUUAGUAGUACGUAUCAGAUACAUUAGAUCUCCAACUUUCUUUGUACUUACAAUACUUGCAAAUAUGUUAAGUCCCCAAUUCUGGGUGACAAGGUUCCAGUGAAUCCAAAAGAAGCCAAUGUUCUAGAAUAUUCAAGAACAGAGAAACAAAGAAAUAUGUUUCAACUUGUUAGAAUGAAUAGAAUACAAUCUUAAACAAAUCGGAGGUGAAUAAGGCAUGAAAGUGAACUUCGUAAUGAAAUUAAGGAGCAAUAAGGCCCAGAAUAUUAGCUCAACUUACACUUCAGUGACCACGUUGCCGCUACAAGUAACAAAAUUCCAUGUGCAAGGACUAACUUGAUUUUGUUUCCAGUUGGGCAGCUGAUUGUCCGAGGCAUUAAGGCUAAGCUUCAUGUCAAAUAAUGCAUCACCUGUUAAAAUUUGGAAUUUUUAUGAGGAUUUUAUGCUAUACUAAGGGGAACAACAAAAAGCUAGUCCCUCAGAAUUGCUCUGCUGAAUAUCUUUAUCAAAUCUUACUAUUCCAGAAAAUAGCCAUAUGUUACUUCAAUUCGAACGCGCCAAUCUCAAUAAGAAAUGUAUGAAAAAGAUCAUCUAACAAACUACCAUAUAUAACACUUUCCAAAAUCAAAAUACCAGUGUCGUCGUCUGCCUAAUUGUUGAACCAAACAGAACACCAGAGGGCUAAAAAAGGCCUUACGUUGACUAUCAGAUGUGACAUAUGAAUCAAGAUACGCCAACAGAAUAAACGUGAAAAACAACUUCAUCCUUCUUGGGUGUAUCUUCACUUCAUUUCAUGAUUUGAUGAACAGCUGAGGCACUCUUAAAACAAGUCCAUGCCGGUGCAAUCACUUGAUCAGGAAGCAGAGAAAACCCUGUAUAAGAUAUGCAAAAGCAAGAAAACUAGAAUCAGUUCUAAAACUAUCAAUAACACAGGAAAAAGUUAUCAACAAUAUAACACGGGAAAAAGCUUCAGGUACUUCUACGUACUCUCCGGUCAUAGUUAUAUCAAAGCUUUCGAGAAUAUUCAUCGGCGCAUCCUCCUUGAAUGAAAUAAGGCUAUUUAUCAAAAAUACAUCACUAAAGCAAAACAAACAAAAAGAGAGAAAACAGAAGAUUACCGCAUGCCGCGACUAGAUCAACAAUCUAAACACACAUUCUCUAGUGUAUGUUUACUGACCCCAGGAAAAGAUUACUAGAAAUAAUGAUGGAAGAAGAUAAUUCAAUCAAAAAAAGAAAAAAUACUGAAGCUCCUUCCAUAAAAUUCAACUCCUAAACAAUCUCCACACAAUUUAAUUAUGUUAGCCCCUCUAAAAGUAAGCGUAGGAAAGCAUAGGGAAAGUAAUUACAUCUAAAAUUCCACUAUCGAAAGUACCAAAAUUUUCCAACGCAGCAACAUCUCUAAGCUUCUGCGCUCGUGUGUGGAAGUGAGAGAACACGAAUACGAGAAGAGGAAGUCCAAAAACAGAAGCCACAACUUUGAGUUAGAGGGAGAGGAGGAAGAACAAAGGAUAUCUUUGUUUUACCCCAAAACUGGUGUAUACCUCCUGGUGGAGCCAAUGGAACUCAAUGCCAUGUUUCCCGCAACAUAAAGGAGGACACAGAACGAAAAGAAAAGGAGUUACUAACAUGUUAUUACCAGCUAAAAACUUAAUAAUUAAUAUUUAAACUCUUAAAUUUAAAAUUAAUUUAAUUGAAAAUUUUUCCAUAUUAUUAAUCAAUAAAAUGUAAAAGCAGCUUUAAGUUGUCCGAAGUGGGACUUUAACAAUAAUAACUUUUCGUGGAAAUGGAAGGUUUGAAAUGCUUUGGGUUCCACGAGUGGUCCCUGCUAGUAAGUUGGUAUUCUCACGUCCACAUUUUGUAUAAUAUUUUUUUGAUAAAUUGGAAACACAAACUUAAAUAAAUAGGAUAAAGAACUAAAUAAAACGAAGAAUCUAGUGUGCUUCAAUGCGGGACUAAUUGCUUUGUAUUAAAUAAUUUUUCGUUCCAAAGACCUAAACGAGGCUGCUUGAACAAGCACAUCUUUGGAUGUGACUAUGUGGGAAUCCAGCAGGGGAUGUGAGUCACGUGGGAACCUGGUACAAUUAUUGUGUGCAUUUUUGUUGUGAAUGUGGAAUAUAUAGUUAUAAUAUGAGCUCUGCCAUAAUGUGUAACGUGUGUUUUUCUAAUAUGGCGGCUUAUGGCGUACGCCGGAGCGAAUCCAUGAUUUUCCAUGAAUUUUGCAAUUUGUCCCGAUGAGACAAGAAGAGAAUAUAUAUAUAUAUAUAUAUAUAUAUAUAUAUAUAUAUAGUUCGACUAUAAUAUUUUUGAAACCGUAAAAGAAUUGAUUCUUGUGAAUUUUUUAAUCUUUGGAGAUCUUUGAUAAUUUCUAGAAAAAGAGAGGAGGGAGUCCAUUGGAUGGGCCACAUGGUGUCCAUCUGCAUCUUGAUGCCUAUAAAAUUUUUGUCCCAAUUUUUGAAUGUUGGAUUAAUUUUACUUUUCUAAAGGGAUUAUUAAAUUUUAGGAGAGAUAACUAAAUUCUAAUUGCUAUUAUCUCAAUCCUACCAACUCUUUUAUAUUUUCGAAACUAUAGUAACUCUACACACUCUCUCUAUAUAUAGAGUAAGACUUGUGUGCUAUGAGGAGCACGGAGAUAAUCGUAGUCCUAAGCUGUUUUCUAUGAUAGGACUUUCAAAACGACGAUCGUUUCUAUAAGAGUUGAUUUAGCAUAUUUGAGAUAUUUACAAAAUAUUUUUUGCAAAUUUUCAAUAUUAUUUAUCUAAUGGUCAAAACGAUUCAAAAUCAAUAAUUUUUAAUAAUUGAUGUAUGCCAUUUGCAAGUUUAACGGUAUAAAGUAUUCAAAUUAGAUGAAAUUUUAAUAAAAAAUUAUUUAUACUAUUUAUUGUAAGAUCAAUAUCUCUAAUCGAAAAUUUUAGUAUUAUAUCAUCACUUUUUGUGAGAUUUUUAUUUUCAGCCGUUGAUUUUGAACCCUUUCGAUCGUUAGGUAAAUGAUACUGAAAAAUCGCAAAAUUUAUUUUCCAAAUAUUUCAAAUAUGCUAGAUCAAGUUUAACAGAGUGAAUCAUCGAUUCAUAAGCUCCAUCAUCGAAAAUUGUUUAGGAGCAUGGAGGCCUCCGUACUCUUAAUAACACACAAGAUCUAUUUUAUAUAUAUAUAUAUAUAGAGAGAGAGAGAGAGAGAGAGAGAGAGAGAUUUGGGCUAGAAUACUAUUAAUACUAUUUGCCCCCUUUUGCUAUCAAAGUUUUAACCAUUAGAUCAAGCCCUUUGAUCAUUUCUAACUAUCGGAUUAAAUAUUAUAACCAAGAGGGGACCACUCAACCAUAGGGAGACCAUUCAAUUCUAAGGGACUAAUAUCAUACUAAUCCUACAAUUAGCAAAAAAUACCAAAUACUAUCAAUAGUAUUCCAGCCUAACUCUCUCUCUCUCUCUCUCUCUCUCGACAGUAUCCCAGCCUGACUCUAUAUAUAUAUAUAUAUAUAUAUAUAGGACUAGAAUUUGCAAUUUUUGAAGGAGACUUUUGGUCUUACUGGAAUAAUUGACUUGAGAAGUGCUUUAGAAAAGUUAUUAAAAGAAACACAAGCAAUAAUUUAAUUACAAAAGUUUCAUUUGGACUUGAUCAAUAAUUGACUUGAGAAGUGCUUUAAAAACGUUAUUAAAAAAACACACAAGCAGUAAUUUAAUUACAAAGUUUCAUUUACUAUAAGUUUGUAGAAUCAUAAAUUCUAAACGAAAGCUUUAGGUGUUACGAAGAUUUGUUGCUGCCGUAAAAUUUUUUAAACUUUUGUUUUGCCAAAUAUCUGAUUCUUAUUUUUUAAAACCUAUUUGGCCAGUGUAUAAACCGUACAAAAUAAUAGAAUGCUUUGGAGCACCUGUGUCCCUGCUAGGGCUGGCAAACGAGCGAGCCGGCUCGCGUUCGACUCGUGUUCGGCUCGAUAUUCGGCUCGCUCGAGCUCGACUCGAAAUUAAAUGAGCCGAGCUUGAACAAAAUAAAAGGCUCGAAAUUCAUUUCAAGCCGAGCUUGAGUAUUACUCGGCUCGUUCGAAUUAGGCUCGAAAAGCUCGACAGCUCGAAUAUAUAUAUAUAUAGAGUUGAGCUGGAAUGCUAUCAGUAGCAAACGGGCUCCGUUGUCACCCAUUUGUUUUCGAUGAUGAAGCCCUCAAAUCGACGAUCGGCACCGUUGAGCAUGAUCUAUAUUACUUGAAGUAUCUAGAAAUUAAAUUUCAAAUAUUUUCGAUAUCAUUGACCUAAUGAUCAAAGGGUUUCAAAAUUUGUAAUUUUAAUGGUCGAUGUGAGGUGUUUUCUCGUUUAACGGUGUAAAACUAUCCAAAUCAAUUGAAUUUUGGUUAGAAAAUUCUUUAAACUAUUUAGAAAAGAUCUACACCCGAUCUUGAUUACAAAUCUAUCAUCACUUUUUAAGGAUAUCAUUUCAGCGCGUUCAUUUUUACGCCCACUUGAUGAACGAGAGAACAAUACGGAAAAACAUGAAAUUUGAUUUCUAGAUACUUCAAGUGUAUAGAUCAUUUUCAACGGUACGCGAUCGUCGAUUUGGAGCUCCAUUCAUCGAAACAAAUGGGUUGGCAACGGAGCCCGUUUGCUACCGAUAGUAUUCCGGCUCAACUAUAUAUAUAUAUAUAUACAUAUAUUAUAUACUAUAUAUAUAUAUAUAUAUAUAUAUAUAUAUAUUAUAUAUUAGAAUUAGCUGGAAUACUAUUAAUAGUAAAACACUCUUUUGCUACUCAAGUUUUUAACUCUUGGAUGAAAAAUUGUAGGUCGGGAUGAUAUUAGUCGAUUAGAGUUGAGUGGUCUCCCUAGGGUUGAGUGGUCCCACUGGGUUAUAGUAUUUAAUCCAAUGGUUAAAAUAAUGAAAAGAGUUGAUUCAAAAGGCUAAAAAACUGUAGCAACAAUGGGAUUUUGGCUACUAAUAAUAGCCCAGUCCAACUCUAUAUAUAUAUAAUGUAUUUUAAUUAUAUAUAUCUUUAAUUAAUUUGGCCAUUAUUGUUGGCCCAUAAAAAAUAAACCAACAAGUACAACCGUGCAUUGAGCCCAACGCUAAAUUACAUAACACACUCUCUCUUUCAGACUUUUACUAUUGCACAUAACCCUAAACAUGAUAACAUUCAAAUUCCCAAAUCCCCAAUUUUUUCCCUCUCUCUCUCCUCUCCUCUAAAUCCUCACCUAGUCAGGCAGUCCCCCUAGCUCACAUUUCUUACAAUUAUUUGAUUUGAACUAUUGAAAUGUUACAUCAAAUUAUAGUAAUGUUCUAUAAAAAUUAAACUAUUGAUUAUAUAAUGUUGACAAUUCAAUCGGUCGCUUAGAGCUCGAGCUCGCUCGACUCGAAAUUAGGCUCGCUCGAGCUCCGGCUCGAAUUAAUUUCAAGCGCAGCUUGAGCCUAGAUUUAGUCGAAAUUAAUUCAAGCGAAUUUGAGCUGACAUAAGCUCGCUCGAGCUCGCUCGUUUCCACCCCUAGUCCCUGCUUAUUGAUAUAAUAUAUAUAUAUAUAUAUAUAUUAGUAUAUAUAUAUAUAUAUAUAUAUAUAUUUUAUAAUAAAUGAUCAUAGUUACUUGAAUCUAAAUUCAUUUCAAUUUAGCCAUUUGGAUCCUAAAUUUUAAUUUAUAUUUUUCACAAUAAUCGGUCGAUAGGUAAUUAAAAUAAAUUAAAAAAUUACAUAAUUAGUUCUAUGUUUAAACUUUGGAUUCAUUUGAAACUGGCUACACCAACUUCAACACUUUUUAUUGUAACCUCUUUUUUUUUAAUUAAGUCAUCUUAGUAAAAACAAAUUAAAACAAUAUCAAAUUCAGUCAUUAAUUUAUUAAUUUUUUGGUUUUAAUUACCUUUGGCAAAGAAAAUUAAAAUAACUAAAUAAUAAUAGAUAAUAAAAUUAUUAAAGUUUUUAAAAAGCAGUACGUGUUAAACUUGAAGCCCACAACUUGUCAGAGGCCCAAAUUCUCGUGCCAUUAACUUCUAAGGCCAGCUUUGGAUGCCGCAGUUAGUUAUUUGAUAAUAACUUACUCGGUAUGAAUAAUUAAGAGACAGAAAUUUAUGCAUUAUUUUUUUUUGAAGAAUUUGGCAUCUGUGAUUUGAUAUAAUUUUACAAAGUAAUUCUUUUUCAUCUAAAAUAGUUACUUGAAGAUCAAAUAUAAUAUUCUAUUUUAAAUAUUUAAUCAUACUUUUAACUUUUAAUUAUAUUAAAAAAUUAUAUUAAAAUAAAAUAUAUUAUGAAAUAUAAAUAUAUAAUAAGUUAUUAUUAUGGUAUCCAAGAUUCCAAGUCCAAGGGGCACACAAGGUUAAAACAAUUGUAACCUUUAAAACGGCUUCAGUAAAAUUCAAGGAGUUGUCGCGUACCUUUCCCACUUUUCUAUAGUGAUGCGGCUGCUCAACGGCACGAUGCAUGUAUGAUGUUCCGCAGUACUACUAGCCUGUGGGCCCCGCCAUUACUUAACUCUACAGAACGCAUCCGGCCAAUCAGAUCGAACUAUUCCGCCCAACCCACCUUACAAAUUCCCGUCACGAAACCCCAAAUUCCGACUCCCUCUCGGAUCGCCGGCGCCGGCGCCGGCGCCGAAGCAGCAGCGAUGCCGCGGUGGCUGAGCGUGACCGCGGGGCGCGACCGCUGCUACCGCCGAUCGUUCACGGCGGCGGGGCUCCGGCCGUCCACGACCGGGCUCGGCGACGGGGCCACCGUGCACCUCUGGCUCCCCCGCCGGCCGGACCCCUCCCGGCCCGCCCUCCUCCUGCUCCACGGGUUCGGCGCCCUCUCCACGUGGCAGUGGGCCCCCUACCUCCGGCCCCUCACCCGCGCCGGGUUCGACCUCUACGUCCCCGACCUCGUCUUCUUCGGCGGCUCCUCCACCCCCGCCCCGGCCCGCUCGGAGUCCUACCAGGCGCAGUGCGUCAUGGCCGCCAUGGACGCGCUCGGCGUGGCCCGCUUCGCCUUGGCCGGGGUCAGCUACGGCGGCUUCGUCGGGUACCGCCUCGCCGCCAUGUACCCGGCCGCCGUCGACCGGGCGGUGCUCAUCUGCGCCGGCGUCUGCCUCGAGGAGCGCGACCUCGCCGCCGGCCUCCUCGCCGUCUCCGACGUCGCCGAGGCCGCCAGCCUCCUCCUCCCGCAGCGCCCCGACAAGCUGCGCCAGCUCGUGAACCUCACCUUCUCCCGCCCGCCCCCGCUCAUGCCCAAUUGCUUCAUCCGAGAUUACAUUCAGGUACCACGCAUCUCUCGUAAUUUAGCCUCGUCCACGGCCGUGGCUAUGCGUAUUAUGCUCUUGUACUAAUAUUAGCCUUAUAAUCUGGUGAAAACAUAAGAGAGAAUUAUAAUGAUUCCGAAGCUUCUGAAGUUUUCCACGGUUCGUGCAGCAGUCGCGCUCCGUGAUCGGCCGAUAGUUAGCUUAUCCGUUCGAUUUGUGGCAAAUGACAGGUUAUGUGCACGGAGUAUGUGAAAGAGAAAACAGAGUUGCUGCAUUCUUUAGUCAACGGCAGAAAACUUUCCGAUCUUCCUACAAUAACGCAGGUAUUCAGUUUUAUAUUAUGCAGAAGAAACUCGCUCCUCACAUUAGACCUGCAUUCAUUUGGAGCUUGCGCCUCUCUCACUCGACAUCUUUGCAUGCCGGUUUUUAACAUCACAGGUUUCAUUUUUGCAGCCAACCUUGAUAAUCUGGGGAGAGGAGGAUCGUGUGUUUCCCCUAGAGCUUGCUUUCAGAUUAAAGAGGUAUAACCAGUGACUCAUUGGUUGUCUACAGGUUUUUUUCAACUUUGAAAGUACACUUAUUAAUCUUCAGGCAUUUGGGGGAGAAAUCUCAACUAGUAAUCGUCAAAAAUGCCGGGCAUGCGAUUAAUCGCGAGAAACCGAGAGAGGUUUGCAAGCUUAUAAGAAACUUCUGCGUUGAUUCCUCUGUAAAAGUCCGCGACAGGCACAAGGUACGAGACUUAUUCUUAUUAUGUUUAUUCAAUGAAGCAGUGCGAGGGGCAGACGUCAGAGAUGAAGGCAAGACCUGAAUGGGGGUUGCAAUGGAGCAAACUUUUUGUGCAAUCCAAAUUAUCAAUUUGAAUCCUCUUUUCAAACAAUUGUACUCACUCAUUUGUAUUCCUUAAUUCAUAGGUAACAUGGAGUAACGUCAUAAGAAGAUUUGAGCGUUCAAGAUUGAGGAGGAUUGAUUCUGGGCGCCCGCUGCUUUAGAGCUGCUAUGAAGAAAGAAUUUACUUCUGGCCAGUAUAAAAGGUUCGGCAUCUACAAUUGUUUUAACGUAACCUUGCAUAUUAGGGCAAUGUCCAUACACCAAUUUCUCAAGUGUAAAUGUUUUUAACAGUUACUCGUGUUUGAGGUUUAUAAUCAAUAUACUAUUCACCUGAUCUGUGCUUUAUGAUUGAUCUACGAGAAUUACAUUCCGUGUGAAGUAUGAAAUGUUAGUCAAAUACUUUAGGUUCAUGUAGUAAUAGGUAUGCAGUGAGCAUAUGCAAUAUAGCCAUAUAGGCAUAUGCUGUUUGAGCUACUCUGAAUGUAUGCAGAUGCAGAGAUGUUUUUAUAAGAGAAUUGUUUAAGUGCAGCAGCUCUUGACUAGCUCUAUUGGUGAAUUCGAUAUGCACGGGUGAUUCCUUUUUCGUUUUUUGUUUUUUUUGUCCAUUUUGCUUGUAGGAAGUGCUUAUUAUAUGUGAUUGUUUGGGCACCUCUCAACCAAAUUAAAAGUAUGUGUUAAUCCUCUGAAAUCUAGUGCAAGAUUUGUUAUCAUGAAGUAACUUAAAAUUGCAUAUAAGCUGGAGUAGAUAAACACACAUUACUUGCGCUUGAGAGUUUUGGUAUCAUGUUAGCUAAAAACAAGUUAAACACCCGUUAUAACGGUGCAGCUGCAAUAGGAAGAGUCUUGUCUCUGAGUUGAUGAGUAGUACCGAUAGUUUGUGGAAUGCAUUGAAGUGUUGAACCGAAUCCAACAUAAAAAAGAAAAUGUCAGAAAUUAAAUCGUAUCUUCUGUUGAUUGGGUGGUCUUACUUUUGUUGAUUCCAAGCUUCUUAUGAUACGUUUGGUAUUGUUAGGAAAUGCUUGAUUGCUGUUUUGCCUGAAACAGUUGAGACAUUAAGAAACUAAAAAGGAAAUUUUCUAUUUACUGUGCUAGGACAUCAAAAACUCAAUUCCCCAUGGCACCUUUCCCAUAUGCUAAUUGGAGAUUAGUGUUUUAAAACCACACUUCGGUGUUGGUUGUUAGUCACGGUUCAAUGGUUUAACAUCGGUCCAACCCGACAGGUUAAAACAACAUUCUUAGACCUCAAAUUUUAUAUUUAAAAUGAAGUUACUAGUAAAAUAAUCGAGGUUACAAGAAAUCAAGAGUAUGUUUACAUAAAGCAAAAUAAAUAAAUAAAUUGUUUUCCCUCUCUUCGUGUUUAAUUUUAAACCAUUUUGACUUGUCGAAUUGGGGUUGAACCCCACAUAUUGUAUUCUUCGGCCCACAAAAAGUAGAUGCAAUAUACAGGCAAAAAAUUGGCAAAGGGUUUGGUGGUUGAUAUCCGAGACCAAAGUUCGAAUUCUAGUUGAUUCACACUUUUAGCUAAGUUUAUUUUUAAAUGAAAUAAACGAAGCGGAUAGCAUGCUACCUAUGUAUCAAAAAAAAAAAAAUNAAAGAAAAAAGGGAAAGUGACUCGACUCUAUCAAUUAAUUAUAGUAUAAUAAUCCUAUUAUUCUUGUCUCCUUGCUUUAGUGAUGUACACAAAGAGUAUACUAACAAAGCAAAAGGUAUAUUUGUUGCUCGUUUAAUUAUCUAUCUGCCAUUGCCAUUUUUCAUCUGAUUGAAAAAAAAGAAAGAGAAAAGGGAAAGGGGAAGAGCAAUAAGAUGCUCUUCCCCGUCCACCUAAUUCGGGGGCGGGAGCAACGGCUUUCUCGUUUUAUCCCCCACAUUCGUACCCACCCAUUGAAAAACCCCCCAUCAGCAUCCAACAAACCCUAACUACCCCCCGAAUCCCCUCCGAUCUCCGCCUCAGAUCCAAUCGCCCCCGCCGCCGCGGCGCCACGACCGCGAUCGGGAUGGGGAGUUGCCUGAGCGUGACCGUGGCCCGCGACCGCUGCUACACCCGCGCGUUCCGGGCGGCGGGGCUCCGGGCGACGGACGUGACCCUCGGCGACGGCGCCACCGUCCACAUCUGGGUCCCGCGCCUCCCGGACCGCUCCCGCCCCGCCCUCGUCCUCCUCCACGGCUUCGGCGCCACCGCCACGUGGCAGUGGGCCCCCUACCUCGGCCCCCUCCUCCGCGCCGGGUUCGACCUCUACGUCCCCGACCUCCUCUUCUUCGGCGGCUCCUCCGCGCCGGGGCCCGACCGGUCGGAGUCGUACCAGGCGCGGUGCGUGGUGGGGGCCCUGGACGCGGUCGGGGUGGGCCGGUUCGGCCUGGUCGGGGUCAGCUACGGCGGGUUCGUGGGGUACCGGGUCGCGGCCCUGUACCCGGGCGCGGUGGAGCGGGUGGUGCUGAUAUGCGCCGGGGUGUGCCUCGAGGAGCGCGACCUCGCGGCGGGGCUCUUCGUGGUGUCCGACGUGGCGGACGCCGCGGGGAUCCUGCUGCCGCAGCGCCCGGAGAAGCUGCGCCAGCUCGUGCGGCUCACCUUCUGCAGGCCGCCACGUGUCAUGCCCACCUGCUUCAUCCGCGACUACAUCCAGGUAAGCUGGGGCUCAGCCCCGCCCCCUCCCCCCCACGGGCCCCACCCUCAGUGGGCCCCACAACCCCCUGUGCACGCGAAAUUAUUGGUCGUUUUGCUGCUUGGAAUACAUUGCCUAAUCAUUGGUCAGAAAUUACUGGGAACGUUAAACGUGUCACGAUGCAAAAAAAAAAAAUAAUAAUAAUAAACACGGUCGACACACAUGCACGUGGGACGGCACGCUUUUAAAGUUCACGUGUCAUCAUUUCCACCCUGGGAUCUUACAGUUUGGCGCCGUAGACCAGCUUGUUAAGAAGAAUAAAGAAGCAAUUGACCAUUUCGAGCCUCCGAAUUCGUAAGAUUCCGCGCCGUUACUCUUUGUCGCAAUUUUGAACGGUGGUCGCCCGAUUUACGCGCGAGAUUAUAUAUUAUACUAUUAGUAGUGAUCCAUAUUUAAAUAUUGAAUCACUACUAAUAGUAUAAAAUUAUAUACAAUUUGCAUCAAUCUUAGCCUUGUAAUUUACCGUUCUCGAAAGAAUCUGAAAAUUCAAAAUAGUAAUUUAUCGUUCCCGAAAGAACCUGAAAAUUCAAAAUAGUUGUUAAAAUUCGGAUGCCGAAUUUUACGACAAUAAAUUGACAGAUAAUAUAAAUUAUUAUAUUUCUGAAAUAAAAUUAUAUAAAUUAAACAAAUGGUUGCAAAUUUCAAUCCUAACCCCUGGAAUAGCUACAAUACAAGGAUGAUUUCUCAGUCUCAAUAAAAAAAAGCCACUAAAAAAUAUAAAUAAAUAAAAAGUAAAAAUCCAAACUUAUGGGCUAACAUAAUAUAUGAGGAAACUCAAAUUCUCCGUGACACUUCAAAAUCCAUUUCAUUUUACCAAUUAGUUUAGAUGAACUUUUUAUAAUUUAAAUAAUUUGAUAGUAUUGAUCGUCCCUAAUACAAAUGACAAAGGAUUUGAUGGUUAGUGAUCGAUGUCAUAGAUUCGAAGUUUAGUUGCUUUACAUUUUCAGUUAAGUUUAUUUUAAAAAAAUAAACAAAAUGAAUAGCAUGUUACUUCUCUCUCUAAAAAAAAAAAAAACAUGUCUUAACCUAUUAAAGAAACAACGAUAGGUCGAACUAUGACCAUAACAAUGUAGUGUUUGUUAAGUGCAAACACUAAUUAAUGGCUACCAAAUCACUCCACUUAAUUUCCGAAUUGUUCAUUAGCAAGGUCUCUUGUUUCAGCAGUGACAGGAUUUAUCUAGAAGGUUAUUUUGUGAGGUGAAUUUUGUCGACAAUGGCAGGUUAUGUGCAGAGACUACGUGAAAGAGAAAACUGAGCUACUACAUGCCUUGAUACAUGAUAGAAAACUUCCUGAUCUACCCAGAAUUACCCAGGUAAACUUAGCAUCUAGUCACAUUAAUUUGCUCUUCUUCGUCAAAUUAACUAUGUUCUUACAUAUAUAUAUUUCUGAAACCCUCCAUAUAUUGUCUGAAACAUCUUUUGACCAAGUUCUUGUGAUGAUAUGUUCCUCUUAAUGCAGCCAACCUUGAUAAUAUGGGGCGAGCAGGACCGAGUGUUUCCUCUAGAACUAGCUCAUCGAUUGAAAAGGUAUCGUUAGAAUAUAUUGGAGAUAGUUUUCUUCUUUCCCUCCGAAGUUCAUGUUUGAAUUUCUGCUUAGUGUUACAGGUAUUUAGAUGAGAAUUGUCAGAUGGUAGUUAUCAAGAACGCUGGGCACGCGGUUAAUCUUGAAAAGCCUAAGGAAGUUUGCAAGCAUAUACUCGCAUUCUUUCUUGAUUCCGGCUCCCCAGAUAUCUACAACGGGCACAUGGUAAAUCUUCUUUCUGUUCUGAUGUAACAUUGGAUUCGUUAAACCUUGUCAGUAAUGCUUGUUUUUACGCUUUAAUAGAGUAUCGUAUUGUCAAAAUGGAAGCAUUGUUAAUUUGUUCGUAUAUCUACGUCGCAUAAUAGUAACAAUUAAGGCACCAUUAAUUGUUAAUUCUUUUGUUCUGUUUUUUUAAUUUUUGGCAGGUAUAAUGGAUUGAUGUUUAAGAACACUUUCAAUGAAUUUGUACCAGACAAGCAUCGCUCAGAUAACUGAGAUACAAUAUUUGUUCCGAUAGAUUGUUGAAGAGUAUUAUUCAUCUCAAAAUAUUCAUUUUCAAAAAGAUUUGAAUCGGGAAAUGCAUCGACGAAAGUUGCUAUGGACUGCAGAUGCCUCCUUACCGCAGGCUCCAGCUGCAAAUUUUAUGUGAUUUAUUUAUGCAUGAAAUUUGAGUUUCAGACUUUCACGAUGAUUUUGUAUGCAGAUUAUCUGAGGGAGAUCACUCAGCUCGCCUACGUAUCAGUUUAUAUUUCGACUACUCUUAUGUUUUGGUUUUGUGCUUUGUCUAGCUUUAUGUUUUGGUUUUGUGUGCAUCAGAAGGAGGUAAGUAAAUUUGCUGCUGCUAAACUCAUCAACAGCUUUCAUUGAGACUAUUUAAGUAAACUUUUUAUCAGAUCAGUCCCCUCGAUAUCCAAAAUUUUCAAGGGUUAAAAUCCAGUAUUUCAUAUGUGCUUCGGAAAAGAUUACUCACUGCUGACAGAUUGCUAACUCGCGGAUUGAGAGUGGAUCAACACUGUGUCUUCUGCGCUUUCAACACAAAAAAUUGCGAUCAUCUAUUCACCAACUGCAUCUUCACUCGUUACCUUCUACUUACCUCAGAGGGGCAGGGUUCGUCGACCGAUGCUCCAGGGGACAUUCGAGAACUAUGAAACCUAACUGGCAACACCUCCGACGUUGCUCUGAGAUCAAAACGCUUAAUCCGCUUAGUUGAAAUCUGGUGGAUCGUGUGGACGGAAAGAAAUAACUCCAUCUUCCAAGCAAAGUUUCACAACGUCCUUCAUUCUUCCGAAAAGCUGAGACGGUUGUUGUCCGAUUGGUCUGCGCAUCUCUGACCACCUGCUUACCAUCUUUCGCACAUUUUUUAUUUUAUUUUCCUUUUGAUUUUUAGUUCCUGUUUUUUUUCUCCUCUACUGUUGCCUUUCUACCCCUCAGAAGCCUUAGCUGCUUCCACCCUGUAACACUUAGCUUAGUUCACUUUCACUUAAUAAAUGAAGCAGAUAACUUUGCUACAUUUUUUUCAAAAAUAAUAAUAAUAAUAAUAAUAAUAAUAAUUAUCUUUUUGUGUUUAGUACACACUCCAUGAUUUAUUUAAUCUCCAUUACAAAGUUAUCGGAUAUGUUAUAAAAACGUAAUUCAAAAUCAGAUAUUCUUCAAAAUCAGAUAUUCUUGCACAAUCGUUGCUUCAAUCAGCUGGUUGGUAUCCUUCAUGCCAGAUUGUAAGCAAGCAUCUUCACAAACAAACACAAAGGGGGGGGGGAGCAAUUUAUAGCGAAAAAGGGAUUCAAACAGUAGGAGCCUAUCAAUCAAUUAGUCAAAAAUGGCACUUUUAAAGCUCCAUUUGAAUUUAAAGGAAAAAAGAGAGCAGAAUUUAAUUUCAUAACUAAGAUUAUUCCAAACUAGCACCAUUACAGAAGGCUCUGGAUAACAGUAACAUGCGACUGAUUAGCGGAAAAAAAAGAAAAAAAGAAAAAAAAAAAAGAUAAAGAAAAUAAACUGCGGUAGCCAUUUGAGUUCAAAAACUAGUGCUUGCACAACCUUAAAGGGAAAACAUAGACACACACCAACCGGUUAAGGAAAAAAGAUGACUACCUUGGUGGCGAUAAAAAGAAAUUUCCGAGCUACUGGGUUUCCGCAUUAGCAAGAGUUUCACAGGUUUCACAUUCACAUUGAUAGCUUGCCCAAAUUUACUCCUGCUAUGAGCAUCCAAACAUAUAAAAGUUCAGUGACAUCAGAGCACGGAAUAUAUGUCCAUAAGAUCUUAACGAAUGAAUUGCCAUGAUUUAUAUCGGUAAAUAUGACGUAUAUUUUUGAAAAUCUGAGUCGGAGCGGCAACAAAUGUGGCUAAUAGAAGCUUUUUUACUUUGUUAAAUUUUGUUGUAAACCAAACUGCAGUGCGUAGUUCAAGGUUUUAAGUGCCCGUCGGCACGGGCCGUAUCCACCGUGCCGUACCGUGCCAAUAAGACAUCGGCACGAUACAGACCCCGUGCCGAUGGCACAGCUCAAAAACCUCUAUUCUUUAAAUUAGUAAGUAAUUUCCUCAAUAAAGUUUAAAAGAUGCGAUAAAAAGACAUAAUAAAUAGUUAAAAUAUUUUGUUGCUAAAAAAAAUAAAUAUUUCAUACUAUUAUGUGUCGGCACACAAGAAUUUUUUUGACCGGCACGCAUCGGCAAGACUCGGCACGCACCGUGCCGUACCGUGCCGGCAAGUUUCCGGCACGACCCAGUGCCACGGCACUUAAAUCCUUGGCGUAGUUACCGCUGUGAACUAUGGGAAUUUAAGACAAACUUGAGGUAACUGAAUGAGCAUAUAAAAAAAAUUGAUAUUCGUGUAUCCAAUACCGGAGCCAAAGCAGCCGGGCCUUUACUUUAAGCUAUUCGUGUUCUAUGUGUGGAUCUUAGUCCUCUGUUCAACUAUGUUUUGGCCAAACCAAAUUGACGAUUCUCACCUCAAUAUCCAUGUUGGUCGCCUUGGAAUGUUCGCCUGCAAAAAGAAUAGAAUGUGUUAACAAUUUAGACACAUAAAAGUAUUAUAAGCUAUCGUUACACAAAUUAUGGAGUGAAAGAAAUGAGUUACACUAGGCAUUUUGAGGCAAUUGAUCAAGUGUCGGGAGUUUUAUUGUUACUGAACAGUAGUGUUAUAACCAAAAAGAAAAAGGAAAGGAUAGCACAUGUUGCUGCAGCUCCAAGUACAGCCACAGCUACAGUGGGCACAUGGAACAUGAUUUGCCAUAUACGCUGACACUAAUACUUUGAGACAAAUACUUUCAGGUGAAGUUGUUGCAUGUGUUAGGAUGUCAAAAAGAUAAAAGAUGCAACAUGAGAGCUGCUGUAACAGAAGAUUGUUCCAUAUGAUAUUACCUCCUUCCUCUGGCAGGUCUGAGGUCCACAAUGUCAGAUUGUCCUUGAGAAGCCGCAAAAUCAGUGCGCUGUCCUUGUAAGAUUCCUCACUGAGGGAGCUGAGUUCCGUAAUAGCCUCAUCAAACGCUUGUUUAGCUAGAUGACAUGCUCUGGAAAAGGAAGGACAAAACACAAAUUGUACAUAAUCCAAAGCAGCAGAGACAUGCGUGCUUGCUGUCCAUUUCUAUCUUAAAAUCACCACACGUAACUCAACAUGCAUGCUUAAACAGUUUCAAUUAGUUCACUGAAUUAUGAAGUUAAGAUAAGUAGAUAUUGUUACUAUUUACUGCAUAGAAUAUAAGCAGCGGGCCGCAUAAGGCACACAAUGCCAAAUUUCAUGCUAGAACUUAAAUGCACCAGGAAUAAUCAAUAAGCAAUACAUAAUAAUACAAAUAAAACAACCAAAGCAGACCUCUCAGGCGAGUUCAGUAUCUCAUAGUAGAAGACUGAGAAAUUAAGAGCGAGGCCAAGUCUGAUUGGGUUGGUUGGUGGAAGAUCAGUCAUUGCCGUACUUGUAGCUGCCUGAAGGAUCAUCAUCAGCUUGCGAUGUAACAAAAAUUUAUGCAUCAUAAGCUUUAACUCUACAAGAUUGAUAAACUACAACUUUCUAACAGGAUUAAGUCGAACCUGAUAAGCUUUAACCGACUGAUCUGCGAACUCUUUCCUGUCAUUCCCGGUCUUAAACUCGGCCAAGUAUCUAUAGUAAUCCCCUUUCCUAGUAUGGGACAGAGAGAAGUAACUUUUCAUUUUCGAAAAUUCACUCAAGUUCUGUUAACAGAACUAAAAAAGUUUUCACCAAAAAGGUGCAGAAUAUUCAAUCAGGCAUGAAAACACUACAUUUGUUAGAGUUAAAAAUACUGAUAAGUUCCAAGUAAGAGGUACUGGAAAUUCAAACAUGAAACUGGGUUGGGUUGUAAAAUUAUUGUUCUUUGAGGUUCGGACAUCCAGUUCAAAAUGUUGCUGUAAAAGAAAGGAAAAACAACGCGCAUAACUCGCGAACUAAACGUACAUCUUAUAAAAGAAGACAAUGGAUUCACCAGUAGUGGAAGAUGGGAGGAGGUGGAUGGCGAUGAUGGACAAUAUGUCGUUGGAUAUCUUCGCGAGCUCAUCUUCAACUCUCGUCAAGUACUCUUUUAUCAUCUUGACGUUUUGUUCACUCCCUUCUUCCGCUUCCUUCUGCACGAGCGAAGAAAGGAUCCUCCACGACGCUCUCCUCACGCCAAUCACAUUCUUAUAGCCAACCGAGAGUAAGUUUCGCUCUUCAGAAGUCAGCUCGACAUCCAUUCGAGCAAUCCUCUUCAUGUAAUCCACCAUUUCUAUGAAAAAACAGAAAGAAAAGCAUAUGUCUAAUAAAAGAUGAGGAAAAGAAACAACUGCCAACAAUUCAGAUAAGAUAAAGCCCUAUCAAAUCAUGGUUAGCGAAACCAAUAUUGAACAGGGUCAGAUCAGUAUAUUGGCUGCUGAAACAGAUAAAAUUUUGUGAAGCAAAUCCGUAUUUCUGCAUAACACAAAAUGGCGAAACAUGACAUAUUUCUACACACUCACUACCAUUCCCUUCCUCUCAUCUGAAACAUUACUACUUCAUAGUACCACUUUGAUAACCCAUCAACUAUUACGCCAUUUUGAAGUAGACCCCCCCUGAACUUUUAAAAAAUAAAAAAAAAAUAUUUACUGGCGCCUCUUCAACUUCUGAUUUUUCUGAUUUGAGUUCAAUUAAGGUAGAGAUUUACAAAAAAUUGCUACGUAAUAGUAGUAAUUUUAGGGGUUAUGUUAAUAUAGAUUGUGGAAACUAACAAACAAAGAGGAGACAUGUGGAAACUCCAAACAACUAGCACGACUGUUUCAGCAAACUUUACCCUGUCAUCAGCAGAGAUAACCUAAGCAGAAACCCCCCCAAAAUAAAAAUUUAAAUAAAUAAAAAAAUCGAAAAUCCAACAAAACGCAACCAAAAUAACGAAACAUAUUCAAAUCAUGGCGCCAGUAUGUUACAAUAACAUCAUGGCACGAACCAUUCGCAAUAUUACACACACAGAAAAAAGAAGAAAAAAAUUGAAAACAGAACAGAGACCCAAAGAUCUCAAAUUUAUUACUCCAAACCAAACGCACAUGAACCAAAGAAAUCAUUUAUCAUAGGGAAAAAACAUUGGCUACCAAAAAUCCAAUCUUUUUUACUCCCUUUUUUGGAUAAAAACUAAGAACCAAAUUUUCUCUACAGAAGAAGGAAAAAAAACAAAAAAAAAAAAAAAAAACUGAGAACCAAAUGCAGAAACACAAAUAGCAGAGAGGAAGAGCUUUUACCAUCAUAUCUCUCCGCUUGCUCCGCCAACUUCGCCAUGAACGCAAGCUUCUCUCUCUCCUCCAUCUCUCCCAAGCGCCCACCCCCCCUCUCUCCCUCUCUCUCUCUCUCUCUCUCUCUCUCUCUAAGCAGACACGUUCCCGGUAUGGAAAAUUUCCUCUCUCUUCAGAGUCUUAUUCCACUGUUCCAUUUAUGGGCUGGUGUGUGUGUGUGUGUGUGUGUUUUUUUUUUGAGCAAUGCCCUGUGUUGUGACGUAAGAUUUUGGAAGCAUUUUUUUAUUUUAGUAUUUUAUAAUUUAAAUUAUAUUAUUUUUAUAUUCUGUAAUUUUUUUAAAUUUUUUUUAUUAAUUUUUUUUAUUAAAUCGGCAAUAGAGUUAUAACUAAAGAAUACUUAAAUAAAUAUUCGAUAAAUUAUAGGUGACAUAUCUGAAGCUUUUUGUAUAUAAUUUAACAAAAAAAUUAACGGAGGGACCGACGAAAAAAAAAAUAAAAUAAAACCAUAAAAUACUAAAUUUAUACACUUUAAACAAUAUAUUACUAAACUAAGAAAAUGCGAAACUAUAGCGGUGAUGUAUAAUUUAUCUUAAAAUAUGCACUCUAUAUAAUAUAUAAUUAUAUAUAAUUAUUCAUUUAUUAUUUUUAUUCAAAUAGAAUUAUUAUUAUGUUACCGACUAUUUCUAGCGCAAAUGACAAAAAACUUAUAAUUGGUAUAUGAGAUUUCAAAUUUGAAUUAUAAUUGAUUCAUAUUUCUAACUUCGUUUACUUCAAAAUAAAGUAAACGAAGAGUAUAGUAUGCUACUUAUUUUUAAAACAAUAAAAAAAUAUAUAUAGAUGUCAAAAAUGUAAGAGAUACGAUUUUUUUUUUAG